rnacentral:lncRNA from 1 species
UAAUAAGUAUUUCAAAUAGCAAGCUCAAUAUGAAUAUUUAAAUAAAAUUUUACGCAUAAUGUAAAUUAAAAUAAUGAUUUCAAAAUAAUGAUUUAUUUAAACAAAAAUAAAAAUUAUUAAGAGUUUUGACACAUAAAAAAAAUAUUAAAUGUAUCUCCUCAAAAUAAUGAAUCAGAUAAACAAAAACCUAAUUGAAAUAAAAUUAAAAUAAAAAGGGAUAAUUUAUAAAUUUUGAAAUUAAACGGAGGGCUAAUGCACAGUAUGCGUAAAUGCCAAGGGACUAAUGUUGGAAAUAAUCCUGGUCCCAAAACGCAAGGCUUAAACGUGGGCUAAAUUGAUGUGAUUUCUUAAUUCCAGAUGCCAUUUAAAAAUAACUAAAGUACACAUAGGGCCUAAUUCAACAUUAGAGUAAAUGAGAGGGGUCAUGCGUGCAAAUCUCCCAAUUUAAGCCAAGGCACAUGAAUCUGGCCUGCUAAACUGGUCAACACGCAGGUCUUUACCUCUUGGAACUGCGCCGUUUUCUAAACCUUUAUAAUGGCUAAAUCAGCCAAAUCAAACUAAACCCCAUUUUCCCCUUUAUCAAACCCUAAAUCUCCCCUCUUAUUGUCGAUUCAUCUCAGUCAAUAGUGCUCUCAAGCCUGAGGAAUGACUUUCAGCCUUGAAAUCUUCCUUUGGCUUCGACUUUAACGAAGCAAAGAAAAGAAAUCCAUGGCAUUUUGCAAGGUAAAACUUAUCUUUUCCUUGUUCUUUUAUUUUUUUACAUGCAAUUGCAAAAGACUCAACAAAACAAAAAAAGAAAAUGGAAUCGAAAAUUAAAGAGACUGGAAAAUGGAGAAUCACCUUUCGAUUUUGAUAGCCUUUUUUGUAUUUCAAUAUGCGUAGUAUGCGUAACCUCUACAAUCGAAUUUCGUUGGCUUUUUAUAGUUGAAAUAAAAAAGAAGAAAAAUGCGAUUACAAAGAGCUUUUUUUUUUUCAUUUUUCUGUCGUUGUUGUUAUUUGCUGUCGUUCCUUCAUUUGUUUGUAGGUACCAGGUAUCGUGGCAAGGCAGCUGGCAUGUACGGGCGUGGGGCGUACGGAGUUCGUGGAGAUCGGGGCUGUUGGGGUCGUUGCGGCGCAAGCAGAAGCUGCUAGGUUUCCUGGCUAUGCUUCUGUUUUGGGCCAUGGGGUAUUGGGUUAGGUUAUUUUGGGUUGGUCUUAUUAAUUGGGCUGAGGUUUGGGUUUAAUGGUUAGGGUUGGGUUUUAUUACUUGUAAAAGGGACUUGGUCAUUUAGUUUUUGUGCUUUUUAGUUGUUUUGGUAUUUUGGUAUGGCCCGGGCUAAAUUGGGCCACUACAAUACUGUAGACUUUAAAGAAAUAGUAAAAUUAAUAUUUCUACUUCGGAUUUGUGAUCUCAAAAUCACUAUUUCGAUUUGACCCUAAAAUGGGCUGUUACAUAAAAUUUUUUUAACAUUAUCAUUAUCAUUAGUUUAUUUGCAUUGAUUUUAUAGAGAUUAAAAAAAUUAAGAUUGAAGAAUACAAGUUAUAAAUCUACAAUGUGUCCAUCUUUUAAACGUUGUACUUAUAAUUUUUUUUAAAAUUUUGUACAAUUACAAUUUGAAAGUAUUUUAUUUUUAGAAUAUUAUGUAUAUUAAAUAUUUUUAAUAAUUUUUGAAACCUAAAGUCAUUAAUUUCUUGAACUGUUUAAGAUGAAAGGAUGUGCUUGACAGCAAUGACCGUUACGACUGGCACUGUGAAAAUUGUGUAAACAAAAUAAACAAAGAACACUAAGAUUUGUUUACAUAGUUCGAUUGCCUUACGUCUACAGAGCCUAACUCAAUGAGUAAUUCAACUAUUUUUAAUCCACAAAACAACAUGUAAAUCACACUCUAUCACUCCCUAAGUAUAGUGACCUCACCUUUUUACCUAAAGACUAGAACACUCACCUCUAAAUUCUCCCUUUGAGAAUUUAGAUUGAAAACUCAACUUGUUUACUUUCAAUUACACUUACAAACACAUUCCUCAAUGAACAAAUAUGUGCUUUCAAUAGUCUCUCAAAUAUAUAGACAUUUGAGACUUGUUAACAUAUUGGUGAUCAACUACAAUUUAAUCCCUAGGGAUUAAAUUUCAAGAUACAAUAUAUUAAUAAAGUCUAAUAUAAAGUAGAAUCCUUAGUGAUAUGUAUUCAAUGAAGUCUCAAUCCAAUCUGCAAAUUUUAAGGGAUUUGAUUGCUUGAUCCGAUCCAAUCCAAUCUUCAAAGAUUUGUUGCUCCACAAGAUGGAUCCUUAGAUAAGGGCUAACACAUACCCACAAAACCACUUAAGUCAUUGCUCAAGCGAUUUGAUUGAAAAUAUUUCCAGCUUCAAAUAAGGCAAGAUAUGUUGCUUGACAAAGUGCUAGGCCAAAAUGGCCAUUUCCGCUUGGACUUCGAUGGCUACUUCAAAAACACUUGCCUCAACAAUAAAACCUCUAUCAAAGUUGAUCAAGCCUUCAUAUUUAGAGCACAAAUCUAUCUUCACAAGGUAAGCUUUAAUCCAUAUUCAUCUAUGCAAAUCUUAUCAAAUCUCUUCACUAAUGAUAAGCACUGGAUUGGCUGCACAAAAUCCAUAAAAAGAAGCAAUGAAAACAUCAUAAUAUUUUAGUUAAACAAAAUCUUAACAAAAUUCUUAUUCUGGCUUAAUUACAUACUUAAACAACUUGUAUUAAACUAGAAAUAAAACGUUAAGGCUUCGUUCCAUCGAUUGAUUACAAUUUUUUGGACAAAGACUCUAUGAUAUAAAAUGACACUUAACCCUGAGGCAGAGCCUCUACGAGUUCCCUUCUGUACAUAUGCAUAACCUUUACGUUUCACUUAGCUCCUAGCGAAGGUUGGCUUGGUCCCUUUCGAUUUUUGAAUCUUUAACUAACCUAUAUUCAAGCAGAUAUCUGAUAAGUUCGGGGAACUUGGUGAGAUUCGCAUAUAGAAUUAAAAAGAAAAUUUUGAGACAUCCAGCUUAGAAUGAAUCUCCUUGAUAAUUGUAUUUAUUAUUUUCUGGCAGGCAACACUUGGUGACUACCCAAGUAAUUGUUACAUCUGUGCUCUUUACCAUAUUUCAAUGUUCUGAUUGCCUUGGGGUAUUAGAGCUCACUAAAUAACACUGUAGCCCUUGCUCUGUUGAUCUAUUUCCUAAGGAAGCUUCUUAGAACAUGUAAUUCUUACCUUUGGUAGGUCAACAAGAUCUCUGUUGUUCUUCAUGGUUAUGCUUGACCUUCGUUUUUCACUACCUUCUAACGGGCAUUACUGGCCAUUCAACCUUGGGCAUGCAUUUCCUCUUAUGUAGACCCUAAUAAACCUAUUAAACCCUUUGGUUCACCUUUUCAUCAACUUAAAAUAUAUGAUUGCAUACUACUACAGACUAAACCGUGCUUGUUUAAUUCAUAUAGAAUUCACAACUUCCCUGGCGGACUAUUAUAUGCGUAUACUAUGAAUACCUCCAUACCUAAGGAAUCUCUUUUUCUUUUUACCCUAUUCGGGGUUGAUACAUAACCUUGGCAUCACUCACUAUUCUAGUGGUUUAUAUUCUUUCAACACACCAAACUCACUUCUUUUUGUGACUUAUCACUCUAGUCACACUAUGGACUCUACUCUCAUCCUUGACAUCCUUCAUGAACAAUGGACUUUUCAAGUAUAAUUCUCAUGUUUUACGUCAUAGCAGAUUUUGUGUUUACUGUCCCAACGGACUGUCCUGUGUUUACUGUCCCUAUGGGCUACCAUUGGUCGCCAUAGUUGAGCUAUGGUCUUACACCUUAGACCUCUUGAAGGUGUCGCCUUAAAGGACCCCACUGUUGUCGCGGUGUUGCCUUAGAGAGCUUGCUAACCGUCAUCGCAGUGAUACUCUAUAGAACCUAAAUACCAUCGUCAUCGUCAUGGUGUUAUCCCGAAGGACUUGUUUUGCAUUUCACCGUGAUGCUCGAACAUUGAAGUUUCCCUUCUGCAAUGACCAGAGCUUUGCACAUCAUGGUUGUCUCCCAGUAAUCCUGGAUGGUGAAAUCUUAACGGAAUUCCAAUUUCCCUAUUCCUCCGCCCAUUCAUCCAUUACACAUUUCCUAACCUUGAAGUUAGAACAGCGUAGUGUUCCCUCCUCAAGCCCCAGAGCUUUGCUUAUCAUGACUGCACUUAGCAAUAUGUAUGAUGGUAUCUAACAGAAUUACCCCUUUUCCAAUCCUAACUUUGUCUAACCCGUCGAUAAAUCCCUUCCGUGUUCUACUAUCAUAAAUAUGCAACACAUGUCUUUUAUAAAUGAAAUACCAUGGAAUCAUAAUUAGUUUAUGCAUACUUGGACUAAAGUGGCGGAUACUCAUGUCUAUACAAUCUUAAACAUAAUUAGCAUUUCAGGGCUAGGGUGCAGAAACUCACAUUGCUUUUUUAACCUUGUCAGUUUAGCUUGUUCGAAUAGCCAGAGUAUCAUUUGUCAUGGAAGCUAAGCAUGAAAACCAUUCAUCAAUUAAUUUUAAUGGUGGUCAGUCCUUAGAAACCCAGAACCUUAAAUUAUACAAAACCUUUGAGAGUCUUACUCUACUCCUUUCCUCAAUCUAUAAGCACAGAGAGAUAGUGAAGCUUAUCGGUUCCUCAAUUUCUCCAUCACCAAGCUUAAAUUCACACCUCUGCCACGACAUGCAUAACUUUCUUCAUUUGUAUCCCCUUCUUGUUCUUCAGAACGAUUGAAGAAGAUGAUACUGUAAAGAGGAGAAAAUUUAUAAACAAAAUUGAGAAAAUUUUGUCUCCACUCACAUCUAUAUAUACUCAAUAGGCAUGGUCUUUACUGGUCAUUGCCACCAUCCAGUCUUAAUCAUUUUGUCUUUCAAUUUGGAACCAACUGGUUCCAAUCUAAUUGAAUUGGAAUUAGAAUCCAAUUAAUCAUAAUUCAGCCACUAAAACUUCUGAAAUUCUCGAUGGAGUCCGAUAAUUCACUAGUCCUUUCAAUUUAAUCCUAGUUUUCCCCAAUUCUAGGUCAAUAAUGGUAAUAGGGUGUUACAAAAAUCCCUCUUAAUAAUUCCAUCAACACACUCCCCCUUAGUUUUAGCAUUAACAUACUCCCCUUAAUAAGAUGUUUCAGCAGAGGGUGAAAGGGAUGUUAACUUAUCAACAAUUUUGUAUGUAAUAGAUGUAACUCAUAGAACACCAUUGUUCUUUACCAUGAGAUCUUGAGAAAGUAGAAAUAUCUUUAUGCUAAUUUUCAAAAAGUUGUUGCUUUAGUUGUCGUUUCACAUUUCACUUAUGCAUUAAUCAACUGUUGAUCUUUCGUCACCUGAAAUUAUGUUUGGUUGUAACUUGGCUGAGUUGCAACUUGUCUUCUAACAUUUUUCCUUCUUAUAUCUUUCAACAUCUUAUAAUAUUAUGGGGCUAUGGCCAUCAGAUUACAAUAGUGGUAGAUAAUCCUUCUCUUCUUACGUUCUUCCAUCCUAUGUAAUAGCCUCUCAUUUUUCCUCCUAAUAAGUUCUGGCUUCUGGCUUCUGUGCCACAGGAAGUGGGCACUUCCAUUAGCUUCUUUUUUUUUCCAUAUUUGAUCUUUCAACAUUUUGAAGCAUAUAUGUUUAAUAUGACCAAGAACUCAACAAUAAUGGAAAAUAACUUGAUGAUUAGAGAUUACCUUCUUUUUAGCACGAUUCAAAAUGGGAUUCUUGGAGAUUCACCUUGAUCAAAACUAUUUGUGAAUUUGACAAAAACUUUUGGGCUUUCCAUUACAACUUUUCCUUUCUUUUAACAUAUCUAAUGCCAUCUUUUAUUGGAUAUCUUUUUCCAAUAGCAAAAAUUUCAUUAAGUUUACCACUACUAGAUUUGAUUUUUUCUAGCAUGCAUUGAUUAGCUGCAAGAUCAUUAGUGUAUUCUCCAAACUAGCAGCUUUCUCAGCAAGUACAAAAUCUUUCAAUUACAUUUGCUUAACCAACAUCUAGUUUUAUUCCUUGAGGCUGGGAUUCUUAUCUAUCAUCUUUGCAUUCACAUUGUUGGAAAAAAUCUGGUUUAAUAACGAUUUUCCUGCAUAAAGGAAAAUAAAAUUUUGAAAACUGACCCGGUUUGUGAUCUUUAUAGUUAUAAACCUUAGACCGAAAUCGUACUUUUGUUUUUGGAUAGAUGGAUCUUUUUGUUCCCGACUUUCAGCCAAACGAUCUUUUUUGCUAUUCUUCUGCCAUAAAUUGCUUUGAGUGUGGGCUCAAACAAGUUGAAUCUAAACACAGAAAUAGAAAUAGAAAUAGUUUUCUUUUAUUUUAGGCGAAAAUGAAUUUUCUUUUCUCAAAUAGAAACUGACAGAAUUGUUAUUUCAGAAAAAUAAAUUUAAUAGUUGAGAAUAAAUUCUCUCUAUUUUUUGGCAGAGUAACAAUAUCUUAAAUUUUUAUUAAUAGGCCUAUCAGUGCUAUCUAUUUAUAAGGAGAGAAGUUAGAACCUUUGUUGAAUUGUAGAAGUUUAUUUCAACUAGAAAAAUGAACUUCUAGUCUAGCUAGGAUGUAGGGGGCGACACCCCUAGUUAAUAAUACUAAGGUUUGUCGUCUCACCUCAUAAUAUAAAGGGCUUUUGGGUCUCUUCCAUAUCGGGUCAAAUUACAAGUAUUUUUCGAGCUUUUAACCCAAUAUUUUAUAAUUUGAUCCAACUCGAUAUUUGUUUUUUCUAUUUCCCAAAAUAAACUUCAAUAUAUUUUUAAUUAAAUAAUUUUUCAACCCAAUUCUAAUUUUGUUAAAAUCAUGACGAAUUUACUGUAAAAGAAUCUAUGAGAAAAUAUAUUUAAUAUUUCUACAUUCAACGGUUUACUAUGACCCAAUGAUUUAUUUCUAUUUUUGAACUUUAUUUAAUUCGAAAAACAUAAAUUCAUUUUUUAGGUUAAUUUCAUUUUUCAUUUUUAUUUUGGAGAAAACCAUAUUCAUUUUCAAAUGAUUCCAUUUCUCCAUCUUUGUUUUCAUUUAGGAGAAAACCAUAAUCAUUUUCAAAUGUUUCAUAUUUCUUCAUUUCAUCAUUUCUAUUCAUUUGAUUCAACAUGCAAUUCAUUUCUGGUUUAAAUGAGCUAGUGGAGGGAUCAAUUGAACAUAUGCAAUUGAAAGUCAAAUGAUUUAUUAAGUUCUAGUUUUUUUUUCUAAUUAAUAUUAAACUCAUAGAGUCAGGACGUCAUUCCACUAUAGUAUCGUUACUGAGCUCUCCCCAACGGUAUACCAUUACGAAAGCAACUCGAUUAGUGAUUGUCCAAUGACCUUGUCAUAAGUGUGUUACCCUUAUAGUAUAUACUUAAUCUCUUUGGGAUAAUACCCAUUUUCCCAAAAUGAUCCUAUUUUAUCUCAUGAUAACCAUUGCAUUUUCCUUCAUGAUAAGUCAAUUAAUAUCAAAUAGUAAUCAAGUCAUUCAUCACAAAGGCGAACGACUCAUUGCCACGUUUACUUUUCAUCAAUCAUGUAAUGCCAAUGAGAGGAUAUCAUUUAUCCAUAUCUCAGGCUAUGAAUUCCAUUGUUUUGAAUGACGCUAUAUAUUGCAGAAGUCGUACACUCAGCACACCAACUUUCGGUUCGUUAUCUAUUUGAAUUUAAUUUUUUACUUACAUUAAAGUGAACAAGUCACGCAUACAUAGUCCAUUAUCCACUCAAGAUUUAGAUAUGCCACACUAUAAAUAUCACAAGUGAAUAAAUUCAUAAACACAUUUAGGAUCUAUUCUUCUUGGGUCCAGUCUGAUGUACUGCCAAUCAAGUCAGUCACAUCUGUAUCUCUAUCUUCCGUGAGUCAUUCACACCAAUGCCAAGAUAAAACAUCUCCCAAAUUGGACUUGAUAAACGAUGUAUUAGUCUUUCAUCAAUUUUCUCAUUUUCGAUUAGACUAAGGACAUAUUUAGGUUUUCCUACUAAUAUAGGUUGUAUUUCCAUAUUACGAUUCGACCACGUAAUACCGCUUAUUAUUAGUUUAAAAAUUAGACAACUAAUGAGCAACAUUUGCUACCAUUUUUCUUUGCAUGCAAAAACCAUAUAAGGAAAAUAAUACAAAGUAUAUUAAUGUAAUCAAUGAAUUUAUUUUAUUAACCAAUUUGUUUGAAAAAAAUUAUAAGUUUACAAACGAAUAUACUACACUAAGGGCACCAGAUCCAACACAUAUGACAUAUUUCUUUCUAUUUCUCUAGAAUAAUCUUGUAGGUUUAUAGGAUCUUUGUAUUUGACUCACCAUUUGAUUCGAUAUUUGUGUCUGAGCUAGUCACACUGUGAGAAAUAACUAUUUGUGUUUGAGCUAGUUACACUUUUCAUCUCUUCAAGUUAUAUUGAAAUACUUCUUUUCAAGUUUGCACAUUCGACUUGUACAUGACCAUACCCUUCACACUCGUAACAUUGAAUACCUUUCUUUUUUGCUUUAGGGUUCUUAUCAAUGCCCACACAUUUCUCUUUUUCUUUGUUGACUCUUUGACCGCCUUCAAAUCCUUUGCUCUAUUUAGAUGGCUUAUUGAAAGCCUUAUUGAAAUUUUCAUUCAGUAACUCUAUUUGUUUCUAAAUACUUUCAACCAAAGUAUAGCCAGAAGUGGGCACUUCCUCUGUCACUUGGAAAGCAAUAUUUUUUUCCUCUUUGGAUCUACUCUUUCUAGAUUCACUAAGGUUCAUCUCAAAAGUUUGAAGUGAACUUAUAAGUUCAUCGAUCUGUACUUGAUCAAUGUCAUUAACAUCCCCGAUAGCCGUCACCUUGAUUGGAAAUCUCUUAGGUAGAAAUCGAAGGACUUUCCUCACCAACUUUGAGUUUGACUAUUGAUUGCCAAAAGCAAAAGCUUGAUUUGACAAGUCACACAACCUAGCAAGAAAGUCACUGAUAGUUUCAUUAUCCAGUAUCCUUAGGGUCUUGAACUUGGUGAUCAGCAUUUGCAGUUUCAAUUGCUUCACUGUGUCGAAUCUUUCAUGGGUUUUCUCUAGGAUUAACCAAGCUUCACAGCCAGAGAAAUCCUUUUAAACUCUUGACUAUCAACACCAUAAAAGACCUAAUCCAAGUAGUUUUGGCUGUAGGAGUUUUGACACAAAAAAAUCAACGAUAGGGGGAUAUCAACAAUUAAGAAUUAAUCUCCAUGCCUUCUCAUCAACAAGCCUUAUGAAAGUUUUCAUUCUUGCUUUCAAAGAAGCAUAAUUUGCUUCAUCCAACAUAAGGGGUCAAAACAAUAAAGAAACUUCCAUCUUAAACAAGUAUUGAGACCAGAAUUACCACUAGCUAUAUUAAGUGGAAGGCUCUGAAACCAAUUGUUGGAAUCUAAAUUCAUUAAUUGUUUGAAUUAUCCAAGAUGAAUGAAAGUGCUUGAUUGUAGCGGCCAUCAUGGUUAUGGCUGACACUGCAAAAACUAUGUAAACAAAAUAAACAAGAACACCAAAGUUUAUUUACAUAUUUUGAUUUCCCUACAUCUACGGAGCCUAACUCAGUAACUAAUUCCACUAUCUUUAAUCCACUACAACAAGUGAAUCAGGCUCUAUCACUCCUUAAAUAAAGACCUCACCUUUGUAUAUAAAGACUAGAACACUCACUUCUAAAUUCUCCUCGAGAAUUUAGAUUGUAGACACAACUUGUUUACUCUUAAUCGCACUCACAAAUAUAUUCCUGUAAUGCCUUAUACUCGACCCGAUCAUUAGGUCCGGGUAUCGGUUGAUACAAUGACCCAAAUUACUUAACGAUAUUUAUGAUUCUACUUUAAUACAUACUUAAACAGGCUAAAUUUCAAAAUCUAACUACUAUUAAAAAUCGUGUAAAACUAGUGAUGAAUUCUUAUAACUAGGAUUCCAACAAAUAUUUAUAAAUUUUAAAUUAAGACUCAGUUACAAACAAAACCACUUAAACCCUAGGGUAUAGCCUCCAAGGAAGCCCCUCCAUAUACAUGAGACAGCUACCAUGCCCAACUCCCAACUCUAGCGGAGUUUGGCUUGGUCCUUCAUUUUUUAUUUCCAAGUCUUUAUCUACCCUGCAUCCAAGCAGUAAAAUUUAUAAGUUUAGAAGAAUUUAAUGAGAUAUGUACAUACAAAAUUAUAAAAGACUACUGAAAUUUAACAAAAUAAGAUUCAAUGCACAGUGUUAUCUCCAUGGAUUUCGUGUGGGAAUUUACGAACUUAGUUGGCGUAGCCAAUUCUUCAUUCUCUUUGAGCCGAAUGUCGGCGGACAUAAUCCCUAGUCUGCUCAUAACGAUGUUCUAUCUAGAGAUAUUCUCGUAUGGUUGUUGUCGAAACUAGAUUUUUGAGAAAAGGGGUCGACUUGGUUUUGGAAAUGAAAACGAAAAAACGGGAAUCACCACCAAUCCUUUUUGAUGAGGUGUGAUCGGGUCACCUCGUAAAAGUAGUUGUUUUUAAUAAAUGAUUUGAUUUAUUUAAACCACGAUUUUGGUCCACGAAAUUUAGAAAGACGGGUUCGGGAGUCGGUUAUGCACGAGGAAGGAUUAGCACCCUCGUAAUGCCCAAAAUUGGUACCUAGUUGAUUAAUUAAUAUCUUAGUGUCGAAAAUUUAAAAACUUGAAAGAUUUUAAAAUACGAUCCCUCUUUUUGUAAAAACGCUCGAAUGUUAAAGGCCUUCUCAUCUCGAAGUAAUAAAAUGCCACAUCCAGUACGUUAGGACACAACAUUUCAGACCCUCGAGAAUAAGUUGGUCUUUUGAUUUUCAAAAUUCACGUGUUUUAAUUUUAAAACGUUAUUCGGUCAUUUGGAUCAAACGAGAAAAAUCGAAACCCAGUACGUUAGGGCACGAUCUCUCGAAUUUCCAAAUACAGAACAUUGCCUUACUUUGAAAAUUUCUUUAGUUCUUAAAAAUUUUAUCAAACAUAAGUUUAAAACGACAUGGGCUAUUUUGAAGCAUAAUACAAAGAUAAUCAAUUGUAUUUAAACAUAGUUCAUGGGGAAUAAUUAUGCAAUAAUAUAAAACAACUAUACAAAUCAAGAAUAUCUGAUAAAUAAAUGAUAUGAUAAUACUAAUGUACUAUAAUAGCCAUAGUAAUAUUAACAAACAAAUUACAAUAAUAAUUCAUAUGAAUAAGAAUAAGUAAAGAUGGAAUACAUAAAUAGUACUGAGGCCAAUAAUAAUGAAGUAAUGUAUAAAUAAAUAUAAGGAAAAAGAUUUAAAAAUAUUGGAAGUAAAGAACCAAAUUAAAAUGAAUAAUAUUUAAAGCACAAUUUGUAAUAAAACAUAUAUAAUAAUGUGACAAUAAUAAUAACAAUAGUAAUAAAUAAAUAAAUAAUGAUAAUAAAAAUAAUAGUAAAGAAAAUAAAGAUAGAAUUAAUAAUGAUACUAACGAAUAUAAGUAAUAAUAGUAAAAAUAAUAAUAAUAAUAAUAAUAAUAAUAAUGCUAAAUUAAUUAAAAUAAAAUAAUAAGCAGAUAAACUCAAAAUAAAAUAUAAUCAUAACAAAAAUAGUCAUAACAAUAAUAGAAAUAAUAGUAAUAACACAAUAAUAAUGUAUUAGAAAAAUAAAUAAAUACAAAUAUGAAUGUAAUAACAAUAAUUAAUAAUAUAUUAAAUUAAUCGAUUUAAUAAUGAAACAACAAAAUAACGAAAAAGGGGCUAAAUUGAAUGUUAAAAUAAGUAUUUGGGGGCAAAUUUGAAAUAAAAUGAAAAGGGAAGGGUCAAAUUGUAACGCGCGUAUUCAUGGAAGGAUCAAAUGAGCAAAUAAUCCCUCCCCAUAUGCGCACCGUUUAAAAAAGGACCAAAAUAAAACUUUUAAAAUUAAGCAGGGUGAAUUUAAGAAGACAAAAAAAAAGGAAAUAGGACAGAAUUGUGACAAAUGUACAAAGCAAGGGACUAAAGGGAUAAAUAUCCCAUAAGAGCAAAACGCGCGGACCCCCUGGAGCGGGUCGGGUCGCGCGCGGGUAUGCUAGAAAACGACGCUGUUUCGGCAUUGAUACUCCUGAUGCAAAACGACGUCGUUUUGUAUCUGUAUAAAAACUCAUUUUUUCUUCACAAAUUAUUAUGCUACCAUUUUCUUUAAAAAAAAAACUUCCAAAACCCCUUCCCUUCUCCUUUGCUAGAGUUUCAACCUAGGCUUGGGGCGCCGUCAUCGGCCCGCCGUGGCUCUAUCGCCGUCAGCCACCGCACAUGGUGGCUGGAACUCCAAAAAGGUAUUUAUUUUCUUUGAUAUAUUUAUAAAAACUUCCUUUUUAAAAAAAAAUAGAUAGAUAAAAAUAUAGAUGUAUGAGUAUAUUCGAAAAUGAAUCAGACGAAAAAAGAGAAAACGAAAUAAAUGAACGUAGGAAAGUAAUAACCUUAGUUCUUUUUUUUGAACUUUGUUUGUUUGUUCAUUUUUAUUUGAAUAUGUUCCUUUUUUGUAUUUGAUGUCUAAAAAAAACCGAAAAAAACAAUACAAAGAUUAAAGGCUUUAUAUAGCCAUUUACCAAGUGUUUUUGUUCAACUACUUGGUCAUUUCCUUUUAAUUCUUGCAGGUACAACUUGAGCGGUGGCACAGUGGCGGUGAAGCAGGUGGUAUGGGAGAUGGGACAGAGAGCAGUUGGCUGAAGGCCCUAGGUGUGGUGCACCUAGGGUUUGAAAAAUCUGAUUCUUCCUUUUUUUUUGUUUGGGCUUACAUUUGGUUUAGUUUAGUGGGUAUUGGGUUGUUUUAGGUUAGGUUUAUGUUUGGUCCGGGCAAAUUGGGCUCAUAACAGCUGCCCCUCUUUGCUUGUUGUCGUGUAACGAGAAAGGAGCAAAGACUUUAAAAGGGCCAAAUUUGGCCGAUCUCGCCGAGUCUUGACUUCUUUGGUGCUCAUCUUCUUCAGGUAGUCUUAUUCCAGUCCACUGCGUCUUGUUGCUUCGAUCCAAUCCACCACUAUGCAAUUUCAGAGGUAUAGGACUUGUCGCUUUAAUUCGCUCUAUCUACUGCAACUUCAGGGAAAUAAGAUUCGCUAUCUUUAGUCUACUCCACUGCAACUUCAGGGAGAUAAAACUAGUGACUUCAACCAGCUCUGCUGCAACUUCAGGGAGAUAAGGUUUGUUUUGAUCUGCUCUACUACAACUUUAGAGAGAUAAGAUCUGUUUAUUUAUAGCUUCAAUUUGUUCCACUACAACUUCAAGGAAAUAAGUUUCGCUAUCUUUAGUCUGCUUCACUCCAACUUCAGAGAGAUAAUACUUUAACUUCAACCUGCUCCGCUGCAACUUCAGGGAGAUAAGGUUGUGUUUUGAUCUUGCUCUACUGCAACUUCAGGGAGAUAAGAUCUGUGAUUUAUAGGUUCAAUCUGUUCCACUGCAACUUCAGGGAAAUAAGAUUUGCUAUCUUCGAUCUACUCCACUGCAACUUCAGGGAGACAAGAUUUACAAUCUUCAGCCUACUCCACUACUGUUUAGGGAGAUAGGAUAGUGGCUUAAAUCUGCUUCACUGCAACUUCAGGAAGUCAAGAUUCGUCAUCUUUGAUCUACUCCACUGCAACUUCAGGGAGACAAGAUCUACAAUCUUCAGCCUACUCCACUACUGCUCAGGGAGAUAGGAUAGUGGCUUAAAUCUGCUUCACUGCAACUUCAGGAAGUCAAGAUUCGCCAUCUUCGAUUUGCUCCACUGUAACUUCAGGGAGACAAGAUCUACAAUCUUCAGCCUACUCCACUAUUGCUUAGGGAGAUAGGAUAGUGGCUUAAAUCUGCUUCACUGCAACUUCAGGAAGAUAAGAUUCGCCGUCUUCGAUCUGCUCCACUGCAACUUCAGGGAGACAAGAUCUACAAUCUUCAACCUACUCCACUACUGCUUAGGAAGAUAGGAUGGUGGCUUAAAUCUGCUUCACUGCAACUUCAGGAAGAUAAGAUUCGCCGUCUUCGAUCUACUCCACUGCAACUUCAGGGAGACAAGAUCUACAAUCUUCAACCUACUCCACAACUGUUUAGGGAGAUAGGAUGGUGGCUUAAAUCCGCUUCACUGCAACUUCAAGAAGACAAGAUUCGCCAUCUUCGAUCUUCUCCACUGCAACUUCAGGGAGGCAAGAUCUACAAUCUUUAGCCUACUCCACUACUGCUUAGGGAGAUAGGAUGGUAGCUUAAAUCUGCUUCACUGCAACUUCAGGAAGACAAGAUUUGCCAUCUUCGAUCUUCUCCACUGCAACUUCAGGGAGGCAAGAUCUACAAUCCUCAGCCUACUCCACUACUGCUUAGGGAGAUAAGAUGGUGGCUUAAAUCCGCUUCACUGCAACUUUAGGAAGACAAGAUUCGCAUAAUUCGUAGCUUCAAUUGAUCUUGCUACACUAUCCUAUGAGGAACGUGACCCGUAGAAUCGAUUUCUUGAGCCUAUGCUAAUGCCAAAUGAUUAGGAUGUCAUGAAUAAAUCAAAUACUCCUAACUAGAUGUGUAUGGAUGAUGUUUGCAUGAAUGCAAAAAUGUCAUUUUCUUUUAAUGCUUAAUUUGAUAUUACUCAUUGUUAAUCAAGGAUUUAUCAAUGACGUAUUAUUCAGUCAUUCUCUUUAGCUGGUAUCUUUGGUAAAAAACUCGAAGAAUAAACACAAUUUGGGGCUAUUCUUUCUUACGUUUCCAACCUUUGAAUUUGGGUUAGUUUUAUCUAAAUAGUCCCAUUUCAGGUCCUUGCACUAUUUAGAAGUGUUUCAGAGUAAUGCGCAGAACUCCUAUUUUGAAUAUCAUUUGUCCACUAAUCAUUAUUUCAAUAAAAACGCUUGAAAAAGAUUAUCACAAUGGACAAGAUAGAACUUUAUUGAGAGAAAGCUCGAAAUGAAUAAGGUAAUCAAGAUAAUAAAUUUACUAAGACACAAAAUGAAUAAAAUGAAAAUAGGUGCCCUAGAUAUCGUAGCAUGAACUUCUCUGCACAGAACUUCUCUGCACAGAACUUCUUGAGGACCCUUUGAACUUGAUAUGUGUUUAGAAGACCGAGAGUACUUUGUUGAUGCCCCAAGAUGUAACAUCACUCCUUCUUGAUAAUUUAGAGAAGACAAGACUACCACAUGCCCUAUCUUUGAUCAGAAUUUGAAUUGCCCAUUCUUGGGUUUUCAGCUCAAAACCCCAUUGGUCUCGAAGCGCCCUUUUACGGGUUUUCGCCUUGGCCUCUCCCUCUUUAGGUGAAAUACUUUUUGACGGGAUCCGAAUUCACAGGAUUGGGCAAGUUUUUACCAUCCUUUUUGGCUAGAAUCAAUGCUCCCCCAGAAAAGGCUUUCUUCACCACAUAAGAUCUUUUCCAGUUUGGUAUCCAUUUCCCUCUGAAAUUUUUUUGUAUGGGAAGGAUUUUUUUUAAAACCAGGUCCCCAUCAUAGAAUUCUCUAGGGCGCACAUUUUUAUCAUAGGCUUGUAUCAUUCGCUUUUGGUACAUUUGUCUAUUAUGGAUAGCUCUUAGCCUCUUUUCUUCAAUCAAGUUCAACUGAUCGUAUCGUGACUAGAUCCACUCUGCUUCAUCUAAUUUUAACUCCGACAGCACUCGAAGAGACAGGAUCUCAACUUCGAUAGACAAAACCGCUUCCAUUUUAUAGACCAAAGAGAAAGGUGUUGCCCCGGUAGAAGUUCUGACUGAUGUUCGGUAGGCGUAGAGGGCAAAUGGUAAUUUCUCAUGCCAGUCUUUAUAAGUCUCAGUGAUUUUUCCCACGAUCUUCUUGAUGUUCUUAUUGGCUGCUUCUACCACACCAUUCAUUUUUGGGCGAUAUGGUGAUGAGUUAUGGUUUUUGAUCUUGAAUUGGCUACAGACCUCCGCUAUCGUGCUGUUGUUCAAGUUCAGUGCAUUGUCUGAAAUAAUCUUCUUAGGCAUCCCAUAUUGACAUAUGAUCUCUUUCUUUAAGAACUUGCUGACUUCCGAUUUCGUGAUGUUAGCAUAAGAAGUGAUCUCUACCUACUUGGUGAAGUAAUCGAUGACUACAAAGAUGAAUCGGUGCCCGUUAGAUGCUUUUGGCGAGAGCGGCCCAAUGGCAUCCAUGCCCCAUAUAAAAAAAGGCCAUGGAGAAGUCAUGACAUGAAGAGGUGAAGGUGGUACAUGAAUCUUAUCUUCAUAAAUUUGGCAUUUAUGGCACUUUUUGGCAUAGUUGAUGCAAUCCUCCUCCAUAGUGGACUAAUAAUAUCCGAAUCUCAUGAUUUGUCUGGCCAUUGUGAAACAGUUAGCGUGUGUUCCACAGACACCCUCAUGGACCUCUUCCGAGAUUUUCUUAGCCUCGAUAGCGACCCCACAUCUUAAGAGCACCUGAUCUUUCCUUCUUUUAUAUAGGAUCUCUCCAUCCAAGACAUUGUCGUUGACUAGCCUUCUCAAUGUCCUUUCAUUUUCUGUCGCUUGGUCUGGGUACUCACGGUUCCUCACAUAUCACAAUAUAUCUUGAUACCAAGGGUGGUCGUCUUUUUCUUCCUCUUCUUCGACGUUGUAACAAUGAGCCGGAUUCUCAUAGAUGCUCAUCUGGAUAGGCUUCAUAUCCUCUUGCUUGUUUACUUUGAUCAUAGUAGCUAAAGUUGCCAAAGCAUCAGCCAUUUGGUUUUUAUCUCGUUGGAGGUAGCAGAAUGUGAUAUCGUCAAACUCCUUAAUUAACUCUAGAACUAGCCUUCGGUAAUUGAUUAACUUAGGGUCUUUUGUCUCCCAUUCACCUUUGAGCUGGUAGAUUACUAAUGCAGAAUCCCCAUAUACUUCUAGCACUUUGAUUUUGCGUUUAAUGGCCGCACGGAUACCCAUGAUGCAUGCUUCGUACUCCGCCAUGUUAUUUGUGCAAUCAAAAUUCAAUUUACUAGUAAAGGGAUAAUGAUCUCCAUUUGGGGAUACCAGAACUGCCCCGAUUCCGUUACCCACAGCAUUUGAGGCUCUGUCAAAAUUUAGUCUCCAGGGGUGAUCUUCUUAAGAGUCUUUUUCAGUGGUUGCAAUAUACAUUAAAUCUUCAUUUAGAAAAUCAAAACUCAAAGGCUCAUAAUCUUCUAGAGCCCUACUGGCCAAAAAAUCUGCUAUUGCACUUUCUUUUAUAGCCUUCUGGUUCAUGUAGGCUAUGUCAAACUCAGAAAGCAAAAUUUGCCAACGAGCCAUUCUUCCACUCAAAGCAUUCGACUCCAUCAUGUACUUCAAAAGGUCUAGUUUCGAGAUGAGCCAAGUUGUGUGGUACAACAUGUACUGUCUCAGUCUUCGAGUUGUCCAGAUCAAAGCACAACAUAAUUUUUUGAUUGGCCAAUAUCUCGUUUCACAUUCAGUGAAUUUCUUACUGAGAUAAUAUAUCAUUUUUUUUUCUCCCUGACUCAUCAUGUUGGCCUAACACGCAUCCUAUGGAGUUUUCGAACACUGCCAAAUACAGUAUCAGUAGCUUAUCUAGACAAUGUGGAAUUAGCACUGGGGCAUUGGACAGGUAAUGCUUGACCUUAUCAAAAGUUAUCUGGCAUUCCUCAUCCCAUAUACCUGGGUUGUGUUUCCCAAGGAGAGGGAAUAUCGGGUCACAUUUCUCUGUUAGUUGCGAAAUAAACCGGGCGAUGUAAUUUAGUCUUCCUAGGAAACCUCGAACUUCUUUUUGAGUGCGUGGUACAGGUAAUUCUUGUAUGGCCUUGACUUUAUCUGGGUCAAACUCAAUCCUCUUUUCAUUGACUAUGAAUCCUAACAGCUUUCUUGACUUGGCCCCGAAGGUACAUUUUAUGGGAUUGAGCUUUAGCUGGAACUUUCUUAAUCUUAAGAAUAAUUUCUUCAAGACUUGUAUGUGCUCAUUUUCUAUUCUGGAUUUUGCAAUGAUAUCGUCGACGUAAACUUCGAUCUCCUUGUGCAUCAUAUCAUGGAACAGAGUUACCAUGGUUCUCUGAUAUGUUGCUCCUACAUUUUUUAGUCUGAAUGGCAUCACCUUAUAACAAAACGUUCCCCAUACGGUCUCGAAUGUGGUUUUUUCCAUAUCUUCAGGAUGCAUCUUUAUCUGGUUGUAUCCCGAGAAGCCAUCCAUGAAGGAGAAAAGUGAGUAACCCGCCGUGUUAUCCACUAAUGUAUCGGUGUACCACGAUAUCAAUAUUCAACUCGAACAUGUCUUGAUAUGACCAUGCGAGGACAUCCUUGAAUUUUUGUAGUAACUCAAUGAGGUCUCACUUUGUCUUUGCAGCGAUACAAGCUCCAAUCAUCACCUUUUUUCCUUCUCCUAAGCUCACAAUUUCCACUGACUCCUUGUGAAGUAAGAUUUGUUUCUCAUCUUGUUCUACCAUCCUUAACAAAUUAGGAGAUAGGUUACAGUUUCUGUCAUCUUCAAAGUCCUGAGAAUCCUCUGUACACAUAUCUUGCUCAAAAGGAGACUCUGAGUCAGUAGCAGCGUUACUCAUAUCAUUGAUAUCUAGAGACCUGUUAUAAGGAUGAAGAAAAGUCCAAAGAACAAAAGAAUCUAAGAAUAUUUAUUGGUGGUAUGAUUAUGAAUGAAAUGGAAAGAAUAAAAGAAUGUUUCCUCAAGAUGAUACGCAAAGAUGCAUUUUUAUUGAAAUAACGAUAUUGGACAAGAGCCUAUUUUACAAAAGGAUUCCUAUUGCCCCUAGGCUUAGAGCAAUAAGCUUGUUUUGGACAUUACUCUGAAUUGAUUUUAAAAGUUACAGGGAUCUCCUCCGCGGUCCAAUUGUUCAAAAAGCUCCCAGGCACGUAUGGGAAAAUGCCUAAUUGAUCCUCUUCUCUCGUUUCUUCUUCGGAUAUGGCAUUAAUGCUCAAGUUUUCCAACAUUUCUUCGGCAAACCCCUUCCUUGUUGAUCUUCCUUCGGAGUAAAUAGUCCCUCCUGACACGAAUAUUCUGGAUAUGUGGGGAAAAGUCAUUGGCUCCCAUUUAACCUCUUUCCUACUUAAACGUGCUCUUCUCCUUUCUUGUUUCUUCUCUUGCUCCUUUUUCUUUUGUUUCGCAUCUGGCUUGAAUCCUAAGCCAAAGUGGUCUCAUUUAUUCAAGAGCAUGGGUGCCUCGACCCUUCCUUGUAGGCUUCUUCCAAGCCCCCUCCCGGGCAAAGCUCUUUUCCCAAUAGUCAGUUGUAGGCGGAUCCUUGUAGUUUUGGAAAUUUUGGGCGUCAGGAUCUUAUUUCCUUCGACAAUGAAGGUCGCAUUCACAAAUUCUAAGGAUCGAAAAAAACAUUCUAUGGCUUCAUCGUUUGUCCCCACAUAUGGUGCAUCACUGGUAACGGACGUAAUGAUAUUUUUUUCCGCGUUUACAGUCACCAAUCGGCCCUCCGUUAUAAAUUUGAGCUUUUGAUGUACUGACGAUGGCACCGCCCCUGCUGAGUGAAUCCAUACCCUUCCCAAUAAGCAAUUGUACGAGGGUUUGAUGUCCAUCACCAAGACAUCUAUCUCGUAUGUGUUUGGACCAAUUAAAAGGGGUAUUUCAAUCCUCCCUAUUACCUUUCUUUCAGUUCCAUCAAAUGUUCUCACUAUAUUUUAGCAUGUCUUCAUAUGGGAACUUUCCACUAGCAACCUAUUCAGUGUGGAUAGGGGUAGGACAUUUAGUGCCGAUCCAUUAUCAAUCAAUACCACCAGCAAUGUGUAUCCUUUGCAACGAGUGGUCAUAUGCAGAGCCUUUGUAACGCCUCCUUACUCGAGACCGUCGCCGGAGUCGAGCAUGAGACAUUACCAAACUUAUUUUAGCAUUUAAACAAGUUCAAACAAUUCUCCUAGUAAACUGCCCAUUUGCAUCAUAGUCGCUAAAAAAAUCAUAUAUCGAGUUACGAAACUUGAAAUAAAAUUUUGUAAAUUUUUCCUGAAACUAGACUCAUAUAUCUACUUACUAAUAUUUUUCUAGAAUUUGGUAAGGUCAAUUUGUACAGUUUAUUAGUUAAAGUCUCCCCUAUUUCAGGGUUCGGCUACUCUGACCCCUGUGCACUACGAAUCAAAUUUCUUCCUGUACAGAGAUCCAAUAACCAUAUUGCUUUUUCUCUUAAACAUAGACUCAAUAAGGAAUCCAUAAAUAUAAAGUGUGAGUCAUAAUUAUUUUUAAACAAUUUAUGGUGAAUUUCUAAAGUCAGAAUAGGGGAUCCGAAAUCACUCUGGCCCUAUUUCACCAAAACGUAAAUAUCUCAUAAAAUAAAACUCUUUUACCUAUUUUAUUUCUUCUACAUGAAAAAAGAUUCAUUAAGCUUCAAUUCCAUAUUUUAGUCAUCAUCUAAUUCUAUCUCUACUAUUUUUAGUGAUUUUUCAAACUCACGUCACUGCUGCCGUGUGAUUCUGUUUUAUAGCCAAUUUCACCAUUUUAUAGAUUUCCAUAGAUUAGUUAGCACAUAAAGCAUACGUGUUAUCAAAUAUAAUCUUGAUUAGCCACUCCAAUAGCUAAUCAUUUUCAAAAAUUUCCAUGUAAUCCAUGAGCCAUAUCAUAAGAUUAUAUACACAAAAUGAUUAUAAUGCUAUACAUGUCAUAUUCCCAAAAUAUACAAGUCAUUAUACCGAAAUAGUUUGUUGAUAGUGUGAGCACGCCUCCGACCGUUCCCGAUCUCCUAGCCAGCUUGACAAAACUACAAAGAAUAGAGAGGAGGGAGUAAGCAUAAUUGCUUAGUAAGUUCACAUGUAAAUGGCAAGUAACAUAACCAUGCAAUCUAACAUAAAACAUCAUUUGCAUAAAUAUCACCAAGGCAUUCAUGUUACACUUGCAUUUACUAUCUUACCAUGAUUUCAUUAUACCAAGUUCUCAACCCGAGGGUUUAAGCACAUACCUGUCAAUUUUUCUCAUUCACCACACUUACCAACAUGUCACCUUCGUUUUAGGUACUCACCUUAUUCACUUAAGAUUUACCCGUUGAACACAUCGGAAUAUGAUUCGAAUACACAGAUUUCAUGCACAUAAGUGCCAUUCUCGUAGCUAGACAAACUCAAUAGCCUGCGAAAAUUAUGUAACCAAGCUACCAUGUAACCCGCCCAUAAGUGAACUCGGACUCAACUCAACGAGCUCAGAACUCAAAUAUCCUAGUGACAUGUCACUUGUAUCCUAAUCUAUUCUCAAGGUUCAAAUGGGAUUUUCCUCAAUCACACAUCUUUGCUGUCUUCCACGGAAUGUCAGAACCGAUACUUGAUAGCAUUUCAUAUUUAUCAAGUAGCUCACAUAAUUUGUAUAUUACUAAAUAAUAAUCCACAAAGCAUAAUAUUUCAUGAUAAUAAUCAUCAUAUCAUAUAAAUAACAUUAAAUUACUUAAAAUGACAAUUAUGUUACUAUAUUUACACCUGAACUUACCUCAGUACAAGAUAAAGAAAUUUUCCAAUUUAGCCCAUAAUCUUUUCCUUUCCCCGAUCAAGGUCGAUUCCACGUCUUUCUUGGUCUAAAAUAAUACAUUUAGCUAAUUUAAUACUCACAUUUAUCAAAAUAGUCCUUAUCUCUAACUUUUGAAAAAUUACAAUUUUGCCCCUAAACUUUUGCAUAUUUACACUUUUGCCCCAAAGCUCAAAAAUUAAAUUUUUUUCUAAAAUUAUUAUGUUUUAUGAAGUGAAAAUCAAUUUUCCCUUCUAUGGAAACAUCAAAUUCUCACUCUAACAUGUAGUUAUAAACAUUAGGUAUUUUUACUGAUUAUGUCAGUUUACUCGUUUUCACGUAAAAUCGUUUAGCAAAAGUUGUUUAACACAAUUUCAAGCUUCAUAUUCUACCAUAAAACAUCAAAAUAAACAAAUUUCACCUAUGGGUAUUUUUCCAAAUAUAAACCCUAGGUUAAAUUAUUGCUAGAAUAAGCUAAAUUAAAUUACCGGGACUUCAAAAAUGUAAAGAACAUUAAAAACGGGGCUUGGAAUCAGUUACUAUGGAGCUUGGAAGCUUGAAACAAACCCUAGCUAUGGAGAAUCCUUGAAAUUUCGUCCUAAUGAAGAAGAUGGACAUGUUUUUUCAUCUUUUUUCCUUUUUUUAAUCUUUUAAUUACCAAAUGAUUAAAAUACCUUUCAUUAAAAACUUUGGUUAUUUCGACCUAUGUAUGUCCAUUUUUGUCCAUGAAAACAUAAUGGUAUAAUUAUCAUUUAAGGACCUCUACUUCAAUUAUGCUCUUCAAUUAAAUCUUUUAACAUCUAAAACUCAUAUUUAUCAAUUUUUGCAAUUAAGUCCUAAUAGGCAAAUUAGACAUGCAAUUCAUGAAAUUUUCUAUCGAUAUUCUAACACAUGCAUCUAAUCACUCAAUAAAUUAUAAAAAUUAAUCGAAAUAAAUUUUUCUACUUCAGAAUUAUGGUUUCGAAACCACUAUUCUGUUUAGGCCCUAAUUCGGGAUAUCACGGCCUUUGUGGAUCCCAAUACCUCCCGGUGGUAUUUCGUCAUCAUUAAAGAAAAUAAAAUUGUCGACACUAAUGUUGUUGACCAGACGAUCCAGUUUGUUGAUAGAGAUGUCAUCCGUGACAUAUGUCUCGUUUAGCACCUUCAUUAACGAGCUCCAAUGUGUCUCCGAGCUCAAAAUUAAGGCUAGCACUGAGAUACGAGCUAGCUGCUUAUGUAGCUGUUCUACACCGCUGUAUUCACUGUUCUUUAAGAACGUUAAAAAUUCCUUAGCCUCCUUUUCAGUCACCGACUCAUUGACUGGUGAUUCAGGUCUGGUUGUCUUCUCUUUCCUUUCCUCGACUAGUGAGGUCUUUUCUUUGACAAUUUCAGUUCUUAUACCCGCAGGAUCAUAAUGUCUCCCACUGCGUGUAUAAAAACCUACAUCUUGGUUCCCCUCUGAAGCACUAGCCGGGCUCUCCUUCCCCGGAAUUGUCACGUUGCAAUUGUAAUUGCAGGGAACCCUUUUGCUAUCCUCGUAGGGGAAGGAUACAGGUUUCUGGAUUAUGAUUCUCUGUGCUAUUUGUACUCCUGCUUCAUUUUUCCUUGGUCGUGAAAUGAUCACCACAGGAUGAUUAACUCUUUGGACCCCUUCUAUUGUUCCCUCCUCUGAGGCGUAAACCUCUCAUUCCUCUGAUCUUCUGAUUUCUUCAUAAAAUUCUAUCUCCUUAUUGUCCAUCAGAUUUUGCACUAUGGACCUGAACUUAUUGCACUCUUGGAUGUCAUGGCCUUCAUCGGCAUGAAACUCGCAGUAUCUUCUCGCUUCUCUAGGCCUUUCCCUUGAAUGUCGUAUGACUAAACCUCCUUCCACCAUCCUCUUUCAAACCCAUUUCAACGAGGUUUUUACCUCUAAUACAUCCAUCUUAAUUCUCCUCCCUCCAUUUUCAAAUUAUCACGAUUACACCUUUGUCUGAAUGACUAGGUAACGGAUUCCCUGCCAUAUUAGGUCCUAUGGGAUCAUCGAAUUUCACAAUGCCCAUGUCUAUGAGCCUUUCGACUAUCUUUUGGAAGGCAUUACAGUUCUCAAUCGUGUGUCCUGAGAUUCCUGCAUUGUAUUCGCAUUGAGCGUUUGCGUCAUACCACUUAGAGAAUAGAUUUUGCAAAGGCUUCAAGUAGAAGGGUGACACCACAUAGGCAUCGAAUAAACUUUGAUACAACUAUCUGUAUGACAUUGGGAUAGGCUUAAACUGGACUCUUUCCGUGUUAGGCCUUGGGUUGGAAUCUUGUCUUGCGGAGCCUGAUGGCUAGUAGUCACUGUCUUCAGUUGGCUUAUGGUGACUGGCAUGGAAUAACUCUUAUUGUGCAUGCUCGUGUUGUUCACCUCAUUUUCUUUCCUUCUUGGGGUUGAUUUCUUGGCAUUUUCCCUUGCUUCAAUCUUCCUGCACCUUAUCGCGUUCUCUAUCAUCUCUCUAGAUAUUACUAUGUCUGAGAAGCUCUUAGUAGUGCUUCUCAGCAUGUGCUUGAUGAAUGGAGCCUUCAGAGUAUUGAUAAAGAGCAUAGUCAUUUCUUUGUCUAGAAGAGGUGAUUGGACUUGCAUCGCCACCUCUCUCCAUCUUUGGGUGUAUUGCCUGAAGCUCUCAUUUGGUUUCUUCUCCUUGUUUUAUAACGUGAUUCGGUCGAGUGCUAUGUCUGUCACGUAGCCUUAUUGCUUCAUGAAAGCUUGUGCCAUGUCUUUCCAUGAAUGGAUUUGAGCGUGGAUUAGUUGGUUGUACCAUUUGGCCGCAGACCUGACCAAAUUAUCUUGGAAGCAGUGGAUCAAUAGUUGGUCCUUGUGAACAUACCCUGCCAUUCUUCGACAGAACAUGGUAAUGUGAGCCUCUGGAUAGCUAGUCCCAUUGUACUUUUCAAAGUCUAGGGUUUUGAACUUAGGAGGGAGUGCUAAAUCUGGGACCAAACUUAGGUCCUUGGCAUCCAUCCCGCAAUGGUAAUCAGCGUUCUCCAUUGCUCUGAGUUUUUCUUUCAGCUACUUGUAUCAAUCAUCCAGUUGUUUUGGUGGCUCCACUCUUAUUUUCUCCACCUCCACUACAUUAUCUAGAUCAGGAACAAGGGGAUUGGUUGGGUUAUCCCCAAGAUUAGAACCCGAGCCUGUUUGAUAAUUUAUUAGUGCUGAAUUAUCGGUUUGAUACUGUUGAGGCCUGAUAGUAACGGGUACCCCUCGUGGGUACACUUCUGGUGGUGUUUGGAUGUUGAUUGGAGUAAAGCUCGGGGGGUAGAUAGGAUCCUCAUUUUUGUUCGCAGUAUUCUUCCCUUUUUCACGUUCUUUGACCAGCAACUGCGCCAAUUGGCUUAACAUAUUAUUUUGGGACUCUUGCAUUUGUUCCCUCAUAUCUUGUUGUAUUUUAGCUAACUGCUCUAGCAUCUGUGUUUGCAAUUGUUCUUGAAUAUCAUAUUGCAUUUGUUCUAGUCUUUCUAGCCUUUAAUCCAUUGCUUUAGUUUUGUGGCGGGUAUUGUAGUGGUAUUCGGCUGGUUGACUCUUAUUGGUUUUCAGAUUAACUGAAAUAUUUUUUUUUAAAUUAGGAUCUUUUCAUGCAUAUGAUGAAAUGUAAUGCAAAUGAAUGAAAUGAAUGCAAAAAGAGGCGUUGAUUCUGAUUCAAUUUCAUUAGAACAACUUUACUAGAAGAAAAAUUUCUUUACAUAGAGCGGAUGAUUACAUAUACAACUUUACCCUAAUGCCCAAAGCCUUAACCUUCCUAAGGAGCCAAGCUAAGUCCCGGCCUUGAUCUGAUUCUGAUUCUGAUUCGUACUUUAAGCUUAAUAUAUCAGCCUGAACUACCAAGGUUUGCAAAUGAUCGGCUACCUCUCGCACUUGAGCCACAGCUUCGCCCAUGACAUAAUCUCUAUUUCUAAUCUGAUCUUGAGAGCAGUGGAGUUUUUCUUUACAAUGUACAUUGUUUGCCUCAAAGAAUCCCACUCGACUUUUGCUACUUGUAGUGCCGUCUCGAGUUCCUCUAUUUCCCUUUUCAACUCCUAGAUCUUGCCUAAACUAGCCUUCAACUCGAUUUGUAACACCCCAAACCUGACCCAGACGUUAUGGCCAAACCCGACGUGUCACAUUGAUGUUUUUAAGAAAACCCAUGCCUCUUUCAACGGCCUUCUUAAUGUUUUAAAAGAUAGCCUUUGCUAAGUUAAUAAAGUGAAUGGAAGCUGUGCACCAGGUAGGUAUCCGAAAUAGAGGAGGUGAGCCAUGAAGGCUGCUUAAGUACCAAGCUCUUGAUUGGAUCCAAUCCUAGACAUGCCCAUAACCAUUGCCACACUUUGAUGCGAGGUUAGGUUUUGGAAGAAAAAUUGAGUUGGAAUUCACUUAAGUAGAUAUUUUUGAUAAACCGAUUAGUUGUAUCGUUGUGUUAUUUUGAAAACAAGUAUCAUUUUGAAAAUGCGCCCUAAGUCUAACCCAUUUUGGAUUGUUAUCAGUAAAAUAUAGAGUAUAAAAUAAAAUAAUCCCAGAAAAAUAAUUAAAAUGGCCUUAUUACAACCCAAAACCAAAUAAUAAUAAUUAAGAUAAAACUUAUAAAAAAAGUAAGUUACUUAUUGCAAAGUUCGAAAGCGAUCACCACAGCCACUCUGAAUCCCAUCCGGCUCCAAGUCCCCACAUCAAGGCUCCCUUGGAAGGUUAAGGAAAGGGGUGAGUUUGGAAACUCAGUGUGCAAAAAGCCCCUUUCAGAGCCCAAACUAAUAUCAGCUUACUGGGCUUAAGCCCUAAUUCAGUCUCGACAUAUACUGGGCCGAAGCCUUUCGUUUAACGGUUACUAGGCCGAAGCCUUUUCAUAAAUCAUAUCACUGGGUCGAAGCCUUUACUAUAAACGGUAUGGCCCAUAGGCCCAUUUCAAUAUCACAUGAAAUACCAAUGAAUGUAUGCAAACCCAUUGAGGCCACCCGUACUCUCCACCCGUACCAGUCAAGCUCUCCAUGUGGGGAAUAACUCAACCCACCCAACCAAACUCUCCAUUGGCAGCAUAGCUGCUUUAUCAUAUAACUGGAGGCCUAGCCUCUUUUAAUAACUGGGGCAAAGCCCUUUUUGGUAAACUAGGGCAAAGCCCUUUUCGCACUUCCUCUAUUUAUAUAAAACCCAACCCAUACAUAUAAUGAGUAUAUCAUAGCAUAUCAUGUGCAUCUCAUAACAUAUCAUGUGCAUAUCAUGUCAUAUCAUGUAUAACAAUAUCUCAUACAUCAUAUUCAUAAUUAAACCCUAGGGGGUAUAAUGGUCAUUUUUACCUAGGGGCAAAAUAGUCAAUUUUCAUAUUAUAAGGGUAAUUUCGUAAUUUUACCAAAUAUCAGGGCUUUACAUGUUCAUUAACAAUUAUCAAUAUUUUCGAGUGUUUAAACAAUGAUCUUUAACCUACUUUAUCAAAAUCGGGCUUUUGGGCCCAAAACCCCUAAUGGGCCCUACGAAUGCCGUUUUAGCCCACUAAGCCCACUUAACCCAGAUUUUACAAUAGUACUAAUCGUGUUAACAUGCAACUUUUCCAAAUUCCGUUUUCUAUCAAUUUUACCCAAAUGGGCCCGAAAGCCCACUAGGCCUGAUUCCAGCCCAUUGAGGCCCAACUUAUCAUCGUGCACAAAAUUGCGCUCUUACCUGUUCCAUCGAUACAAACACCUAUCUUAUCAUACUUAUCGCAUCUAUAACCAAACACAAAAUCACAAAUUCCCGAAAUGCCAGAAUUUUAGCAUUUCGGCUUUUCAGCGAAUAUUAAUCUAAGCUACUACGAGGGUUAUUACACACCUGUUUUGUGGCGUUUGCUAACAAAGUCUCCCAUGACAACCUUCACAGGGUCCGAUGAUUCGAUCCAAGUUUAUCCAAACCAAUACUCCAAGCCUUGCUGCUCCUCCAAAGUUGUCUAUUUCUCACAGUCUUCCCUUCUGCACUGUUUAGACCCAAAGUAGACUUAGCACUCAACCACCUAGCAGCCUUCGAAUCCUAGAGGUUUACAGGUUCGGCUAUGCCCCUAGAACUAAGGUAUUUCGGCUUUUAGGACCAAGAAAAAGAAAUGGUGUGGUGGCUUUGUAUUGGUGUUGCCGUCGGGGACUUUUAGAGUUUAGUGGAUGAAGGGAUCGGACACAACAAAUGAAGAGAAAAGAAGGAUGCUGGUCUAAAUGAAAUCGGCACAACCAACUUCAAAAGUUUCAGCUCUUGUGGCUAUUCGGCAAGGGUGAUGAAACGAAAGGGAGUAGUAGUUUGGUUUUGGCAAAAGAAGAGAAAGAAAAAAAAAUGGAUGAAAAGAGUGGUGAUUUCGACUAGAGAAGAAAAGGAAGAAAAGAAAUAACCCUAUGAUGUUUAAACAAAAGAAAACAGCACAACUAACCUAAAACCCCUAAGCCGAUUUUUCCUCCCUAAAUUCCCACUAUUCAGCCAACACUAAGCCUCUAUUCAAAUCCCCAAAAUCUCUCCCUUUAUCACUCCUAAAUUCAUGCAUUUGACUGAUUCAAACUCUUUCCAAUAGAGUUCCAUUCGACUUCAAACUCCUGCAUGCUCAAGACAUAAAAAUAACAACACAAUUGCCAGCUUAGUGAAUCGAACCUUAGCCUUCCCCCAACCACUUACACGCCACUUUUUUUUUAGCUCCUUAGUGGCGUCACUUAACCACUUUGCUAGGGGCUCUCUUGUGUUACAUUUUACCCACAUCUUUUAAUAAGGCCACCUAUCCAAUGCCCUUAACUCCUUAAGUCCAAAAUCCAAAAAUUCUACCAGGUUUUGGCCAACACAUGGGCCUUCCAUAGGCCCAUUUACACACUCCAAUUAUGAAUUUCACAACCAAAUACGAAAUUUUAAAAAUUUUACCAAAGUCUCUAAAAUUACGAAAAUCCCGAAAAUCUAGGUGUUACAACUCUACCCUCCUUAAAGAAAUUUCGACCUCGAAAUUUUACCUGAUCCAAACAGUUGAGGGUAUUAUUGACGCAUCGCCUCCUCUGACUCCCAAGUAGCUUUUUCUUUGCUAUGGUUUUUCCAAAGUACCUUCACCAAUGGGACUGACUUUCUUCUCAAAACCUUGACGUCACGAUCAAGUAUCAGCAUAGGUUCUUCUUCGAAGGUCAAAUCUGCCUGUACCUCAAUUUCUACAACUGGCACGAUAUGAGUAGGGUCAGAAAGAUAUCGCCUUAGCAUGGACACAUGAAAGACAUCAUGAAUACGAUCUAGCUCUAGAGGUAACUCUAGCUGAUAAGCCACCGGCCCUAUCCGCUUAAGGAUCCGAUAAGGCCCAAUGAACCAUGGACUCAACUUGCCCUUCUUACCAAACCUCAAUAUCUUCUUCCAAGGAAAAACCUUCAAAAAGACCAUGUUCCCUACAACAUACUCAAUAUCCUUACGCUUCAUAUGAGCAUAAGACUUUUGUCGAUCCACUGCCUCCUUUAACUGACUCUUGAUCACCUUAACUUUGUCUUCAGUAUCCAUAACUAACUUCGGUCCAAGUACUUGCCUUUCCCCCAACUCUGCCCAACAAGUAAGUGAACGACACCUUCGCCCAUACAGUGCCUCGUAAAGAGCCAUCUGAAUACUUGCUUGGUAACUGUUGUUAUAUGCGAACUCCGCCAAUGACAAGUAAUCCUCCCAACUGCCCCUAAAGUCGAUAACACAACCCCUCAACAUAUCUUCUACAAUCUGAAUGACCCUCUCUGACUGCCCAUCCAACUGAGGGUGAAAAGCCAUACUAAAAUCCAAUCGCGUUCCCAACGCCUCAUGCAACUUCUGCCAAAACUGAGAUGUAAACCUUGGGUCUCGGUCAGAAAUUAUCGAUACUGGCACCCCAUGCAACCGCACUACCUCUGCCACAUACAACUUGGCCAACCUCUGAUUGAGUAAUCAGUCCGGACAGGUAUGAAAUGGGCAGAUUUCGUCAGCCUAUCCACAAUCACCCAAACUGAGUCCUUCUUGGAAGGUGUCAAUGGCUGACCACUCACAAAAUCCAUGGUUACCCUUUCCCAUUUCCAAAGUGGUAUCUUCACUGGCUGUAACAAUCCUGAAGGCAGCUGAUGCUUGGCCUUUACUUGUUGACAUGUCAAACAUUUUCCCACAAAUUCGUUCACUUCUCGCUUAAGCCCAGGCCACCAAUAUAGCUCUCGCAAGUCUCAAUACAACUUACUCCCUCCUGGAUGCAUAGCACAAGGUCCACCAUGAGCCUCUCUCAAAAUCAUCAAUCUUAAAUCAGAGUCCUUCAGCAUACAAAUUCUUCCUCGAAAACAAAGAACCCCAUCACUAUUUAAUCCAAAGUCUGAAUUCUCCCCCUUCUCAGCUUGCUGAAACCGAGAAACCAACGACUCAUCCACCAAUUGCUAUUUCUUAAUCUGCUCCUCCCAAGUUGGUCUCACUUGUAACUCUGCCAAUAAGUUUCCAUCGUCAUACAAUCUUAAACGAGCAAACAUUGCCUUCAUUUCCGCCACAGUCCUUCGACUCAACGCAUCAGCCAUGACAUUUGCCUUACCUGGAUGGUACUCAAUCGAAUAGUCAUAGUCCUUUAACAACUCUAUCCACCUUCACUAUCUAAGAUUCAGCUCCUUUUAAAUCAGCAAGUACUUAAAACUCUUAUGAUCCGUAUAAAUAAUGCAUCUCUCCCCAUACAAGUAGUGCCUCCAUAUCUUAAGUGCAAAGAUCACUGCUGCCAACUCCAAGUCAUGAGUAGGAUAGUUUACCUCAUGAGGCUUAAGCUGUCGUGAAGCAUAAGCGACCACUUUACCCUCUUGCAUCAACACACAGCCCAAACCUACAUGUGACGCAUCAUUGUACACAGUGAAAUGGCUAAAUCAACAUUACUGCCUCAGUCAGAACCUUCUUUAACUUCUCAAAAGCCUAUUGCUGCUUAUUUGUCCAAACAAACGGUGCUCCGUUCCUUAUAAGUUUCGUUAACGGUGCUGCCAACACAGAAAAUCCUUCCACAAAUCUUCGAUAAUAACUUGCCAACCCCAGAAAACUUUAGAUUUCUGUUACUGACCUCGGUGGCUUCCACUCCAAAAUCGUCUCAAUCUUCCGAGGGUCUACCUUGAUCCUCAAAACAGACACAACAUGCCCUAGGAAAGUUACUUCACUCAACCAAAACUCGCACUUACUAAACUUUGUAUAGAGUUGCUUUUCCCUUAGCACUUGCAGCGCAAUACGAAGAUGCUCAUCAUGCUUCUCUUUCGUUUCUGAGUACACCAAGAUAUCAUCAAUAAAAAUAACUACGAACUGAUCCAAGUACGGCUGAAAUACUCGAUUCAUCAAAUCCAUGAAUGCUGUCGGUGCAUUAGUCAAACCAAAGGGCAUAACCAAGAACUCAUAAUGACCAUAUCGAGUUCUGAAUGCCGUCUUAUGAAUAUCCUCUUCUUUGACUCUCAGCUGAUGAUAUCCUGACCGAAGGUCAAUCUUAGAAAAUACUGAAGCUCCUAUCAGUUGGUCAAACAGAUCGUCGAUUCUCGGUAAAGGAUACUUGUUUUGAUCGUCAGUUUGUUUAACUGCUGAUAAUCAAUACACAUCCGCAUGGUCCCAUCUUUCUUCUUUACGAACAACACUGGUGCGCCCCACGAAAAAACACUUGGUCUUAUAAACUCUCUAUCCAACAGUUCUUGAAUCUGAGCUUUCAGUUCCACCAACUCCUUUGGUGCCAUCCUGUAAGGUGCAAUGGACACUGGAGCUGUUCCAGGUAACAAGUCAAUUCUGAAUUCGACUUCUCUGUUUGGAGGUAGUCCAGGAAUUUCCUCAGGAAAAACAUUUUGAAAUUUUUUGACGGUCCUAACUGACUCCACAGUCAUCCCCUCAGGUUCAGCUUGACUCACAAAUGCUAAAAACGACUCACAACCUUUCCGAAUCGACUUCUCAUCCCUUAAAGCCAAGACAAAAUUGGACAAAUAGUUCCUUCGCUCCCCUAUGACCAUUAUCUCCUCAUCCUCGAUAGUUCUUAGCACCAUUCUCUUAACAGCACAAUCCAACGUUGCCCUAUGCUUAGAUAGCCAGUCCACUUCUAAAAUAAGAUCAAAUUCCCUAAAUGGCAGCUCCAUCAAAUCUCCUACAAAUAUCUUAUCUUGUGUCUCUAAAGGCACUUCUCUAAAGAGUUUAUCUACUUUAACCGAGUGUCCCAAAGGACUUAUCACUAAUACCCCACUCACAGUCUCCUUAGGAAGUACACCCAACGCCCUAGAUAUAUUACAGGCAACAUACGAAUGAGUGGAACCAACAUCAAUCAAAGCAGUGUAAGGCGUGCUAUGAAUGAAGAACGUACCGGUUAUAACAUCAGGAGCAUCACCCUCCUCACGACGCCGUGCAGCAUAAACCAAUGCCAAAUUUUGAGCUUCAGCAUGUCCAGCACCCCUGCCAGUUGCCCCACGUCCUCGUCCAUUACCAUUACCACCUCUACCUUACCCACGGCCUCUCUGUGGUGGUGGUCCUCCUCGUAGCGAUUGGACACCUCUUUGCUCCGCAACUUGAUCCUGAGCUGCUCUCCGAGGACACUCUCUGAAUUUAUGUUCCUUUGACCCACAUCAAAAACAUGUUCCACUUCAUUUCCAGCACUCCCCCAUGUGCACUCUGCCACAGUCCCUGCAAGCCUGCGGUCUAAAGGUAUUCACCGAAACUGCUCGAACCGGUUUCUCUAUUCUAGCUCUUUUAACAUUUCUAUAUGCAGCACCCGAGGGUCUAGAAUCCCUCCUGAAUCUGGGUCGAUCCCUCUCACGAUUCUGCCGUUCAGUUCGUUUUACUUCCUCGGCUAUCUUAACCUUCUCUACCAACGCAGUGAAAUCACGCUCCCUCUAUGGAGCUAUCAGUACCCUAAGCUCAUCCCGGAAGCCAUCCUCGAAUUGAACACUGUGCUCAUAUUCGGUCGCAACUAUCCCGCUAGCGUAUCGAUUCAGCCCCAAGAAUUCCGCCUCAUACUCCGCAACAGUCUUAUUACCCUGAGCCAGAUUCAAAAAUUCCUUUCGACGGGCAUCCACAUAACUAGCUCCAACAUACCUCCCCUUAAAAGCAGUCUUGAACAGUUUCCAGGUUACUCGUUCGAUCGGGGUACUCUCUCUUAAAGUGAUCCACCACUGGUAUGCCUCAUCUCGUAGCAACGAAACGUCCCCCUUCUGCUUUUGUUUCACAGAGCAAUCUAGGUCGUCCAUAAUCUACUCUGUUGCCUCUAGCCAAUAUUCAGCCACGUUUGAGGCUACUCCAGAUACGCCCCUAAAAACCUAUGCUCCGUUAGCUCGGAGUCACUCAAAGAUGGAUCCCCUAUUCAUUGUCCCAGUGCUAGCUCCGACAACCCUUUCCAAAACCCUUAACAUCGCUUGGGACAAAGCAUCAUCCCCCGAAGCCCGAUCAUGUAACCCAUUCUCAGUUGCUUGUGGCUCGGAUGCCUCCUCAGCUAGCCUAUACCCUAAGGAUAAAGAUUCAGCUUGCACCCUUCCGUGACCACGUCUGCGGCCUCGUCCACGAGUUCCUCUUUUACUCAUAUCGAAUUAUCUGAUUACGAAUUUUUAUGACAUUAGUUUAAUAUUUCAGUUGUUUAUUACGAGAUGUCUUAUGGAAAUAUAACAGUUCAGGAAUUGUUUUCACAACGUCGUAGUUGAGCUACAGUCUCAAUCCUACUGCUUUACAGCUCUACCCUAUCUAAAGUAUCAUAGUAGGGUCUUAGUUCUAUCUAUAGCAUCAUAUCAAUAUCACACGGUGUAAAAGAAAGUACACUUACAGACUUGGUAUCGGGGAUUCAGUGUGCCACUUCUUUCUCCAAACCAUUUAAAACUUAAAAAAAUGUAUUUGGUCACAGAAAAUAAGUUUAAAAAAAAGUUUCUUUUUAGAAAUUCUUAAAAAUUGAUUUAAAAUACCUUUAUUUUGAAAUUCUUGAGUUUAAACCCGUUUAAAACCCACAGCCGAGUUAUUGCAACCUGGCUCCGAUACCACUAAAUGUAACACCCCAAACCCGGCCCAGACGUUAUGGCCAAACCCGACGUGUCACAUUAAAGUUUUUAAGAAAACCCAUGCCUCUUUCAAUGUCCUUCUUAGUGUUUUAAAAGAUAGUCUUUGCUAAGUUAAUAAAGUGAAUGGAAGUUGUGCACCAGGUAGGUAUCCGAAACAGAGAAGGUGAGCCAUGAAGGCUGCUUAAGUACCAAGCUCUUGAUUGGAUCCAAUCCUAGACAUGCCCACAAUCAUUGCCACACUUUGAUGCGAGGUUAGGUUUUGGAAGAAAAAUCGAGUUGGAAUUCACUUAAGUAGAUAUUUUUGAUAAACUAAUUAGUUGUAUCGUUGCGUUAUUUUGAAAACAAGUAUCAUUUUGAAAACGCGCCCUAAGUCUAACCCAUUUUGGAUUGUUAUCAGUAAAAUAUAAAGUAUAAAAUAAAAUAAUCCCAGAAAAAUAAUUAAAAUGGCCUUAUUACAACCCAAAACCAAAUAAUAAUAAUAAUUAAGAUAAAACUUAUAAAAAAAAUCGGUUACUUAUUGUAAAGUUCGAAAGCGAUCACCACGGCCACUCUGAAUCCCCUCCGGCUCCAAGUCUCCACAUCAAGGAUCACCUGUAAGGUUAAGAAAAGGGGUGAGUUUGGAAACUCAGUGUACAACAAGCCCCUUUCAGAGCCCAAACUAAUAUCAGCAUACUGGGUCUAAGCCCUAAUUCAGUCUCGACAUAUACUGGGCCGAAGCCUUUACUGUAAACGGUAUGGCCCAUAGGCCCAUUUCAAUAUCACAAGAAAUACCAAUGAAUGUAUGCACGCCCAUUUGGGGAGACUACUCAACCCACUAUCCGCUACUCUCCACCCGUACCAACUAAGCUCUCCAUGUGAGGAAUAACUCAACCCACCCAACCAAACUCUCCACUUGCAGCAUAGCUGCUUUAUCAUAUAACUGGAGGCCUAGCCUCUUUUAAUAACUGGGGCAAAGCCCUUUUUGGUAAACUGGGGCAAAACCCUUUUCGCAUUUCCUCCAUUUAUAUAAAACCCAACCCAUGCAUAUAAUGAGUAUAUCAUAGCAUAUCAUGUGCAUCUCAUAACAUAUCAUGUGCAUAUCAUGUCAUAUCAUGUAUAACAAUAUCUCAUGCAUCAUAUUCAUAAUUAAACCCUAGGGGGUAUAAUGGUCAUUUUUACCUAGGGGUAAAAUAGUCAUUUUUCAUAUUAUAAGGGUAAUUUCGUAAUUUUACCAAAUAUCAAGGUUUUCCAUGUUCAUUAACAAUUAUCAAUAUUUCUGAGUGUUUAAACAAUGAUCUUUAACCAACUUUAUCAAAAUCGAGCUUUUGGGCCCAAAACCCCUAAUAGGCCCUAUAAAUGCCAUUUUAACCCACUAAGCCCACUUAACCCAAAUUUUACAACAGUACUAACCGUGUUAAACCCAAAUUUUACAAUAGUACUAACCGUGUUAACAUGAAUUUUACAACAGUACUAACCGUGUUAACAUGCAACUUUUCCAAAUUCCAUUUUCUAUCAAUUUUACCCAAAUGGGCCCGAAAGCCCAUUGGGCCCCGAUUCCAGCCCAUUGAGGCCCAACUUACCAUCGUGCAAAAAACUGCGCUCUUACCUGUUCCAUCGAUCCAAACACCUAUCUUAUCGUAUUUAUCGCAUCUAUAACCAAACGCAAAAUCACAAAUUCUCGAAAUGCCAGAAUUUUAACAUUUCGGCUUUUCAGCGAAUAUUAAUCUAAGCUACUAUGAGGGUUAUUACACACCUGUUUUGUGGCGUUUGCUAACAAAGUCUCCCAUGACAACCUUCACAGGGUCUAAUGAUUCGAUCCAAAAUUAUCCAAACCGAUAUUCCAAGCCUUGUUGCUCCUCCAAAGUUGUCUAUUUCUCACAGUCUUCCCUUCUGCACUAUUUAGACCCAAAGUAGACUUAGCCAUCAACCACCUAGCAGCCUUCAAAUCCUAGAGGUCUACAGGUUCGGCUAUGCCCCUAGAACUAAGGUAUUUCAGCUUUUAGGACCAAGAAAAAGAAAUAGUGUGGUGGCUUUGUAUUGGUGUUGCCGUCGGGGACUUUUAGAGUUUAGCGGAUGAAGGGAUCGGUCACAACAAAUGAAGAGAAAAGAAGGAUGCUGGUCUAAAUGAAAUCGGCACAACCAACUUCAAAAGUUUUGGCUCUUGUGGCUAUUCGGCAAGGUGAUGAAACGAAAGGGAGUAGUAGUUUGGUUUUGGCAAAGGAAGAGAAAGAAAAAAAAAUGGAUGAAAGGAGUGGUGAUUUUGGCUAGAGAAGAAAAGGAAGAAAAGAAAUAACCCUAUGAUGUUUAAACAAAAGAAAACAGCACAACUAAAGUCCGUAAUGCCGAAAUACUAACCUAAAACCCCUAAGCUGAUGUCUCCUCCCCAAAUUCCCACUAUUCAGCCAAUACUAAGCCUCCAUUCAAAUCCCCAAAAUCUCUCCCCUUAUCACUCCUAAAUUCAUGCAAUUGACUGAUUCAAACUCUCUCCAACAGAGUUUCAUUCGACUUCAAACUCCUGCAUGCUCAAGACAUAAAAAUAACAACACAAUUGCCAACUUAGUGAAUCGAACCUUGGCCUUCCCCUAACCACUUACACGCCACUUUUUUUUAGCUCCUUAGUGGCAUUACUUAACCACUUUGCCAGGGGAUCUCUUGUGUUACAUUUUACCCACAUCUUUUAAUAAGGCCACCUAUCCAAUGCCCCUAACUCCUUAAGUCCAAAAUCCAAGGAUUCUACCGGGUUUUGGCCAACACAUGGGCCUUCUAUAGGCCCAUUUACACACUCCAAUUAUGAAUUUCACAACCAAAUACCAAAUUUUAAAGAUUUUACCAUGGUCUCUAAAAUUACGAAAAUCCUAAAAAUCUGGGUGUUACACGAUUACAAAGUUACGGUUACGAUGUCAUGUAGUGAUUUUUUCAAUUUGGCCACCGAGCUUGUAACCUCUCUUUUUUGUUUUAGCUUUCCAAUAAACUAUUUUUCAAAGCGUCUACCCACAUUCGGAUAUCUUGAAACUUCUCCUCCCAAUGAUCGGCUCUAGCCUUUUCUUCUUUAAUUUCUUGACGCCAUUGUUCUGACGUUUUACCCAAAUCGGCAGUUCUCAUUAACAUACGUAGCUUUUUGCAAUCAGUUUUCAAACUAUCUAGAUCUUCCUCGACCUUAUUUUUUCCCUUUUUUUAAUUUCUCGACCUCUAGCUUGUGGAUAUCAACGUCUAAUCCCAACUUCAUCUUCUCCUCUUCUAACUGCUCUAUUUUCUUUCCCAAUUCUAAGCUCAUUUUCUCAAAGUCUUGUUUGAUUAUUUCUAAUUCAGACGAGACUGCUUGCAAGUGCUCAUCUAUCGGUCGAAUGUUUUCUUGACUUGGCAUUGGGAUGUUGUCGUUGAUUCUUUUUCUCCACCAGCAGUCAUAUUCAGGGGUCGUCAUUGGACCUGCGGUGAAUCCUUUUAUCCUACGGGUUUGGCUCCAAGCAUUCGAUAUCUCACGAACUAUCUUCCUAUAAUUAUCGUCCUUGUAUGAGAACUCGCAUUGAGCCAACCCUUGGGUCGCUGGUAUGAACUGCCUUGAUCGAUACUGUCCCAACACGAGUAGCAUAGCAUAUCCAACAACUCCCCAUAUCCCAAGUAAAGGGACCCAGUCAAAGUCGCCACACCGAUAUAAGAUCUUAUUGGGGAUCAUCCAUGGGGCCCUCCACUCAACAUCUUCAGUUUGUAGGUUCUAGAGGAUUGAUAUCCAUUUCUCAUCUGAAAGGUCAUCCCGCCUUGGUGUAGCCACUAAUUCCUUCAAUGGAGAGUAAUUUUCAAAAAAAAACUCAAUGUGAGACUUUCUCUACCCUCCAAAAGUGGCUAUGAAACCACGAUAUCAGAAGUUAUGCACAUCCUAUAAAUCUACCUUCACCCGCUCUUCGGCAAGCAUUCAAUAAUCUAAAUGUUUCGGCCAAGAUCGCAGGGACAGGUGAGACCCCCUUAUCAAGUCGAUCAAACAAGUCUAAAACUGCUUCAUCUACGUUUCCUAAUGCCUUGGUAAAGACAGCCAAACCGUAGAUGAUCAAAGCAAAAAUAUCAACCCUCUUUUGCAUGUCCGGAUGUGCUAGAAUCAGAUCUCUCAAGUUCUUCCAAGAAAUUCACUUACCAUCUCCUUUUUGCUUGGUCUUGGCUACAACCCAUUGUUCAUUCAUCCCCAUGAUAUUCAUCAAUUUCUUUACAAAGGUCGGGACGUUAGCCAUUUUGGAAUAGGACUUGUCGACUUUAAUCCUCGGGCAACGAAGUAAGGCCAUAUACUCUUCCACAGUAGGUACCAAAUCAACCUUCCCAAAAGUGAAGCAACUAUAUGCGGGAUUCCAAUAUUGGGCGAGAGCUCGGAAUAAGCAUUUGUCUGCUUUUACCUCGAGUAAAUAAGGUAAGUCUCUAUAAUCGUGGUAAAACAGCUACUUGAUCUCGUCGUUCCAACUGUUCCAUAUUUUCUUCAAUUCUCGCAGGUCAUUUUGGGUCACACUGAUGCGAGUGAAAUCCCACAAUUCUGAUUCAUAUCCCUCGAUCAAACUACCUCCUUUCUCUUGUUGCGUCCUUUCAGACCAUACUCAGACGGCCGCAUUAUCCUCCACUCUAUCAAGUAACCUUUUUUCCACGCUAAGCUAUUCUAUUUAGUAACCGAACGUGAAUCAAAACCUUCUUAUAAUGUAAUGCCAUGCAAUAACAACAAAACACAACAAGUCAGUAUACAAAAAUAGAAUCCAAAGCAAACAAGAAAUAAUCAAGCACCUAUUCGGGUAACCAUUAAGGUUUUGAGUAUUUCUACCUAGGGUUGGUUCUUAGGGCUUAUUAGAUGUGGCUCAGUUCUAGAGUAAGGGUACCUGAACCAAUAGAUUCCUCGAUCUUUACCCAUUAUAGGCUCAUAUAGACCGAGUUCAGUUCAGAAGGAUACAUUUCCCUAUGGCUGCACGGAGAUGAAAAUCUCACGAAGACAUAAGUACGGAUGUAUCCAGAAAGCUAUCCACUAUCCUACACAGAGGUGAAGACCUCACGAAGGAAUAGUUUCUCACUCCCACUUCAAAGGGUAAGACCAACUGGUCAUGCAAUGCAAUAUGUAAAACUAUUUAAAAACUCGAACCAAUGAAGCAGGUAUUAUAUCAUAAAUCAUAAAAAUAACAGAUGAAAUGCAAUAAAAGGAUCAUAUUUCAAAACCAAAUUUUCAAUUUUUGACAAAAAGACAAAAGUUAAUCAACUUGUGGCUCGACUCUAUUAUUAGUCCCCAGCGGUGUCGCCAAGCUGUUGAAACCAGAUUUUUAAGAAAAGGGGUCGACUUGGUUUUGGAAAUGAAAACGAAAAAACGGGAGUCGCCACUAAUCCUUUUUGAUGAGGUGUGAUCAGGUCACCUCGUAAAAGUGGUUGUUUUAAAUAAAUGAUUUGAUUUAUUUAAACCACGAUUUUAGUCCAUGAAAUUUAGAAAGACGGGUUCGGGAGUCGGUUACGCACGAGGAAGGAUUAGCACCCUCGUAAUGCCCAAAAUUGGUACUCAGUUGAUUAAUUAAUCUCUUAGUGUCAAAAAUUUGACAACUUGAAAGAUUUUAAAAUACGAUCCCUCUUUUUGUAAAAACGCUUGAAUGUUAAAGGCCUUCUCAUCUCAAAGUAAUAAAAUGUCACAUCUAGUACGUUAGGACACAACAUUUCAGACCCUCGAGAAUAAGUUGGUCUUUUGAUUUUCAAAAUUCACGUGUUUUAAUUUUAAAACGUUAUUCGGUCAUUUGGAUCAAACGAGAAAAAUCGAAACCCAGUACGUUAGGGUACAAUCUCUCGAAUUUCCAAAUACAGAAUAUUGCCUUACUUUGAAAAUUUCUUUAUUUCUUAAAAAUUUUAUCAAACAUAAGUUUAAAACGACAUGGGCCAUUUUGAAGCAUAAUACAAAGAUAAUCAAUUGUAUUUAAACAUAGUUCAUGGGGAAUAAUUAUGCAAUAAUAUAAAACAAUUAUACAAAUCAAGAAUAUGUGAUAAAUAAAUGAUAUGAUAAUACUAAUGUACUAUAAUAGCCAUAGUAAUAUUAACAAACAAUUUACAAUAAUAAUACAUAUGAAUAAGAAUAAGUAAAAAUGGAAUACAUAAAUAGUACUGAGGCCAAUAAUAAUGAAGUAAUGUAUAAAUAAAUAUAAGGAAAAAGAUUUAAAAAUAUUGGAAGUAAAGAACCAAAUUAAAAUGAAUAAUAUUUAAAGCACAAUUUGUAAUAAAACAUAUAUAAUAAUGUGACAAUAAUAAUAACAAAAGUAAUAAAUAAAUAAAUAAAUAAAUAAUGAUAAUAAAAUAAUAGUAAAGAAAAUAAAGAUAGAAUUAAUAAUGAUACUAACGAAUAUAAGUAAUGAUAGUAAAAAUAAUAAUAAUAAUAAUGCUAAAUUAAUUAAUAAUAAAAUAAUAAGCAGAUAAACUCAAAAUAAAAUAUAAUCAUAAUAAAAAUAAUAGUCAUAAUAAUAAUAGAAAUAAUAGUAAUAACACAAUAAUAAUGGUAUUAGAAAAAUAAAUAAAUACAAAUAUGAAUGUAAUAACAGUAGUUAAUAAUAUAUUAAAUUAAUCGAUUUAAUAAUGAAACAACAAAAUAACGAAAAAGGGGCUAAAUUGAGUGUUAAAAUAAGUAUUUGGGGGCAAAUCUGAAAUAAAAUGAAAAGGGAAGGGUCAAAUUGUGACGCGCGCAUUCAUGGAAGGAUCAAAUGAGAAUAUAAUCCCUCCCCAUAUGCGCACUGUUUAAAAAAGGACCAAAAUAAAACUUUUAAAAUUAAGCAGGGUGAAUUUAAGAAGACAAAAAAAAGGAAACAGGACAGAAUUGUGACAAAUGUACAAAUCAAUGGACUAAAGGGAUAAAUAUCCCAUAAGAGCAAAAUGAGCGGACCCCCUAGAGGGGGUCGGGUCGUGCGGGUAUGCUAGAAAAUGAUGCUGUUUCGGCGUUGAUACCCUUGAUGCAAAACGACACCAUUUUGUAUCUGUAUAAAAACCCAUUUUUUUCUUCAAAAAUCAUUUUGCUACCCUUUUCUUUAAAAAAAAUUCCAAAACCCCUUCCCUUCUCCUCUGCUAGGGUUUAAACCUAGGCUUGGGGCGCCGUUAUCGGCCCGCCGUGGCUCUGCCGCCGCUUGCCACCGCACACGAUGGCCGGAACUCCAAAAAGGUAUUUAUUUUCUUUGAUAUAUUUAUAAAAACUACCUCUUUUUAAAAAAAAUAGAUAAAUAAAAAUAUAGAUGUAUGAGUAUAUUCGAAAAUGAAUCAGACGAAAAAAGAGAAAAAGAAAUAAAUGAACGUAGGAAAGUAAUAACCUUAGUUCUUUUUUUGAACUUUUUUUGUUUGCUCGUUUUUAUUUGAAUCGGUUCUUUUCUUGUAUUUGAUGUCUAAAAAAAACCAAAAAACAAUAUAAAGAUUAAAGGCUUUAUAUAGCCAUUUACCAAGUGUUUUUGUUCAACUACUUGUCAUUUCCUUUUAAUUCUUGCAGGUACAACUUGAGCGGUGGCACAGUGGCGGUGAAGCAGGUGGUAUGGGAGAUGGGACAAAGAGCAGUUGGCUGAAGGCCCUAGGUGAAGUGCACCUAGGGUUUGAAAAAUCUGAUUCUUCCCUUUUUUUUGUUUGGCUUACAUUUGGUUUAGUUUAGUGGGUAUUGGGUUGUUUUAGGUUAGGUUUAGGUUUGGGCCGAGCAAAUUGGGCUCAUAACAGUUGUUAUCUCUAUUAUUCAUUGUUUCAAACUUUUAUUAUACCCUUUCUGCCAUGCCUCAUUACUAUCCCAUAUUCGCUAUUAUAGGCCAACGAUAACUAUUGGUGUUUAUCCAAUUAUUCGUCAUGACUGCGGGCCCUUAACUUAAUUCUUUUUUUUGAAUAAGGUCUCUUUUUAAUACCCUCUUUCACGAACUUAACAAUAGUGCUCGGUUAAACAACACCCUCUUUUCCUUGGUGGACUCAUGCCCCCAAUGUAACCUCAUAGUACUUAUUCUUGUAGUCCAGUCAUUUAAGAUACUUCAAUAGACAGGUAGCUCCCAACGUACUAUCUCCUACUCAGGUAUCCCUUGACAGUGUCAACCCUUGAUAGACCUAUAACAUAUUUCUCGUGGUUCAUGGUCCUAAUUGACUUCGGCUUCUUACUAUUUUCUAGUGGACUCCCUACCAAGGUAGUUCUCAGUGAACUUCCUUGUUAUUAGUCCAUGUGGUCUUUUUCGUGCUUUGUAGUUCUAACCGACGUACCUCUCUUGUAAAUUCCUGGUAGACUUUAUUGAUCAUUCAACCUUGAGUUGUCAUUUCCUCCCAUGAAGUCUCUUGACAAUCUACUCACUCUUCCAGCUACCUCUUUGUCAAUUACCAAAUUAAGAUUUUAUCCUAACCCAUUUUGUAUCUGCUUAACCAAUGUGGGUUUCAUAACUUCUCUGGCGAACUCUUAUUGGCAAGCAUUACGUUUACCAUCUUGUCUAAGGAAUCUCUCUGUCCUUUUAUGCAUAACUGGGUUAACACAUAUCCUAGGCUUUGUUAGGAAAUGUGCCCAUAUUGUAGUAAACAUGUAACUGUUUUCUAAGUAUUUGAAUGAUGAAUAAAUAAAUUUCACAUUUCACUAUUAUGUCUUUUGUAUUUCUGUCUUUCAUACUUUGCAUGCAUAGCGAAAUUGUGACCAACAAACAUUAGCUCAUUGAUUGUCUAAGUUCAAACUGAUGAUAAGUGGCAUUGUAAGAACGUUUAUAUUGCGAGAAAGACAACUUACUUUAGUAGAUAAUCUAAAUGAGUCCGUAAUCCAGUAAAAGAAUCAAAGUGAGCAUUUGAUUCAAAAACUAAAAAGGAUUAGUAUGUUGUAUACAAUUCCAAUUGAGGAGAUGACUAGUCUUGGCUAUUGGAGCAAUUGACCCCACAGGUAGAGACAUAUAUAUAUAUUCAUUGGCAGAAUGAUAAAUUGGACUAGACCCAAGAUGAAUUAACUCUGAAUCCGUUUCUGAAUUAAUUCACUUGUGACAUUCAUAGUGUGAUUUACCUAAAUUCUGAGUUAGUCACUGACCAUGUGUAUGUAACUCAUGUGCUUUCAUAUAAAUUGAGGCUUAUGCUCUAAAGAUGAUUGAGUCGAUAGCUGGUAUGUUGGGUACAUGAUUGUGUAUGGCAUUGCUUUACUAGCAACAAUGGAAUUCAUAGCUCAAUUAAAAAGUUAACAAUAUCCUCUCAUCGACAUUAUGUCGAUUGAUAAAUAUGUAACGUGGUCAUAGGUUGCUUGUUCUCGAACGAGCAAUUUAUCACAGCCAUUUGUUGAUAGUGACCAUAUUAAUCAUUAAGAAGACACAAUGGUGAAAAUGAGAUAAAAUAGGACUGUAUUGAGUGAACAAAUUUAACUCAAAGGAAUCAAUGAUAUAAUAUGAAUGUAACGCACAUAUGACGAGGUUAUUGGAUAAAGCAGUUGGAUGAAUUGUUUUCGUAAAGAGUAUACAAUAAGGAGUUUUCAAUCAUGGUACUUCUUGUAGACUAACUCCAUGAUUAAGUAAUUGUGAAUUAUUAGAACGAUGCUUCUAAACUUAAUUGCAAUUACUAGAGCCUAAUUGUAUAUGUCAACUGGUCCCUCCGCUAGCUCAACAAAAGCUCGAUCGGACUGCUUUUGAAUUAGAAGUAAAUUCUACGACUUUGGAAAUAAUUUAAGUCAAUUUAUUUGAUGUGGAAUUAAAUUGGGCUGUCGUAAGAAUUGUUCAACUAGAGAAUUUGAUUAAGGAAUUUUCUUGAAAAAUUAAUUUGGAAAUACUAAGUGAUUUUUCAGAAAAUUAAUUUUUAUCAAGUAAAAUUAAAUUAAUCAAAUUAAUUAAAACUAAUAAGAUAUUUUUAAAAAUUAAUCUUUAAGUCAGACAAUUGGCCUAAUGAGUAAUUGAACUUGAAAAUUACACCUGAGAACGUAAAUUGGGCCUAAGAGCCCAAAACAGAGACCAAAACCCAGAAAUUGGUCAAACCGAGCUUGGUAUGUGAAAUCGAGCUAAUAGUCCAACCGAUGGCUAGACCGGACCAGGCAGGCCAUCACUAGCCCGAACUGAAUUGACAGAAAUCGAACCAACUCGGGGUGUCGAUAGUUGUGACGACAACUUCUCAGUGGUCGGCAAAUGUUUGGCAGCGGCGAUUCUCCGGUAAUUGAGCAGUGGAAGAAUUACACUUCUACCAAGACUCUACUAGAGGAUUUGAUUUCAGAUUAACUAUUCCAAAAAUAAUAUUUUUUUAAUAAAUUUAAUAUUAAAUUUAAUUUAAAACUUAUCUUAAUAGUAAUUUAUUAAUUUAAUAUUAAAGUCAUUAUUUUAAUUUUAAAUUUAUCUUGUAGAUAAAUAUUAUGUUAAUUUAAUAUUAAAGUGAUUAAAUUUAAUCAUAUUUGAACUCUCUAAAGUCUCCCUAUAUAAAGAGAGUAUUGUGUCAUUAUUUACACACAUUUGAAAAAGAGAAAAUUAUAGAGAGAAAAUUCUUUGAAGAAAGUAGUUCAGAAAAUUUCUAGAGAUGUAAUAGCCUAAAUUUUCAGUGGUGUAGGAACAGUGAUUCGAUAUCACUAAAUCCGAAAAAUGAGUAGAAAAUAUUAAUAAUUUAGUGAAUAUAAGUUAAGUGUGAAGUUAGGAAAAUUUUUGAAAUAGCGAAUAGUGUACUAGAAAUAAAAAUUUUAAAAAUUAGAAUCAGAAAUGAGAUAUCGAGAGUUUGAAAAUUUAAAAAUGAGCCAUAAAUAUUUUUAUAAAUAUUUAUGGAGUGUUAAUAAGUUAGUAUUAAAGUUUUGUUAAGAAAUUUUAAACUUUCGAUAGUUAAUUGAAUAAAAAGGAUUAAAUUGUAAUAAAUGUAAAAUUAUGGGAAAUGAUUAAAUAGCUUAAAUGAUAAAAGAAAGAGGGUUUAAAAGGAAAAUAGACCCAAGGUCUAUUUGGGCUGGACGGCAAGGUGCAUGAAAUCAGCAGGAAAAUUGAUGAAUUAAGGGCAAAAUUGGAAUAUUGUAAAAUUUACUUAAUAAACUAGGACUAAAGUGGAAUUAUCUAGAAUUCUCAUUAUUUCUCUGCAUUCUCAUCAGCAAAAACACCAUAUAAGGGUUUUCUUAAGCUUGUUUUUCAUAUUUUUACUGCAAGUAAGUUCAAUUCUUGAUUAUUUCUUGAAAUUUUUAUGUUUUUAUGACUUUUACAACUAGGUCCACUUGUUGAAUUCAUUAGUUUUUGAUUCUAUGAAAGAAAUUGGAAGUUUUUAUGAAUAUGUGUUGGAAGUAUAUGAUGAUUUAGCAUGGAAUUAGAGUUUUAAAUUGUUUAUAUGCUGAUUUUAUUGAAAGAAUUGAAUAGAAAGUGAAUGUUUGGGACCUAAUGUUGAAAGAGUUUGAAGUUAGGGUUUUAUGUGGAAAUUAUGAAUUUAAAUAAUUGUGAAAUAACUUAUAAUGUCUAGGUAAAGCAUUAAUUGGGAAAAAUUAGCUUCAUUGAUGGAUUAAUUGAGCAAGGACUGAAUUGUAUGAACUGUGAAAUUUGGGGCAAAAAUUGAAAUCAACAUUUGCACUAAAACAGUUUUGGACAGCAGCAGUAGUCUAACUUUUAAAAAUCACCAUAAAUUUUAUAAAUAGAAUUAUAAGAUGAACAAACAUGAAAUUAAAGCUUAUUGAGUCUAGUUUCUCAUAGAAGAAACGGUGUAAGCAACGGAAUUGUAGAUCAUGAGAUAUAAUAGAUUUUGUGAGACAAUUUCAGAAUGAUUUCGGGUUCCCCUGUUCUGACUUUGGAAAAUCAUAAAAAAUUGGAGAAAAAUAAUUAUGGGCUUAAAUUUAUAUUUUUAAAAUCCUUAAUGAGUCUAUUUUUAAUAUAAACAAACAUGUACAUCAUCCGAAUUCUGCACGAAGAGAUAAUUAAUUUUUAGUGAAGAAUGGUCGGAAUUGUCAGAUAGCAGAACAUGGGUGACUUUAAAGAAUAAACUGUACUUAUUGGCUAAACCAAAAAUUCUAAAAAUUUUAUGAUAAGAAGAUAUAUGAGUCUAGUUUCAGGAAAAAUUAGCGGAUCCUAAUUUGGAGUUCUUUAGCUAAAGAUAAAAAUAAUUUAGUGACUAUGGCACUAAUGGACAGCAUUGGAAUAUACAUAAGUAAAUAAUGAAAUUAUAGAUAAUAUUACUUAUAAGUGGGUUGAAGAUGAAGUCAAUAUUGAUAAGUGAAUGAUUUUACAAUGAUAGAUCGAGAACCCGAAGCAAGUCGAGGAAAAGAAAAAGUAGCUGAUUAGUCCCUGAACUUUCACAAAUUUUGCAAAUCGACCCAGGUAAGUUCAUAUGGUUGAUGUUUAAUGAUUAUAUGUUAAUUUUAUGAAUUAUAUAAUGUAAUAUGUAUGAUGAAAUAUAUUUAUUGAUAAAUAGAGAAUAAAAUAACAACACGAAAAUCGAAUAAAUGAUUAAAUUGAGCGGAAUGUCGGAUUUGAGUACUUCUGAUCAAUGACAAGUGAUAAGUGGUAGCCUCAGCUACACUUAUCUGAUCAGUGAUAAGUGACAAGCAACAAGCGACAAGUGAUAAGUGGUAGCUUUAGCUACACUUAUCUAAUCAGUGACAAGUGAUAAGUGAUAAGUGGUAGUUUUAGCUACACUUAUCUGAUCAGUGAGAAGUGAUAAAUGUGAUCAGUGUAAGACCGUGGCAGGACUAUGACUUCAAAAGGUGAUAAGUGAUCAUACGCAAGACCAUAGUUAUACUAUGGCAGAGUGAAAGUGAAGUACUCAAUUUUCCGUAACCAUUCCCUAAUUUGGUUAAAGAAUGAUAUGUGACAAAUGGGCCCAAAAGAAUUAAAAGAAAUGGAUAAGUAGUAGUAAGUUUAUACAAGGGAACUCACCAAUGGCUGUGGUUGACAGGUGAACUUAAUAAUUGUGUAAUCAAUAGAGGGGUUGGGAUAUAACUAAGAUCUAUUUGUUUUGUAGUAUGUGUCCCAAAAGGACACGCAUGAAUACUUGACCGAUGCUUGCUCUAUACCCUAAUACAUAUGGUAGAGGAAUUGGUUUAGACUUUCAAGCUUUUUUUCAAAUUUUUCAUACUAUUACGAGUGGUGAAGCUAAAGGGAGAGGCCGCUUUCACCCUUGGGGACUUAAAUUAUACCCAUCGUUUUCACUCUAUCAGACCCCGGACUUAGAUCUAUCAGGCAGACCCAUGACUAAAAUAUCUCAAAACCAAAACCUUUGAUCUAUCAUACCCAGGACCUUAGCACAGGAACGUUACCCCUCCACACCUCCUUUAGGGAGGCUUAAGGAAAAGAAACUGUACCCCUCCAAACCUCCCUCAAGAAGGCUUAAUGCAAUAACACAAUGAAUUACUUGACAAUGAAAAAAAUCCACUUAACUCGAUGACGCCUCGAUUGGUGGUACCUGCAAACUUCGAGAGAAGUGUUAGUAGAAUGUGUGUAAAUAGUAAUGGAGGUACCUAAGUGCGGGGAAAAUUGAACCACCACAUGAAGCUUAUAGGGUCCUUACCUACAACCAUGGUACCACUUGAGUUGCGCCACUUAGGCUACAUAACUCAAAUGGUAUCAUAGUUGUAGGUUAUAUAUCCACCAACCAUGGUACCCUUCUCUCGGUGAACUGUACACAGCUCUUCGCGGAGGUCAAGGACAAUAUCUUGAUUGGUUGCUCGACAAGCGAUGCUUCGAAAAGUAUUUCCAAAGGAGCUGACCCCUUAUCAAAAAAUAAAGCCUUUUAUUGUUGGUAGCUCAAGUGGUAUCAUGAUUGUAGGUAUAGGCCAUAUAAGCAUCAGGUUUUUGAUUCAAAUCAUCUUGUGCUUAGGUAACUUGAUCAUUAUUUACAAACUCUAGAAUAACAUAUUUUCCCAAUUUUGCAAGUACCAUCGAAAUGUCUCUCUGUAAAUCGUAUAUGAUUCUCUGCAAAGGUUAGAGGCAAAACCCUGACAUGAGGACAAUAUACUUUUUAGUUGUUGGGAUUCCGAUUGAUUACCCAUCGAACCAUGUUUCAAGGAGCCCACCCAUUAAAUUGAAAAGAAAAUAAUUUAUUGGUUCAAUACAAUUUUUUUACAUUAAAUUUUUUUUUUACAGAUCCAUGUAUAUCUUAGACAGAACAAAUCCAUUGAUUUCCAAUUACAUACAUCAAACCACCCCGAUUUUUACCAAUUGAACAUGCGUCACCUAAAAACAGUUCAAUCCAAAAUCCAAACCAAUUUUUUAUCUGUUAAACAUUCAACCAAUUCAUAUAUACCUUCCAUCUAACACCCCCAACCCAUGUCCGCCGCCGGAACAGGCUUACGGAGCAUUACUGGAGUUUUCAGAAAAUUUACAGAUAAUUCAUGUCAAUUACUAUUCAUUUUUUGAGAUUAUUUAUAACGUCAUUUAAAUGGACAUAACAUCAUUUAAAUGGACCCUCGAGGCCCAAUAUGAGUAUUAGAAUCGAGUUAGGACUAAAUCGGGAAUUUAGAUAAUUUUUUGCAAAAUUUCUAAAAUUUUCCUAGUUACAGGGCUCACACACCCGUGUGGUCCAGGGACACACCCAUGUGAUCCUAAGACACGUCCGCGCUACAGGCCGUGUUUGAAAUCAUGUAGCUCUCUGACUUGUGCCACACGGCCAACCACACGCCCAUGUGAGUAGGUCGUGUGAUUAAUUUAAUUUUCAAAAAAUUAGGCGCAGGGUUCACACGGCCGAGACACAUGCCCGUGUUCUAAGCCGUGUAACACACACUGUUGAGACACAUGCCCAUGUAGGGGACAAACGGCCAAACGUGUCACACACGGUCAAGACACAUGCCCAUGUGUCUAUCUGUGUGGACAAAAUAAAGCCAUUUCCUAGCUUUAUUUCUCACCCAAGCUUUGCCAAUAACCUACACCAAAAUUUACAUUCAUAUAACAACCAAUCCAAGCAUUAUAACCAAGCUAAUUGUAACAUCUAAUAUGGUAUAUCAUUACAUGCAUACCUAUGUAUGAUCUUAUUUUUAAUAGAUAUAUUCAUUUGGCAUAACUCAAUCAAACCAAAAUAUAUAUACUCAUGAUAUUGCCAUAGAACAACCUUAAUAGAUAUACCAAAACAUAAUCAUUACUAGCCAUUCCAAUGGCUAGAUGACAAACAACAUUUGUAAGCUAAGAAUGGCCAAGUUACCUAUACACGCCAUUAUACCAAAAUGAGUUUAUUAUUUAUACCAAAACAAGCUAGUGGAUAGUGUGAUGAUGCUCCAACCGAUCUUCAACCUUUGAGAGCUUCCGAGCACUAUAAAAUAGAGAAUAUAAUACCUAGUAAGCAUUAUAUGCUUAGUAAGUCCGUAUAACAUGAAUUAAACUUGCCUAUCUCAUAUAUUAAAUUUAAGCAUACAUUAACAUGUUUUCCAUUAACUUGGUAAAUUACCUAAUCACAUGCACUCAAUCAAACAAGUUAGUCACAUAAUUCACAUGUACAUUGAAUAAACAUGGAUGAGCUCAUCAUUCUACAAACUUUCAGGUAUUUUAGAAGCAUUCAAGAUAUAAUUCUUUUAAUCUCAUAAAUUCUCAUGUCAGGAAUUUAUUUCGUUGAAUUAUUGAAAUAUCGAUGGAUACUCAAGUAAUAUACACAAGGUAUACAAAUCAGUGAGCCGUCAAUUCAUGUUUAGGAUUACCCGUUAAGGCACUUAAUUAGGGAGCAUACUAUCGACCCACAUAUCAAGAUGCUCAGAUGAGCCACAUAACAGGACACUUAUUCGGGCUAAAUUAGGAGUGUUCAUAAGAGCCACAAUUAGGAAGUUCACAAAGAACUUUUAAUCAGGCAACCCACGAAGAGCUUAUCAGGCUUGCUUACAAGAGCCAUGUAACAGGAGCACCGGAGCACCGGAUAGCCAUAUCUCAGAGAGUUCAAGUGAGUCAUAUCAAAACGCUCACAAAGAGCUACAUUUGUGUCCGCAACAUAUGCUGGAUCACAACCAAUCAAAUCAUGUAACAAGACACUCAAAAAGAGCUGCAGUAGUGCGCAAUACAUGAUAAAUCACUACUAAUCAGGAUGCUAGCAAGAAUUAUUGAUCAGGAAGCUUAAGAGUUGUAUCGGGAUUACUUGUCUGAGGUAAACCCCAUCUGCAACACAUGCAGAAUCAUAUUUCAUGUACGGGAAAUCACAUGUAUCCAUUGAUUUACAUAUAUCCAUUGAUUUUCAUUAUUCCAACCGAAUUUGCAAUUUAAUGACUUUUGCAAUCAUGUGACCAUUUUAUGUAUUUAUAACAUUUACAUAAAUUACAUAAAAAUCUAUCACAUUCAAAUCAAAUGCAAUAUUAAAUUAAAACAUUUAAACAUGCAAAAAUCAAAUUACACGAACUUACCUCGAUAAUAGUUCGUAUAAUAAAAUCUACUAAUCUCAAACUUUCUCUUUUCCUCGAUCUAGCUUUGAAUUUGAGUUAUCCGGAUCUAUAUAAAUGGAUUUAAUCAUUAAUUUAUUACAUUUCAUAUUCAAUUGGACUCAAUUUACAUCCUAGGCAAAACUACCAUUUUGCCCCUAAACUUUUCAUAAAUUCUAAUUUCGUCCCUAGGCUUGGAAAAUAACAUUCAUGGAAUUUACUCCUUAUUCCAAGCCUAACUGAAAUUUCAAUAUAAAAUUUACAGUACAUAUAAUCUAUAAAUUUUAGAAUUUUUCUUCAAUUUUUACACUUUUACAAUUUAGUCCCUAAAUCACAUUUUCAACAAAAUUCACUUUGUAAAAGUUGUUUAUCUAUCAACAACUUUUCAUUUUCUACCAUAAUUUUCAAAUUUUCAGCAUAUUCAUCCAUUGAAAAAUUUCUAUACUUUGAUAACUUUUCAAAUUAAUCCCCUAAAUAGAUAGAUUAAAUUAUCCCGAUCUCAAAAAUAUAAAAAUUACUAAAAACGGGACAAGAAUACUUACUCAAUUAAGCUUGAUUAGUUUCUUCUCUCUCUCCUAGGAUUUCCAUAUAUUUGGGGCAGAAGAUGACAUAAAAUAAGAUGAUAUUUUCUUUUUAAUUAUUUUAGUUUUCAAAUUAGUCCUUAACCUUUUCUAAUUUUUCCAUGGAUGAGUCACCAAAAAUAUCUACUAACUUUUAUUUAAUGGUCCAAUUAUCGUAUAAGAAACUCAAGUUUUGAAUUCCAUAGCUAUUUAAUCCUCUAGCUACUCCAACUUUUACAUUUUAUGCACUUUGGUGUUUUCCGUAUUUAAGCACAUAAUCGGUAAAAUUUUCUUAUCAAAAUUUUCAUGUGACAUUCCUAUCAUAAUACAGACCAUACAAUAAUAUUAAAAUAAAUUUUAUUUUCAGCUCGGAUCUAUGGUCCCGAAACCACUGUUUCGAUUUCACUGAAAAUGGGUUGUUACAACUCUUCCCCUUUAAGAAUUUUCGUCCUAAAAAAUCUUACCGGUAAUGAGAUUUGGAUAUUGCUUUUUCAUGGUAUCAUCCGGUUCCUAAGUAGCUUCUUCUAUACCAUGUCGUUGCCAAAGAAAUUUUACCAAAGCCACCUUUUUGUUUCUUAGUUAUUUUGUUUCAUUGGCCAAGAUUUUAAUCCGUUCUUCACUAUAUGUCAUAUCAAACUGAAUCUCUACCUCUGACGAAGAAAUAACAUGUGAAGGAUCCGAUCAAUACAUUCGUAACAUAGACACAUGAAAAACAUUAUGAAUCCGAUCAAGCUAUGGUGGUAAGGCUAACCGAUAUGCAACAUGUCCAAUUCUUUUUGUGAUAUGAUAUGGCCCAAUAAACCAUGGACUCAAUUUUCCUUUACGGCCAAACCGGAGAACUUUAUUCCAAUGUGAUACUUUUAAGAAUACCUUGUCACCAACCUGAAAUUCUAUUUCUUUUCAUUUAAGAUCAGCAUAGGACUUUUGACGAUCAGAGGCUACUUUCAAACUGUCCUGAAUUACUUUCAUCUUUUCAUCGAUUUUACGGACUAAGUCAACUCCGUGUAUCUUUCUCUCACUAAGCUCUGUCCAACACAAUGGAGUUCUACAUUUCUAGCCAUAAAAAGCUUCAUACGGUGCCAUUUUGAUACUAGACUGAUAAUAUAACACCCCUAACUUGUAUCUAUCACCGGAAUAGGGUCACAGAGUGUUACCAGAGUUUUUUAGAAUGUUUACAGAUAAUUUAAGUCAAAUCUUAUUCAUUUACGAAGAUUAUUCAUAACGUCUCUUAAAUGGACCAUCGAGGCCCAAAACGAGUAUUAUAAUCAAAUCGGGACUAAAUUGGGAACUUAGAGAAUUUUUCGCGAAAUUUCUAAAAAUUUCCAAGAUGCAGGGCUCACACGCCCGUGUGGUCCAACAAACACGCCUGUGUGACCCUAGGACAUGCCCAUGUUGCAGGCCGUGUUCAACCCAGAGAAACUCACUGACUUGUGCCACACGGCCGUGUGCUAGGCCGUGUUGUAACAGCCCGAUUUUUGCUAAAUCGGAACAGUGGUUUCAGAACAAUAAAUUCAAGGUCAAAAAUAUUAUUUUAAUAUUAUUUUUUGUGUUUAAAGCAUGAUAUUUAAUAUGUUUGAAAAAUUUUGUGAAUUAAUUUUAUCGUUUAAUUAGUCAAUUUGAGAAAAAAGGACUAAAUCGCGUAAAAUACAAAAGUUGCAUGCUAUUAGUUAAAUGUGUCAAUUGGCCUUGGCUUUUAAAUAUGAUGGCCUUAAAUGGUAAUUAGACCAUUUUAGGUGUUAAUGGACAUUAAUGGGCAUCCAUUAUAUGAUUUUAUAUGUUUAUUACUAAGGUUAAAAAGGUAAAUUAGUAAUUUAAGUUAUAAUAAAUAAAACUAAACAUUUUAUCAUCUUAUUUUCAUCUUCCAUUACCGAAAAUACAUAAUACAAAUAGCUAUGGAGGUUUUAUUAUUCGGCCAAGCUAAUUUGUUCAAUCAAGGUACGGUUUUUGCUUAGUUUUUAAUGAUUUUUACGUUUUUAAUAUCGUUGCUUCGUAUUUUAACUAGCCCGUACCUUAGAUUUUGAAACUAUUAAAGAUUUUAAAAGUUUCCAUUGAUGAUUUUAUGUGUUCUUUGGUGUUUGAAGAUGAAAUAUGAAAGCUUGAUGAUAGAUUUUAAUGUUUUGUAAAGUGAUUUUUGACAAAAAUGUCAAACAAGGAUUAUAUUGUGAAAUGUGUAAAUUGAGGGGUUGAAAUGUGCAAUAAAUGAAAAUUAUGGGCUUCUAGGGACCUAUAGGUAAUUCAACUAAGCUAGAGUAUAAUGAAAUUAUGUGAAUUCUGUGUAAUUGUGAAUAAGGACUAAAUUGUUAAAAGUGUCAAAGCUUAGGGGCUAAAGUGUAAAUAUGUCUAAAUAUAUGUUUUGGACUAAAUGAAAGAAUAUAUGAUUGAAUAAUUCAAUUUUGAAUUCAUAUAGAUCAAGAAAGAAAGAAUUCAGAUUUAGGUCGGGGGAAAAACAAGGUUAUCAAGUUGUCGACCUGGCCCGUCAAUUUCGUAUACAAGGUAAGUUCGUAUAAUUGAACUUAAUUGUGUAUCUAUUUAGUUGAUGGAUGAAAUUAAGAUAAUAAUUAUUCUAUUUGAUAAAUGUUGAGAUAUUAAAUGACAUAUACGAAUUGAAUAAGGCAAGUUAUCGAAUAAGACCAUAGUCGGGCUAUGGCAAUCGAAUAAUAAGACCAUAACCGGGUUAUGGCAUGUGAAUGAAAGACCGCAUCAGGGCCUUGGCAAUGUAUGUGUAAGAUCAUAGUUGGACUAUGGCAUCAGAAAGUCGAUAAAUUUGUAUCGUAAGCACUUAUGAACCGGAGAGGUUUGAUAAGAGUAUUGAUGAGAAAUAGAAAAGUAUCGGUACAAGUAUGUACGGAAAACUAUUCAAGUAUCGAAUUAGAUGAAGUUGAGAACUCAUGAAUGAUGAUAUGAAUAAAUUUGAUGUUAGCUCAUGAAUUGAUGCUUUAAAUGUUAAUGAUAUUAUCUAUUUUGAGUUGCUAUAUGAAUUUUGUGAUUAUUUCAUGUUCACAUACAAACUUACUGAGCUUUAUAGCUUACUUUGUUUAUUUUUCGAUGUUUUAUAGUUCUGCGAAGCUAGCUCAGAUCUGGGAAUCGUCAGAGACUUCAUCGCACUAUCGAUCAUCUAUAUUGGUACUUUUGAAGUUAUGUAUAUAUGGUAUAUGGCAUGUAUAGGCUUGAGUCAUUUUGGUAUGUUUGAUAGAUAUGUAUUUUGGCCAUUUGAGGUGGCAUAAAAUGAUGAACUUAUUUUUGCUUAUGAAUCUGCAAAUAGUUCUACUUUUGAUGUUUGGUAAUAAACCUAUAAUGAAUGAAUGGAAUUGAAAUGGUUAUGUAUGGUUGGAUUAGUUUUGCUAAAUGAAUUAUACAUGUGAAUUAUGCUUAGGAAAGAAAAUUAAAUUGUUUGGUAUUUGAUUAGGUAAAUGAUAUGGAAUUGAGUAUUGAAUUUAGUUAAAGUGGAUGUGGUAUGAUUAUGUAUUGGUUGAUGAUUUUUGGCUUCAUAAUUAUCUUAAAAUGAUACCAUAUGAGCUUUUAUAGGUAUGUGCAAGAAAGAGUGGCAAAUUGGUCUUGCAAAUGGCUUAUUUUUGUCUACACGGGUAGAGACAUAGACGUGUAUCUCAGCCGUGUGCGACACACGAUUAGGUUACAUGGCUGUGUGUCCCCUGGUGUUGAAAUUGAAUUGAAGUCAGAAUGUUCCACACGGUCUCACACACGGGCGUGUGACUAGCCAUGUGGUAUAAAUCAAUAUACCCUCCUAAAGGGCACAGGGGCUGGCCACACAGGCGUGUGGUUGGCCGUGUGACUCAAGUCAGUAAACUCUCCAGUUUUCACAUAGCCUGGCACACGGGCGUGUCCUCAGCCGUGUGAUGCAAGUCAGUAUGUAUGCCCUGUUUCCACACAGCCUAAGACACGGGUGUGUCUAUUAGCCGUGUGAGGCACACGACCUGUUCACAUGGGCAUGUGACCCUUAUAUGAUUGAAAAUUUUUUAAGUUUUUUGAAAAUUUUGUAUGCUAUCGGUUUAGUACCGAACCACUUCUAAAGCAUGUUUAAGACCUCGUUGGCCCUUCUAAAGGACAAUGUGAUUGUAUUGAAUGAUGUAUGAGAAUAAAUGCUUGAGAUUGAUAAAUGUAAGCUAAAUGUUGUAUAUUGAUCGGUAAUGCCUCGUAACCCUACUUCGGCAAUGGAUACGGCUUAGGGGUGCUACACGUGUAACACACACAGUUGAGACACACGCCUGUCUCUCUGUCUAUAUGCUGAAUUCUGAGCAUUCUAUUUCUCAAAUUUAAGGUGCACGAGACACAUGGCUAGACCACAUGCCCAUGUGCUAAGCCAUGUGUCACACACGGUCAAGACACACACCCGUGUGUCUACCCAUGUGGACAAAACAAAGCCAUUUCUAGCUUUAUUUCUCACCCAAAACCUCGCCAUAAACCGACACUAAAACUUGCAUUCAUAAACCAACCAAUCCAAGCAUUUUAAUCAAGCUAAUUAUACCAUUUAACAUGGUAUAUCGUUACAUGCUUUCAUGCCUUUAAUCUUACCUUAUUAAGCAUACUCGUUUAAUCUUUCUCAACCAAUCAAUAAUAAACACUUAUUUUAUCACCAUGAAAUAAUCUUAAUAUGUAUAUAUAUAUCAAUACAUAAUCAUCACUAGCCAUUCCAAUGGCUAGAUUACAAUAACCAUUUACAUUUACAUGUCAAUAUGGCCAAUUAACCUAUACAUGCCAUUAUAAUCACAAUUGUUUUACCAUGUAUACUAAAAUGAGCUAAUGGAUAGCGUGAGUGAUCUCCGCCAAGCUUCCAAUCCAACGAGCUUCCGAUUUACUAUAAAACAGGGAAAUAAAACUAAGUAAGCAUAUAAUGCUUAGUAAGUUCGUAUAACAUGGUACUUAACAUACCAUAAAUUGUAUUGUAAGAUAAACGUGUAAGGCACAUUCAAUCAAUUUGAUCUCAAGCCCUACACAUAUCCUCAUUGCCCUUGUUAUCAUAUAUUCCAUAAUAACAUCAAGAAACAUAUAUGGGCUCAACAUAAUCAGAUCUCCGCACGUAUAAAUCAUAUCUUUAUAUUACAAGUAUAUUUUCAUAACAAAUUAUCUUGAGUUCAAGUUAUUCCAUGUCAGAACUUUACUCCUCUAAUUUGAAAAAUUAAUGUCAUACGAGGAGUACACUCAAGGUGUACAAAUCUAUAAUCAAUGAUGAACAUACUCAUUAAAUAAAUUCCAUAUACAAAUAUCAUCAUCUCAUGUUUCCAUAUAUCAAUUAUCAUGUAUUAUCAUUUAAUGUAUUUUAGGCAGAUACAUGUAAUAACUUGUUUCUUAUUCAAAUCUUCUCAUGUCUAGAUUGUUACCCGUUGAAUUUAUUAGGAAUAUCGAUUGAUACACAGGUAGUACACUUGAGGUGUACAAAUCAGGAUCCGUCAAUUCAUGUCUAAUGGUACCCAUAAGGUACUAUCUCAGAGAGUACACCCUCGAUCCACACAUGUAUAUGACAGGAUUACUAGUCCAGGCUAAAUCCUAUCUCCAAUAUAUAUUUACUCAAUAGAGCUUAGUCAGGAUUACCAUUUCAAGCUAAAUUCCUUUUUAUGACAUAUGCUCUAAAGAGCUUGAUCUGGAUUACCCGUCCGGGCUAAAUCCAAUCCAUAACAUAUGCUUGAGAGGACUUAUAUCAGGAUUACCAAUCCAAGCUAAAUCCUUUCUAUAAUGAGGUCAAUAGGAUAACUCGUCUGAGUUAAAUCUCGUCAGCAACAAAUGCAAGACCUCAUUCAAUAAGGGAAAUCACAGUUAUCAAUCAAUUUUCAUUUAUUCAAAUGGGGUUUAACAUUUUUCAAGCAUUAACAGGCAUGUAAUUCUUUCAUACAUCUAUAACAUUCAUAUAAUUCAAAUAAACACAUUUCACAUUCAUUUCAAGCAUAAAAGUAAUAUUUUUAUCAUUUAUCAUUUAUCGGGCAUUAUCAUUAAUCGGGCUUUGUCAGAUAUGUUUUCAAUGUCGUAUAUAUAUGAUAUUUAUACAAUUCAAAAAAACAACAUUAAAUUCAAGCAUAUAAAUAUUCACAAUUUAGUUACACUAACUUACCUCGACAAAUGUUCGUAUACGAAAUAUUUACUAAUUUGACAUUUUUCUCUUUUCCUCGUUCUAACUCCAAAUUUGGUCUAUUCGGAUUUAUACGAGUGAAUUUACCAUCAAUUUAAUACAAUUUAAAAUCAAUUCAGUCGAACUCACAUCUUAGGCAAAAUUAUCAUUUUGCCCUUAAACUUUUAAUUAAUGACGAUAUUGUCCCUGGGCUCGGAAAAUGAAUUUUAGCAAUUUACUCCUUAUUCCAAGCCUAACCAAAAAUUUAAUAUAAAAUUUACAGCACAUGUAUUCUAUAAAAUUCAUAAUUUUUCUUCAAUUUUCACAACUUUACAUUUUAGUCCCUAAAUCAUGUUUUCAUCAAAAAUCACUUUGUAAAAGUUGUUUAUCUAUCAACAACCUUUCAUAUUCUACCAUAAAUUUCAAAUUUUUAGCAUAUUCAUCCAUGACAUAAUUUCUAUAAAUUGAUCCCCCAAAUAGAUAGUUUUAGCUAUCUCUGUUUCAAAAGUAUAAAAAUUACUAAAAACGGGGCUUGAAUACUUACCUAAUUUGGCCAGGAAAGCUUGCUUUUUCUUUAUUAGGUUUCCAUGGAAGAUUUGGGGAAGAAUAUAAUAUAAAAUGUUUUUUAUUUCUAUUUAAUUAUUUAUCAUCUUUUAAUUUUAUCACUUUCCAAUUUAGUCCUUAGCCUUUUUCUAAUUUUCCAUGGACGAAUAAUCCAAAAAUAUCUACUAAACUUUCAUUAAUGGUAUAAUUAUCAUAUAAGGACCUCAAUUUUUGAACUCCAUAGCUAUUUUAUCCUUAUAGCUACUAGAAUUCAACUUUUGCAUUUUAUGCGAUUUGGUCCUUUUUACAAUUAAGCACAUAAUCGAUAAAAUUUCUUUACGAAAUUUUCACACAACAUUAUUAUCAUAUUAUAGACCAUAAAAUCAUAUUAAAAUAAAUUUUAUUUCCAGAAUCGGAUUUGUGGUCCCAAAAUCACUGUUCCGAUUUCUCUAAAAAUGGGCUGUUAUAGAUAACUAUUAUUGUAAGCAAAUUCAACUAAAGGCAGAUAUUUUUCCCGGUUACCUUCGAAUUCCAAAAUACAACACCGAAACAUAUCUUCCAAAAUAUGUAUUACACGUUCAGACUGACCAUCUGUCUAGGGAUGGAAUGUAGUGCUGAAAUGUAACUGUGUACCCAGAGCUUUUUGCAAUUUGCUCCAAAAUCGAGAUGUAAAUUGAGGACCUCUAUAUGAAAUAAUGCAGACAGGUACUCCAUGCAAUCAAACAAUCUUAAAAACAUAUAAUUCUACCAAUCUAUCUAAGGAAGAAUCCAUACGUACCGGAAUAAGGUGUGCAGACAUUGUCAAUCGAUUGACAAUCACCCAAAUGGCAUCUUUCUUCUUCAGAGACAGGGGUAACCCUGAUACAAAGUCCGUGGUAAUUAUUUCUCAUUUUCAUUCUGGUAUAAUAACUGGCUGUAAUAAUCUCGAAGGCAACUAAUGUUCAGCUUUUACUUGCUGAUAUAUCAAACAUUUUAAUACAAACCCAGAAAUAUCUCGUUUUAUUCCCGGCCACCAAUACAUCUUUUUCAGAUCAUUGUACAUUUUAUUACUACCAGGAUGAAUAGACAUAGUACCAUUAUGAGCAUCAUUUAAAAUCUUCUACACUAGUUUAAAAUUCUUCGGUACACAUAUUCUGCCUCUAAAUUACAAACAACCAUCAAUCCUGAUCUGAAAUUCUGAAUCAGGAGUUGAUUCCAACUGAAUCCAUUUGGCUUGUAGCUUACUAUCAUCAUUAUGAGCUUCAGAAAUCUGCUGCAAAAAUGUUGGUCUAGCUUUUUAACUCAACUAUGACUGAACUAUCAUCAGAUAAUGACAAUCGGGUAUUCAAUACUCGCAAAGCAAACAAGGAUUUUCUACUCAGAGCAUCUACAACUACAUUGGCUUUCCCCGGAUGGUAAUCAAUGACCAAAUCAUAAUCUUUCAAUAACUCAAGCCACCUGUGUUGUCUCAAAUUCAAAUCUUUAUGCAACAUCAAAUACUUCAAACUUUUAUGAUUAGUGAAUAUGUGACAUUUUUCACCAAACAGAUAUAUUACCAUAUUUUCAAUGCAAACACAAUUGCUGCCAAUUCAAGAUCAUGUAUCAAGAAAUUUCUUUCAUGUGGUUUUAGCUAUCUUUAAGCAUAGGCUAUUACUUUACCUUCUUGCAUCAAAACACAGCCUAAACCAUUUAACAAUGCACCACUGUAAAUUACAAAUUCCUUACUCGAUUCAGGCUAAAAUAACACAGGUGCUUCUGUCAAUAAAGCUUUCAAUUUAUCAAAACUUUGCUGACAUUUAUCAGACCACUCAAAUUUCACAUCUUUCUGUAACAAACGAGUCAUCGGAGAAGCUAUCAUUGAAAACCCUUUUACAAACCUCCGAUAAUAUCUAACAAGUCCUAGAAAACUUCUGACUUCAAACACGUUCUUUGAUGGCUUCCAAUUAACAAUAGAUGAAAUUUUAUUCGGACCCACCCUGAUACCUUCAAUAGAUAUAAUAUGUCCAAGGAAACCAACAUCUCUUAGCCAAAAUUCACAUUUACUGAAUUUGGCAUACAAUUUUUUUUCACUCAAUGUUUGCAGCACAAUUCUCAAAUGAUCUACAUGUUCUUUUUCAUCUCGGGAGUAAACCAAAAUAUCGUCUAUAAAUGCCACCACAAAUCUGUCUAGAUAUGGUCUGAAAAUUCUGUUCAUCAGAUCCAUAAACACUACCGAUACAUUUGUCAAACCAAAUGGUAUCACAAGAAACUCAUAAUGUCCAUACCUAGUUCUAAAAGCUGUCUUUGGCACAUCUGAAUCUUUUACCCGUAAUUGAUAAUAACUAGAACGAAGAUCAAUUUUUGAUAAUACAGUGGCACCUUUCAACUGGUCAAACAGAUCAUCAAUACGAGGCAACAGAUACUGAUACGAACUCGAAUAUGGAUGUCACGAGUCAUGUUGUUGCCCGAUCAUUUAAAUUGGGUAAGAUGAACAGUUUGUAAAAAUAGGCUUACAAUGGUUGAAGAAUAAGCUAAAAGAAAAAGUUUCAAAAGGUUAGGGAAACAAUGAUAGGUGGUAGGCUAAAGCUUAAGAUUGAACCAACACAAUAUAUUCAUGCUGACCCGAAACUUAGAAAGUAAUUAGGUUGAAAGGGUGAUGGAAAAAUGGUAUGGAUCAUUUAAUAGUAAACCUGCUAUCUACAAAGAUAGGAACCUCAGUAUGGUGAACACCACAUUUGGAUACAAGUGAUAAGUUCUAAAAAAAAAAAAAUUUUGACGCCACAAGGGUUGCUUGAUAAGCCAACUCAGUCUUUGGAGAACAAUAGGAGUUGAACACUCACAAAGUAAGAAGAUAUCAUCAAAUUCAUCAGAGGUUCUUUUACAAAAACUGAUUUCUCCUAUUUAUAGUGCUAGAAUAUGCUAGAUGAAUAUUCACAAGAAUUCAUAUUAGUGUACUAAUUAAAGACUGAAAUAAAGUUCAAGUCUUUUAACAUUCUUGAAUCAAGUAAAUCCACUCUUGAAUUCUCUUCAAUUCAGCUGAAUGAAUGACCGUAAAUGCUUGAAAAAUGACUCUUGAAUUGUCCCUUGGCUAGCGAAAUAGACACCAGCUCCUUAAAAGCAUUUUAAAUGCUUUGAGUUAAUUUUUGAAGUAACAAAAACGGCUAGUAGAUGAAGAGGUUGCUGCUGAAAUAAAAGGAUGAUAUAAUGUCCUUAAAGCUCCUUAAAUGAUGUAUAAAACCUUAUUUGUAACAGCCUCCUUGUUUGUAACCAAAAAUGACUUGAAAAGCCACUUUAUUGAAUGUGUAACAGCCUUGAAUUGUAACGGUUAUGAGCUGAAGAGUUACCUGCAUUUAAACACAUUAAAUUGAACUUAUUAAACACAUUUAAAAACUUAUUGAACAUGCACUCAUUAAACACUUAACUUAGAUAAAUAGCUAAAACCUAUGCAACAAUUAUUCCAGCAACUAGUUAAAUAGAAGCAUAAUUAAUUAAACUUAAACCGUGCAUCCAUAAAUAAUCCUAGUAACUAGAUUAAUUAUGAGCAACACUUAUUAAAUGAAGUUCACCAAAAAAUCUAUUAAUUAAAAUAAAAUAAACUAAAAUGAGUUGAAUAAAGUCUAGCAACUCAUUUAUUAAAAUUAGAUGAGUUUAUUAAAAUUCAAGUUCAACUUGCAAUAAAUUGCAAGUGACGCCAAUUGAACUGUUCCAUGCAUGGCUAUUGGAUUCGGCUUCUUGCUCUCCCCAACCUUGAUCCACAUAGCUUACUAACGCUUCUUGAAAUUUCUUAGCUCGUGAUCGAGUCAUAGGUCCUCGUGGCAGCUCAAUAGAUUCGGUAGUGAUUUCCCGAGCUAUGAUCGCAUCAGAUACUUGUUCUUUAUUGUAACAUUGUUAAGCUAUCUAUAAUCAAUGCACAGCCUGAACGAUCCAUCUUUCUUCUUUACAAACAAAACCGGUGCACCCCAAGGUGAAAAACUGGGUCGAGCAAAGCCUCUAUCAAUCAACUCUUGCAACUGUUCUUUCAACUCUUUUAACUUAGUAUGAGCUAUUCUGUAAGGUAUUUAGAUAUCGGUGUUGUUCUCGGAACAAGAUCUAUAUAGAAUUCCAGUUCUCUAACCGAUGGUAAACCAGGUAAUUCCUCCGAAAAAUACAUCAGGAAAUUCACAUACAAUCGGCACUGAUUGAAUCUUCGACUCAGAUACUUUAGUGUCCAACACAUAUGCAAGAUAAGCAUCAUAACCCUUUUUAACAUACUUAUGUGUUGAUAUUGCUAAAAUCACAUUAGAUAACCCAUCCAAUUUAUCAGAUUCAACAUGGAGUAACUCACCAUUCAACACAAUGUAUUUCUGUUUACAAUUUACCACUGCAUCAUGAUAGGUUAACCAGUCCAUUCUCAAAAUCACAUCAAAUUCAUCAAAUGGCAAUAACAUCAAAUAAGCCAAAAAAUAAUAACCCUUUUACCAUCAACGGAUAGUUUUUGCAAACUUUAUCCACCAUAACAUACUGGCCUAGGGGGUUUGAAACUUUAACCACAAAUUUAGUGAAUUUAACAGGUAAAUUUUUAACAGGCACUAAAUUUGUGCAUAUGUAUGAAUGUGUGGAAUUAGGAUCAAUCAAAGCAGUAGUAUUAGUAUCAAGUAGAGAAAAUGUACCAGUAAUGAUGUCUGGCGCAGAGGCACUCUCUCUAGCACGGAUAGCAUACGUCCUUGUCGGUGCUCGUGCCUCAGAUUUAGCCGUUGUAUCCCUUGUAGUACCUCGACUACCACUGACAUUGUCAGGGUAACGAGGUGGUCUACCUCUUGAAACUGGAUUACUCAGCUUUGGAGUCUGUUUAAUAUCUCUUUCAAUUCUUUCUAGGCAAUCCUUCAGAAAAUGAUCGAGAGAACCACAUCGGUAACAGGCUCCACUUCUUAAAUAACAUUCUCCAAAGUGAAAUUUGUUACAAUGUUUACAUUUCGGUUUGAGAUUACUGACACUUCCUACACUCGUUACAGAUGGAGAUAAAAACCUCGGGUUAAAGCGUUGAGAACCCCGCUCUUUUCCAAAAUAUCCCAUAAAGGUGGCAGAACGUUCAUGGUACUUCUUUGAUUUCUUUGAAGCAGAUGAUUGUGAUUUUCCCGUAAAUCUUUUACUAGAAACCCGAGCUUCUCUUUCAGCUUAUUCUUUCCUUUACUCAAUUCUUCAGCUUUGUGUGCUCGAUCAGUCAGUACUACAAAUUCCCUUAAUUCAAGAAUACCAAUCAACAGUUUAAUGUUUUCAUUUAAGCCCUCUUCAAAACGUUUUCACAUAUCAGCUUCAGUUGGAACCCACUCUCUGGCAUACUUGCUCAACCGAAAAAAUUCCCGCUCAUACUCAAAUACAGUCAUGUUUCCCUGUUUGAGCUCUAAAAAUUCUUUCUUUUUCUGAUCCACUCUGGAAAAAUUCCCAUGUAAUAUUUUCUCUUGGUACAACAGAAGUUAUGGUAUUCCACUAAUUAUAAGCUGUGUCUUUCAGUAAAGAUACUGCAUGUUUCAAACAUUCAGUUAGUGUGCAAGAUAAUUCGUCUAAAACUCGAAUGGUAUUUUUUAACCAAAACUAAGCCCUUUCUAGAUCAUCAUCUGCAGUAGCUCUAAAUUCUUUUGUCCCAUAUUUACGGAUUUUAUCUACCGAAGGCUUACCAAUUCUAACAAGUUCAAAACCUUGUGGUAUCUCAGGAACCAGUUGAGGAGCAGGUGGGGGAGGUGGUUGUACGUGUAAUAGCCCAAAAUUGGGUCUAGUUGGAACAGAGGUUUUGGGACCACAAAAUAUGAGAUAAAAAUAAUUAUUUUAUGAUUAUUUUGAGGUCUAUGAUAUGAUUUCAUGAUUGUGUGAAAAUUUCGUGAAGAAAUUCUAUGCAUAAAGUGCUCAAUUUGAAGUUAGGGACUAAAUUGAAUAAGUUGCAAAACAUCCAUUCUAGAAGUUUCUAGUAUGAAAUUGCUUUGAAAUAUUAAUUAAGAGGUCUUAAAUAGAAAUUUUACCAAUUUCUAAGUGAUGGACAAAAAUUGGACAUGGAUGGAAUUUUUGAAAGUUUAGUAAGGAAGGGCAUUUUGGUCAUUUGGUAAUUAAAAGAAAUAAAAAGGGAAAAUAAAGCCAAAAUUUACUCAUCUUUUUCAUGGAGGCCGAAAUUAGCAUGGGGGAAACCAUGGCUAGGGUUUUCAAGCUUUCCAAGCUCAAUAGUAAGUCCGUUCUAACCCAUUUUUCAAGUUCUUUAAGUUUUUAGAAUCCCGGUAAUUUGAUUAAGCUUAUUCUAGCAAUAAUUUAAGCUAGGGUUCAUAUUUGGAAAAAUACCCAUAGGUGAAAUGUGUUUAUUUUUCUGUUUUAUGAUAGAAUAUGAGGUUUUAAAUUAUGUUAGACAACUUGUGCUGCUCGGUUUUGAGUGAAAACGAGUAAAAGGGCUUAAUCGGUAAAAAUACCUAAUAGUCAUAAGUAUAUGUUAGAGUGAGAAUUUGAUGUUGCCAUAGAAAGGAAAAGUGAUCAGCAUGUCAUAAAACAUAAUAAUAAGGGAUGAAUUUAAAUUCCCGAGCCUAGGGGAAAAAGUGUAAAUAUGCAAAAGUUUAGGGGCAAAAUUGUAAUUUUUCCAAAGUUUGAGUUAAGGACUGUUUUGAAUAGUACAUUAAUUAAAUAAGUAAAAUAUGAUGUUUUAGAUCUCGGAAAAUGAGAUUUGAACCUAAAAUGAGAGAAAAAUCGAAAAUUGGGAAAGUUGGUAAAAUGAUCGUUUUAGUAUCGAGGUAAGUUCAUAUGUAUAAUAAGCAUUAAUUUAUGCAUGUUUCAAUGUAAAAUUGAUAUAUUUAUUAUAAUUUUCGAGGUGUUGAAAGUAUAUAAGUUAGUAUGAUAAUAAUACAGCAAUAAUGCUGUAAUUUAUAUUUGAAAGUUAAAUUUAGUGAAUUAAUUUAAUUAUGUUAAAUUAAAUGAUUAUGGUGCCAAGUUUAUGAAUUGAUUUAAAAAUAUGUCUAUGGUACAUGAAGUGCGUUGAAUUAUCAUACAUAAAUGUGAUUUCUAUGAUUAUGGAUAUUAUGGGAAAUUGUAAGUUCAUAUGAUUUUUAAUAAGGCAAUGUGUAAUUUAAUGUUAUUGCCUUGAUAUUAAAUGAGAUGUAAGUUUAUAUGUAAGUAAUACAUCAAUAUUACUUGUAUUAUGAUAUUUUAUAAUAAUAUUGGAAAUAUGUUUGUGGAUAAUUACUUGAUUGGUGAAAUUGUUGGAAAAGAGAGAGAAAUCCCGGUUGAACCUUCGGAAAGAUUGGAUGAUACAGAUAGUAUGUAGCUAGGUCACAUGUAUGGUACUGAGUGCACAUCAUGUGUACAAGAGAGCUACAAGACAUUAUGAUGUAGCUAGGUCGCAUGGGUGAUACUAUGUGUACACCAUGUAGACAAGAGAGCUACGGGAUAUAUGUAGCUAGGUCACAUGCGUGGCUCUAGGUGAAGGACACCAUGCAGACAAGAGAGCUACGAGAUAAAUUGGCUAGGUCACAUGGGUGGUACUGAGUGUUCACCAUGUGUACAAAAGAACUGAACUCUAUGAUGGGUGGAGCUAUGUGCUGAAACCACCAAGUAUCGAGGAUUGAUCCGAAGUGUUCAACGGGAGACUCUCUAUGUAUUGCUUUGUGAGUUUUGUGAUGAAUAAGUGCAUGAACUUGGUUAUGUGAAUGAUGUGUUCAUUAAGUGAGCAGGAUGUGGUAAGGUUAUAAACAAGUAAGUUAUACAUGAGGAUGAUUUUAUGGUGACCUUGUGAUCAUGGGCCUAUACUUGUGAUGUAUGAAAUGUGGUGAAAAUGAUUUGUGAUAUGUAUGUUAAAAUGAGGUUAAUACAAAGAAAGUGUGAAAGAGUGAAUUAACAAUAAAACUGUUUUGGACAGUAGCAGUGAUGUGAUUUUGAAAAAUCACCAAAAAUAGUAGAAAUUGAAUCAGAGACUUAAUGAGAUAUUAAAUUAAAUCUUAAUGAGUCUAUUUUCAUAUAAAAGAAACAGAUCAAGAAAAGGAGUUCUAUAUUUUGAUAUAUUUAUGUUUUUCUGAGACUGGUUCAGAAUGAUUACGUGAUCCCCUGUUCUGACUUUGGAAAAUCACAAAAAUUUGGAUAAAAAUAAUUAGAGGCUUAAAAUUAUAUUUUUAAAAUCCUUAAUGAGUCUAUUUUCAAUAUAAAUCAACAAGAACAUUAUCCGAUUUCUGUAUUGUGAGAUAAUUAAUUUUUAGUGAAGAGAGGUCAGAACUGUCAGAAUGUGAAACAGGGGAACUUUUAAUGAAUAAACUGUACUAAUUGGCUACACCAAAAAUUAUGAAAAUUUUAUGGUGCAAAGAUAUGUGAGUCUAGUUUCAGGGGAAAUUUACGGAUCUUAAUUUGAAGCUCUGUAGCUCGAAUUAUAAAUAAGUAAGUGACUAUGAUUUGUGUGGACAGUUUGAUGUGAGCAUUUAUUAGUAAAUUGUGAAAUCGUACAUACAAGAAUGCUAUAUACAUUAAGGAUGUGGAAUGGAGAGGAGGAGGAGGAAAAUAAAUAUAUGUGGAAUACAUGGAAACUAUGGUAUAUGAAAUAUUGAUAUAAUGAAAUAAAUGAUAUGUGUUUAUAAGAAAACAGAAAGAGAAUGAUAUGUAUCAUGACAUGUAUAUAUAUAUGACUAGUCUCAAUGUAAUGCUUGUAGGGUAUGGAGUUGAAUUAAAAUGUUUUAGGCAAACAUGUUAUUUGCGCAUCUGAAUUGUGGUAUUUUAUAAAGAUAUGAUCUAGUUUUAAAUAUGAAUGCUUGAUGAUUAAGCUGAAGAUAUUUGGUAAGAUGAUAAUCUUGGUAUAAAUGUAUAAGUGGUACUAUAAUAAACAAGGUAAAAUGAGUAUGAGAGACACAUGUAUGAUGAUAUACAAAUGCUAUGUUUGUGGUUUAACUGAGAAUAUUUAAUCAUUAAAUGAAUACCAUGUUAUAUGCUUUUGAUGUUGUAUAAGUGUGUAAGAGAUUAAUGUUGACCAAAGCUUGGAAAAUAGCCUAGGUAUAUUCCACACAGGCAGAGACACGACCAUGUGUCUCAACCGUGUAUGGAACAUGACUUUGGGACACGGGCGUGUGGAGCCUUAAAGCAUGAAAUUUCCAAGAUUUUUGUAAGUUCUCGGUUUAGUCCCGAACCCUUUCUAAAGUAUGUUUUGGGCUUCGUAGACUCAAAUAAGGGACUAUGUGUAAGUGAAUGAAUGUUUUGAAAUAUGAAUGAAAUUUUAUGGCCCGUAUUUUAGUUUAAUGUUUGUAUGUUUGUCCGGUAACGCCUCGUACCUUAUCCCGGCCUCAGGUACGGGUAAGGGGUGUUACAGUACGGCAGGAUUUGUUCUUAUAUAUUGAGUAAACCAUUCAUUCAUCAUUUGAAAGAAGGCUUGUUUUGCCUCCUCACUUCGGCCCUCAGAUACGGGCCUUCCACUACUAGUUGCAGCUAUUUGAACUGAAGAUGAAGCAUUGCUCACAGCUUCUUCGGAUUUAAAUCUAGCUUGGUUGGAUGACAUUACUAUAUGAAAAACACAUUUAAAAUGGUCAGGAGAUAUCACACUAUCAUGAAUUAUAUAAUGGCAUGUACAGCUAAACUCGUACUUGCUACGUUCAAUACGAAAAUCGACUAAACCGUAGCUCUGAUACCAGUAAAUGUAACACCCCUAAUUCAUGACCGUCGCCGAAAUAGGGUUAUGGAGUAUUACUGGAGUUUUCAAAAUAUUUACAAAUAAUUAUGUUAAUUACUAUUCAUUUUCGGAGAUUAUUCAUAAUGUCCCUUAAAUGGACCCUCGAGGCCCAAUAUGAGUAUUAGAAUCGAGUCAGGACUAAAUCGGGAAUUCAGAGAAUUUUUCACAAAAUUUCUAAAAUUUUUCUAGUUACAGGGCUCACUCACCCGUGUUACAGGCCAUGUUUGAAAUCAUGUAGCUCUCUGACUUGUGCCACACAGCUAGCCACACGUCCGUGUGAGUAGGACGUGUGAUCAAUUUAAUUUUCAAAAAAUUAGGUACAGGGUUCACACGGUUGAGACACACGCCCGUGUCUCUGCCCAUGUGCUCAAUUUUGAGCAUUCUGUUUCUCAAUUUUAAGAUACAGGGGACUUACAGCCAAACCACAGGCCUAUGUGUCUGGCCGUAUGUCAUACAUAGUCAAGACACACGCAUGUUUGUCUAUCCGUGUGGACAAAAUAAAGUCGUUUCCUAGCUUUAUUUCUCACCCAAACUUUUCCAAUAACCUACACGAAAAUUUACAUUCAUAUACCAACCAAUCCAAGCAUUAUAACUAAGCUAAUUCUAACAUCUAAUAUGGUAUAUCAUUACAUGCAUACCUAUGUAUGAUCUUAUCUUUAAUAGAUAUAUUCAUUUGGCAUAAUUCAAUCAAUCCAAUAUAUAUAUACUCAUGAUUUUGCCAUAGAAUAAUCUUAAUAGAUAUACCAAAACAUAAUCAUUACUAGUCAUUCCAAUGGCUAGAUUACAAACAACAUUUGUAAGUUAACAAUGGCCAAAUUACCUAUACAUGCCAUUAUAUUAAAAUGAGUUUACUAUUUAUACCAAAACAAGCUAGUGGAUAGUGUGAUGAUGCUUCAACUGAUCUCCAACCUUCACGAGCUUCCGAGCACUAUAAAAUAGAGAAAAUAAUACCUAGUAAGCAUUAUAUGCUUAGUAAGUUUGUAUAACAGGAAUUAAACUUACCCAUCUCAUAUAUUAAAUUUAAGCAUACAUUAACAUGUUUUCCAUUAACUUGGUAAAUUACCUAAUCACAUGCACUCAAUCAAACAAGUUAGUCACAUAAUUCACAUGUAUAUCAAAUAAACAUGGAUGAGCUCAUCAUUCUACAAACUUUCAAGUAUUUCAGAAGCAUUCAAGAUAUAAUUUUUUUAAUCUCAUAAAUUCUCAUGUCAGGAAUUUAUUCUGUUGAAUUAUUGAAAUAUCGAUGGAUACUUAGGUAAUAUACACAAGGUAUACAAAUCAGUGAUCCGUCAAUUCAUGUUUAGGAGUACCAGUUAGGGCACUUAAUCAGGGAGCAUACUCUCGAGCCACAUAUCAAGAUGCUCAGAUGAGCCAUGUAACAGGACUCUUAACUGGGCUAAAUCAAGAGUGUUCAUAAGAGCCACAAUCAGGAAGUUCACAAAGAACUUUUAAUCAGGUGACUCACGAAGAGCUUAUCAAGCUUGCUCACAAAGAGCCAUGUAACAGGAGCAUCGGAUAGCCAUAUCUCAGAGAGUUCAAGUGAGUCAUAUCAGGACGCUCACAAAGAGCUGCGUUUGUGUCCGCAACAUAUGCUAGAUCACAACCGAUCAAAUCAUGUAAUAGGAUGCUCACAAAUAGCUGCGGUAGUGCGCAACACAUGCUAAAUCACUACCGAUCAGGAUACUCGUAAGAACUAUUUAUCAGGAUGCUCGAGAGUUGUAUUGGGAUUACUCGUCCAAGAUAAGUCCCGUUUGCAACAUAUGCAGAAUCAUAUUUCAUGUACGGGAAAUCACAUGUAUCCAUUGAUUUUCAUUAUUCCAACAGAAUUUACAAUUUAAUGACUUUUGCAAUCAUGUGAUCAUUUCAUGUAUUUAUAACAUUUAUAUAAAUUACAUAAACAUCUAUCACAUUCAAAUAUAUUCAAUUAAAACAUUUAAACAUGCAAAAAUCAAGUUACACGAACUUACCUCGAUAACAAUUCGUAUAAUAAAAUCUACUAAUCCAAAACUUUCUCUUUUCCUCUAUCUAGCUUUGAAUUUGAGUUAUCCGGAUCUAUAUAAAUGAAUUUAAUCAUUAAUUUAUCACAUUUCAUAUUCAAUUGGACUCAAUUUACAUCCUAGGCAAAAUUACCAUUUUGCCCCAAAACUUUCCAUAAAUUCUAAUUUCGUCCCUAGGCUCGGAAAAUGAAAUUCAUGCAAUUUACUCCUUAUUCCAAGCCUAACCAAAAUUUAAAUAUAAAAUUUACAGCACAUAUAUUCUAUAAAAUUAAAAUUUUUUCUUCAAUUUUUACAACUUUACAAUUUAGUCCCUAAAUCACAUUUUCAUCAAAAUUCACUUUGUAAAAGUUGUUUAUCUAUCAACAACCUUUCAUUUUCUACCAUAAAUUUCAAAUUUUCAGCAUAUUCAUCCAUAGAAAAAUUUCUAUACUUUGAUAACUUUUCAAAUUAAUCCCCUAAAUAGAUAGAUUAGAUUAUCCCGAUCUCAAAAAUAUAAAAAUUACCAAAAAUGAGACAAGAAUACUUACUCAAUUAAGCUUGAUUAGUUUCUUCUCUCUCUCCUAGGGUUUCCAUGUAUUUGGGGAAGAAGAUGACAUAAAAUAAGAUGAUAUUUUCUUUUUAAUUAUUUAUCAUCUUUUAAUUAUUUUAGUUUCCAAUUUAGUUCCUAACCUUUUCUAAUUUUUUCAUGGAUGAAUCACCAAAAAUAUCUAUUAAAUUUUCUUCAAUGGUCUAAUUCCAUAUAAGGACCUCAAGUUUUGAAUUUCAUAGCUAUUUAAUCCUUCUAGCUACUUAGAAUCCAACUUUUGCAUUAUAUGCAAUUUGGUCCUUUCUGUACUUAAGCACAUAAUCGGUAAAAUUUUCUUAUCAGAAUUUUCAUAUGACAUUUCUAUCAUAAUACAGACCAUGCAAUAAUAUUAAAAUAAAUUUUAUUUUCGGCUCGGAUCUAUAGUCUCGAAACCACUGUUCCGAUUUCACUGAAAAUGGGCUGUUACAUUUCAAAAGAUUAGACCAUUAAUUCUAAUUCAACUGAUCAAACCAUUUAAUCCAAAAUUUUUCUGAUUUUUUCAUAUUAAGCCAAUUUUUAACUAGUUCAACAUUCAUAAAUUCUUAUAUACCAUUCAAACCAAAUAAGGUACUUCCAAUUCAACUUAUUUAAUCAACCAUUCAAAUUUAAGAUUUCUAGAAAUAGAUUGGUCAUUGAACUAAUCAAGUUAUUAAUUCAUCAAUUCAAUUGAUCCGACCAACCCGUCUAACUCGAUUAAAUAAAUCAUUAAAAGUUUCAUAAAAAAUAAUAUAUAUAUAUUAAAAAUUCGGUUCAACCAAUCAAUACUUAUUCUUGAGUUCAACCGGGUAUUUAUUUGGUUCAACCAGUCUAUACUGGUUCUCGCGUCAAUUGGUUCAAUGCUCUUUUCUGGACUAGUAUCUUUAUCGAUUCCCAACCUAACUGAUCCAACUGGCAAUCCGGUCCAAUUCAAACAACCUUAGUCGAAUUUGGUUUUUUACUUAAUGAUUAGUAGAGUUAGGACAAUCAAAGAACAAAACAAGACCUAAAACAUAAAGUUGAAUACAAGUUUAUAAUUACCAGUUCCAAAUUUGUAUGAUAUACAGAGUUCCACAAACAAGAUUGGACAAAAUCUUGAAUAAUGAUAAAAAUAUCCACAAUUUUGAAUGUUCAAGUAGUGUAAAACUGAAAAUACAGUUAGCCCCCAAAGGACUUUUGUGUUAUGAAUGGGACUUUUAAUCUAAAAUAUAUAUAUAUAAUUGCAAUAAGCUAUGUUACUUGGACUUGAGUGAGUGUCGGAUAUGGAUAAGUGUUCGAUAUGAUAUGUUCAAAUGCUUUUUCUCUAAGUUGACGGUUAUAUCCUUAUAUCCAUGUAGGUCAGAAGGUCGAAUAUCAAUACUCCAAGAAAAAUGAAGGAUCGGAGCAAUAUAAGUGAUAAUGAUGAUAAUAAUAAUAUAAUGAUGACAAUAAUAAGGAACAGCACCUCAAAGUAAACCUGCAAAUGGAUGUUAAAAAAGGGAUCCCUAAAAAUGAAACUAAAUUGAAGUGCAUUGUUAUGAAGGAGGGUAAGAUUUGUUGGAUUCAAUAGAAUGUGUUUUUUUAUUCAACUUCCCUCUAAGACUCCGGAUCAGUGCAUCGACUCGGGCGGUGAAACCUAUCUUCGUCUUCUCUCUUGCCUUCGUUUUCUCCCUACGCCACAUGACUUGAUCACUGACAUCUUUCUUCAAGUACUUGAUCUCUUGGAUGACAUGAUGAUCCAUUGGGUUGAAACAUCUUUGCAAAGACAUAUGAGCAAGGUAUGGGAGAGUACAAGCAAUUGUAACUAAGAGGGUGGUUAUCCAAUAGACAGGCGCAGAGGCGAGGGCUUCCGUGAGAAUUUGGUACGCACUAUGGGAAAUCUUCGGAGGUAGCAUGCCGUAAAUGAAAAGAAAUAUAAACCAAGCGACAAUGCUGAACCAGAUUAAGACGUGUUGCAUCCAUGUAUAGUGGGUCAUUAUGAGAGAGACCUGGAAAUUGAGAGCGCAAAUGAUGCAAGUGAACAUUAUCGUACCCAAGAUAGACAUGUCGGUAGUCUGUCCUUCGACACGGUAAGCUUGGUCGUAGAAGAUGACAAUGUUGAGGGAGAAAAUGACGAGAGAGGAAUAUAGACCGUUGCCCAUCCAUCCAAGUAUCCUAUACCAGUCAAAAAACAGAUUUCUAGGUCCUUGCUGAUACAAUGUGGGAAACUGCAACACCAAUAAGCAUAUAUGAAAAGUUCUUAUAAUAAUGUCACCGGCAAUUACAGAUUAAUUGCUAAUAAAAAGAAUUGAUUACGGACUAACCUCUAAGCAGACGUCAGAAGAAACAUCUUGCUCAAAAACUCCUAGUGAGAUUACAGGCAAUGAAGUAAGAACAACGUUGAAUAAUAUCAUGUACCAGUCGUCAUAAACUGAUUGUCCAGAAAAGCCGGUGAAUGCCUCAAAGUAGAAGAGGGUGAGACCAAAUGCUAUAUUCUUGUAGAAGAAAUAGCAAACCUGAAUCCAAAAUACCAGAGUUAACCCAGUACAGUGAGAGGAGGACAAAGCACCAGUGUAUGUAGUAUAUUACCAUUUGUGCAAUCCUCUUAUAGCACCAGUGUCCAUGAACAACGAGAAGUCUUUCCAAGAAACGAAAUUGGGAGACAGAGAAGUCACUGGCCAUUACAGCCUGCAAAAGAGAAAAAACAGGUUAUGUGAUUCAUUGACAUACAAUAAUAAUUUGUCUUAAGAAGCAUCAUUUUCAAGAUAGAACAGUUAUAUGUAGUAUUUGCCUUAAAAACCAUUAUGUCAAGAUAGAACACUUAAAGCCUAAAAUAUAUUACUCAAAUAUUAUUUUCAUACUGUUAAAAGCUACAUUACAGACUCUUCAUUUUCCCUGAAGUACCCAUCUUAGACGCAAUAUUCGGGCACAGGAUGGGGUUCAAAUAUAUGAGAGUGUACCCAUGUUGAAAACAUACCUAUAUCGACACUCACCCCUAAGUCCGAAUAACAUGAUAGAUUAAAAGAAGCCUAACAAUAUCUUUAUAUCCCAAUGAGGAUACUUGCAUAUAAAUUGCUAAGUUUUACAUCUACCACUGACUGAAUAGAAGAGAAGCCGACAAGAACCAUAAAGCUCAAAAACAUGACUACCUCUUUCUCCUAUAUUUAUCUACAAUAUAUCGCAUGAAUUCAGAAAAGGACCGAAAGAGCAAAUUCCCAUCCCAAGUUCGCCUCUAAUGAGGUAACCUCUCUUUUUCGACAAUCCAUAAACAUGAAAUAUCCUUGAUAUAAAACGAUAGAAAAGAUUCACUUGCUACAAUCACUAGAGGAAUGCAUUGCAACUGUAGGAAGAGUGAGUUAGAUAUGUUACCAACCUGCAUACCUUCCACACCACUGAUGCCAACUCCAAUGUCAGCUUCUUGAAUCAUUCCAACAUCGUUUGCACCAUCACCAAUUCCUAGAGUGACUUUACCAGUUCCUUCUUUUACUAAUCUUGUAACCUGCUACCACGAAAAUGUACCAAAUAAAUCGAGUACACAAUAAGAUCUCCACUCCAAUGAAUAUCACCUGAUUUGAUCCUUUAGAAACUUUGUAAAGGUUAGGAAGGAAAAAAGAAAUCUUACUAGUGCCUUCUGCUUGGGAGAUACACGACAGCAUAUGACAGAUGCACAAUCAACAGCUAAGCCUAAGAAUAGAAGCUUCAUAUCUUCCUCCAAGGCAUAUGCAAGAGUCUUCCCAUCAAUGAUCAAUGCGAAUGCAGCAUAUGGAUCUUUUUCUAGUUUGAUCAUUUGAGAACCAUUGUUAACUUGCGUCAAUAUGUUCUCCUUAAUUGCCUGAUUUUCGAUAUAUAAAAUAAAGUGAAAUCAAUUUCCUAAGGAAAAAUUCCAGUGCUCCUUCAUGAAGAAAUACAUACCUCCUUGGACUCAGAAUCAAGUGUAGUAAUACAGAUCUGCUUCAUGCCUUCUCUUAGCAGACUGCAAGCAAACCUGCAUCGCAUGAAAAAACAAACAUCAAACAAUUUUUAUGGAGCACCUUUUGAUUAAGAAAUAAAAUUUGAGGCAGCAAAGAGGGCCUAAUAUUAAACAGAAAGAGAUAGACCCUAUAUUUAUAGCAGUUUCCAUCUUGUCCCCUGUCAAAACCCAGAGCUUUAGACCCGCUUGCGCAAGUUUAUCUAUACAUUGGGGUACCUGAAACGAAGAGAAGCUAACACAGGAUGAAGAAACCCAAAACAGAAGUUUCUUAAAGAAGCAAGCAGGGAUAUCACAUACCCCCUUCUGCAAUUUGUCUUCCACAGCAGUAGCACCAACGAGAGUCAACUCCUUCUCCAUCAUCUCUGCCACCUUUUCAAGAUUUGUGUCUCUAUCAGCCCCAAUAGAAGUUUUCGCCUUCUGAAAUUCAUUGUUCCAUGCAGAGUACUCAGACUCCUCAAGCUUUCUAUAAGCCAGUGCCAAUGUACGCAAUCCAGCUUCUCCAUAAAUAUUCAAAUGCUUAGUAGUAUCUUCCAGAUACGUUUUCCCCUUCUUUGCUAAUCGGUCAAAAAUAAUGCUGUGCAAACAUAGGGAUAAUAAAUCAGUCAAACAGAAAUCAUCAGGCCAUUGAAGGGUAAGGUCAGGUUUCAUCUAUUAACACCUUGAAGAAGUCAAACGGGUAAUAUAGAGACUGACCUGUCAGCACCUUUACACAUUAGAAUAAUCUGCCCUUCUUCAUCCCUCACAAUUACUGUCAUCCGCUUUCUUUUGCUGGUAAAUUCCAACAAGUUUAGAAUUUUGUACUCCCUACAAGAUACCGAGAGGAUUAAGAUGCUAAAAUAGAAAUCGAGGAGAGAUUAGAAAAGGGCACAAAAUUCAUUUAUUGGUAUCCCCACCUCUCGGUUGUUUGUCCUGAACCUAUGUAUCUUUCACGGACAAAAACACUUGUUUGAGUUCUUUUGAAAAACUCAAAACCAAAUUCCCUGGCUGCAACAAGAAAUGCUCCUUCAUCAGGCGACUCCGCUUCAUAUGUAUAAGUGCCAGUCUCUUCAUUCAGCUCAGGGAUAGCAGUGUGACAAACUGCUAAUAUUCGGCAAAAUAAUAUAAUCAUAUCAACAUUUGGCUCUUUCCUCCAGUUCCCUUCCGUCAUGCGGUCAUCCUCAAAGCUAAAAAAUUUGAUGGGAGGUUUAUUAUCCUUUCCAUCUUUGGAAGUAACAACAGUCUCCAAUUCAAUAUCUUGCUUGCUUCUUUUGCUGGAAACAGACGAUUGUCUCCCAUCCUGCUCAAGGUCAUUAGCCAUCUGUUGUGCAGCAGCCCGUUCAACUUCACUAGCGCGCACACCAUAUGCAGUACCAGCAAUGGAACAUUUGAGAAAAUCCAUCUGAUUGCAUGUCAAAGUGCCUGUUUUAUCAGAAAGGAUUGUAUCUACUUGGCCCAGCUCCUCAUUUAGAUUUGAUGUCCGAGCCUGAGCAGGAAUCCCAGUGUCAUCAUCAUACAUCUGUAAGUCUUGAUUAAUAAAGGAUGCUUGCAAAACCUUCACCACCUCAAUUGAAACGUAAAGUGAAAUAGGUAUCAAAUAACCAUAAAGGAUGAGGGCAGUGACCAAAUGGCUAAGCCCUGAUAUAAAAGGCUCUUUGGGAUUAUAGAAUUGCUCCGUAUCAUCGGGCCGCAUAUACCACCAGUUUGGCAUGUGGAACUUUGUUUUCAGAGCAAAGCCUAAAGAACUGAUCAAUGAGAUUACCAGAAGGAGGCUGAAAAGAACAUAUAUUAUGUAAUCCAUUUUCUUUUCUAUUCUGCUCCUCUUUGAAGGGGACUUUGUGGAAUUCUGCAUGACUUUGGUAUCAAAACCAGUGAAAAUCACAACACCAUAGACAAAACCUGUAUUGCGCAACUUCGAAUCUCUAAGAAGAACUUGUGCAGGUUCAAGAGAAUAAGUUUGACGAUCAUAAUCUAAAUUACCAACAAAGGUGUAAAGGCUAGGGUUGGGAUCUUCACAUUUAAUUAAUCCUGUGAAGUUCUUGAAAUCCUCAUCUUCUUCCAAAGACAAUGUUACAUCCAUAGCUCUCUUUACCUUCAAGUUUGUCUCACCAUCUAAAUUCAUAGUCUCCACAUAGCAAAUACCGUCCUCAUAACUUGAUGACAAGAGUAGCAGAUCUGCUGGAAAAAAUUCAUCCUUCUCUACUCUCACCACGUCUCCAACCUCAACCUGCUGCCACUGCUUAAACUCAAAAACGCCUCCCUCUUUAUGAAAUUUUACUUUCCGACUAUUAACAUUCAUAUCUUGCAUAAACCUUCGCCAAUCCUCUAAACCUUCCUUUGCCAUGCUAAGCCCUACAACAAAGGCCAAGGGAGCAAUCAUGCUCACAGCAGAAAAUGGCGAAAGGGGUGUAAGUGAAAGAACUGCAGCUGCAAGGAAGUACAAAUUGGCCACUCGGUGGAAUUGUUCAUACAAAGAUUUUGGUAAGAAAGAGAGAAAAUUAUACUUGGUCGUCGAUAUGUAAUUUGAUCGGUACUUUAAAGGUCUUUUCCUGUGCAUAUGAGGUUGGUUACAAUGUACAGUUCGUGAGCAUCCAGCCCCUUCUACAAAUGGCACUGCCUCUUGAGUAGACUUUCUCCCACAUGCGAAUGUAUAGAGUUGACUCCGCUUGAUCUUAGCUCUAAUCUUACCCUUAGCCAUCUCUCAGAACCAAACUUUAAAUAAUAAUAAAAACAGGACACAACUGUCAAACAAAUGAAAGCCCCCAAAUCUAGCCUUCACCAGUGGAUAUUAAUGCAGCUACUCCUUCACGAUUUCCUUGCUUUACCUCCUGUUUCACAAAACCAAAUGGUAAUCAAACAUUAGUACAUAUCUAACAUUUACAAAUUGAAGCUUGCAAGUACAAUUAAAGCUCACAAUUCAUAAGCACAAACAUUCUGAAACAUGCCGUAUUUAAAUCACAUUCAACGUUCUUACAUAACACAGAUUAGAAAGUCUUAUGAGCUACAAAAUUCUAGGAAUAAAUGAUAAAUUAAGACAAAGAUGAGAACAAAUCUACAUUGGUUAAACCUACAAAUCGACCAAAAACAAAUACUAGGUGGCUAUUAUUAAAAAAAUACACCCAUACAGCCAUUCCCAACAUACAAAGAUCUUCUUUCGAAAAAAAAUACAAAGAUCCAGAAUUCAACAGAAACAAAAAACAAAUUUGACAGAUAGCUGGAGAAGAUGUCAUACACAGCUCCACAUUUCACCUCAAAUAUCCAAAUAAACAACCAAAACUUAUGAGUGUUGGAUAGAGGUAUGUAUCUGAUAUGAGUAUAAUGAAUAUUUUAAAGUUUUCCAUAUCUUUAUAUGGAUGUGUCAAACACAUGCAACGUAGCAAAUAAUACAAUACAAAUAUAGUACUUCAAAAUAUGAACAAAUGAGCAUAUCACUGACAUUCAUUAAAGAAAGAAUUUCAAGAAACAAAAUCAAUAAGGAAAGGGAGGCCAUUAAAUCAAAAGAGAGGUACCUUUCAAUACGGAGGCUGGUUCAUCUUCAAUACAAAAUUAACAAAAAAAGGAACAUUUUCAAAACUAUUAAAAAAGAACAGUCAAUAUCUUUUGCACAUCAAUAAAUGAAGGGAGACAAUGAAAGAAAGACAGUUUUUUCUUUGUUAAUUUUGAUUAAGGAAAGAAACUUAGAGAGAGAAAGGGAAAAGAAUGAGGUAAAAUUUAGAAAAAGUCAUUUAGGCGUAAGAGAGAAAAUAUUUCUCUCUUUCACAGCAAUUCCCGGAGUCCCUUUGGCUUGUAUAAAUAAUAUAAUAUUAUUUUCUAUUUUAAAAUUUCACUCUUUUUUGUUUUUCAGUUUAUUCAGUUUUAGUUAAUUUUAAGGCUGUUUUUCCUUAAAUUUCACCAGAAGUUUUUGUUAUUUAUGUUAUAAAAAUAACGAGUUGUAUAUCUGUAAAUUUUUUUUGUUUCUUUUAUUGUUUACAUUAGAUUCAGUAUUAAUCUUCCCGAAUUUAUUAAAUACAUGAAUUUGAUAAUUUAAAUAUGUUAAACAUAAUUGAAUAAUAAUUUAAAAUAAGAUAUAGUUAAAAACAAAUUUUAAAAUGACUUAUUAAUAUAAUUAUAAAAUAAAAUAAUCAAUUAUGGUGUAAAAGAAGAACUUUCUAACAAAGGAGGAAACAAGGUUUUAUAUACACACUUCCAAAAUAAUAGCCUGAUUUUCAGUUUUCUUCUGUCCAUAUUUUUUAAUAAAAACGAUAUUUUAUUAAUCACCCAAUGUUAUCACAAUUAUUUAAAAAACUAAAAUCAAAUUAUCUAUUAACAUGAUUACAAUUACAACAAUAAAAAAUAUAUAACAACAUGAAUUCAAAUACACAACAGUAUAUUUCCGAUUUAAGGAUUUUCAACCUUCCUCACUAAAUAAUCAAUUCAAUAUUCCACACUUAUAAAAUGAAUUGUGUAAAAGUCGAGAUAUCAUUAUAAUCAUGUAAAUUCAAUUGUCUUGGAUAAAAAAAAUUUAUACUUCAAACAAAACUCUAUUGUUAUUUAAUGAUAAAAAUGAUAAAUUUUUAAUUUAGUUAUAAAAAUAUGUUUAAAAAAUACGACUACAAAACAAAAUCGUUGGCACUAACUAGAAAAUAAACCAAGCUUAAAUAAAAGAAAGAAUCAAUAUAUCGUGAAAAAAUCACUGCCUUAGAAGCAAAUUCAAUGUGAUUAGUGUAAUCGUAUAGUGGACGUUGUCGCCCUAAGAUUAACACAUAACUUCAAUAUUCGUACACCUGAAUAAGGAAGACGAGACAUAAUUGGUAUUACUCUUCUUUAAGAAAUCAAGAAAUAAGAUAGAAAUAAAUUUUUAAAGUUGGUCAUAAAAACUUGGCUAGAAAAAUCACACUAAGUUCAAUUUUCAAGAAAGAUCAAGUUUAAAAUCAAUCACCUAGACAAAAUUUCCUCUAAUGUAAUUUUAGUAAGAUGUCAAAUUUUUAGAGAAAAAAAUAUGAGAAUCGAGAAGAAUAAGAGAAACUCUUUUGUUGCUUGUAAAAUGAAGAAAAAUAGGAUUUUCAAAUAGGUAAAAUGGUUUAAAAAUUUCAACGGCCAUAUUGCAACAAUUAGAUUCCAAAUUUAAAGGGUAUGUUCCCGCGCGAAUCUCAACAAUCACUUGUUCUGAUUCUACAUAUUGAUCAUUUUGAAUUAAAAUAAACUUUUUGGUGGAAUAGUCAUCUUAUGUAUAAUAUUUUCACUCUCAAUAAUUACAUGGAAGUUCAUAUAACAUAAAAAAGCAGGAUGCCCAUGACGUGUGUGUAGAAUCCUCAUUGAAUUUGAUUUUUCCAUUAAAAGGGGCUCGUACAUUUUCUGCAAUACCCCCUAUAAAUACUCUGUCAGUAUGAAAAGUUUUUAAUGUUAGCUGCGUUCUUAGUUCUCCAAUGGAUUGCCCCACAAUAAUACCUACAGCUUCUCCCAAUUCAACUAGGGCACCAUAAGUGGAGCUCCGACCAUAACAUAAUCAACAAAUCCAAUAUGUACUCAUUCAAGUAAAGAGAGUUCGAAUAGAUAUUGAUUGUGUUCAAAAGGUUCUGAAUCGAUCAACAAGGCCAAGCCCAAUACAUUGAUUUCGAAUGGCAAUGCACCGUGGAACCAUAUAUAUAUCGUCCGCUAAUACAUGACCAAUUAAUGUUUGGAAAAAAAUUCUUUCCAGAAGCGUCCUCUUUUAAGGACUCAUAGAAAUCCCUCGGGUGGUGCCACAAUCUGUUCUAUGUACAACAAUGUGUUGAACUACUUCAACAAGUUUAUGCGUAAGAUAUCUCAUAUUGUACAAUCAUACUUUUGUAAUACCAACAAAAUAUUAUUAUUAUUAUAAAAUAAUUUUUUGAUAUAAUUUUAUAAUAUUUAUUAUCUUUAAAAAUGUUAUCUUUAUAUUAUUAUCCAAAUAUAUAUUAAACAUAAGUAUCAAACACAAACACUUAAAAACAAAAACCCAAAGCAACAUAGAUUAUAACACCGCAUUAUAAAGAUAAGGACGAUAUUAUCUUGAUCAACAAUAAAACCAAAUUUAACUCAAAUUUUAACAUAAUUCAUGCAAUCACCUUUUACAAUAUAAGAUUUAAAUCUUAGCCUCCACAAACUAUCUCCUCUUUUCAUCUAACAAUCCAUACCAAUUCACUAAAUAUUAUCAGCUUUAACCAAUUGGACCUCAUGAUUUUGUCAAGAAAAAUGCUUCUCCAGUUGCAAUAAUAUAAACAUUUGUAUCCCAAUCAAACUCUAGUGUUCAUGACUUCUCUCUUAAAUUGUGACAUUGAGGACGAGGCCUCUUUUGUACCAAAAACUAAAAGUUGGAUUCUGAUCCAAUCCACUUAACCAGCCAUUCUAAAUUUUCAAAUCAAACUAUAUUUCACACAAAUCACGAAGUACAAUGCGGAUACUACUAGUAAAGUGGAAUUUCCGAAAGUUAAUUGAUUCACAUAAAGAGAUUAAACACUGACAUACCAGCAAAAUAUCCAUGAUUCCUCUUGCAUCUGAUGAGAACUAAGCUGACACGUUCUUCUGGGAAAUAAUAGCGUCGGCUCUUUCGUUCGGUGAAUCACCUGCGCGCACACACACGUAUAAGAAAAUACAGUUUAAAUUAAGUAGGAAAAAAUCACAAAUGGAAGCAAAAUCAUCGAAACGAAAAAUGCUCAAACAAAUCAAAAUGAAUCAAUUACUAAUCGGAUUGCAUGUAUCCGAACUGAAAGGAAAAAUAAAGAUGAACUUAUUUGAAAUUAAAGAAAUCAGAAUUUCUAAAAAUCUAAGAUUUAAAAACUUGGAUUCAAAGCAAUCAAACGGAUCGAAAGAGAGAGAGUACCAUCGGGCUGAAACAGAUAGAGAAACAGAAACCCCAUAGACGAGACCUUAGUGAGGGAAUCGGCGUCGUUUCGAGGCAAAAAGGAGAGAGAGUUGGAGAUUGAGAACCUGAUUUGCCAACAGCCGGUUCAUCAACGACGCUCCGGUUCUGAUGAUGUGACCUUUAUUACGAGACGCCACUAUUUUUUUUCCUUUUUAUUUUGUAGUUAGUUAUAAAUUUGAAAAGAGGCGGGAAAUGAGUCUUCAACUAGAGGGGGGCUAUUAUAAACACAAAAAAUAUUGGUCAAAAUUGGUAUUCACCCUUGUACUUUAGUAAAUUUUGUGAUUUAGUCAUGUACUUAAAAAGUCUCUUCUUUUUAAUUUAAAAAACCUUAGAGUGGGUUGGAUGAGCGGUGCGUUUAUGUGCCGUUAGUGUAAAAAUAACGGUAGCGGUAAGAUUAAAUACUAUAGUGAUAGCGUGAGACAAAAAGUAAACUAAAACAACGCACCGCACCGCACCGCACCGCACCGCACCACACCACACCACAUCUCACCACCCAUCCAAACCCACCCUUAAUCCAAUAGCCCAUACCUUAUUAAUAUUUUCAAUCAAAAUUUAUCAUUAAUACACUUAUGCAAUCCUACAAUCUUUGAAAAUAACUUAUUAUAAACUUAAUAACUAUACCUUAUUUGAAAAUAAAUCAUUAUGAACUCAAUAACUAUACCGUAGAAUAAGUAAAUUAUGAUGAUGCAAUGUUUUAAUUUUGAAAAACAAAAUUAUUGUUAAAUUUUUAAAUAUAAAUAUUAAAUAUCUAAUUAUAGUGAUGGGUAAGAUAUUUUAAUGUAAUAUAUAAUACAAUAAAAUAUAAUAUCAACUAAUUUUAAUUUUUUACCUAGUAUGAUUUUUUUUUGAUAGAAUAUAAAGAAUGACAUUAUUAAUUUAUUAAAAUAAAUAAAUAAUAAUAUAUUUUGAACAACUCUAACUUGUUUUUGGAGUGUGGGCUUUGACAAACAAAAAAAUGAUAAUAUCUUUUGAUAACUUUUUAUAAAAUAGUGACACAAAAAGGUCCUUGGUCAUAUGUCCUGCUGAUAAAAUAUAAAAUAAUUAAUUUUAGUAUUUAAAUUUUGAAUCAAGCAAUUUCAAAAAAAAAUGUUGAAAUGGAACAUUGUAAGGAAAAUGUAAUUUUGAUAUUAACUAGAAACAAAUAAACAAAAAGAUUUGUAGUAUUUUGAUAAAAAAAGAAAAACAUAUUAUUAAAAAGAAUUGUAAGAAGGGUAAUGAAUUUCAAAGUUGAAAUAACUCUUCUUUUUUUUUAAAUAAAUCAAAAGAUUACAUAUAAAUAUUCAUAACAAUGUUAUCCAAACAAAAUUUCUCAUUCAAGAUCUCUUUAAUCUCCAACGAAGGUUCCUCAAACAUAUGCAACAUUUCAUCACUUGAUAGAGCCAUUUUUGCUAAAGCAUCUGUUAUUCGAUUGGUCUCUUUAGGAACAUAAUUUAAGGACCAUUUUUUUUCAAAUGCUAGAAUUUGUUGAAUUCUCUUUAUUAGCGCGUUUUUAGAACCUAUAAUCUUAUUGUCUCUAAUAGAUAUAAAAUUCUCAAGAUUAUCCGAUUGAAUUCUGACCUCAUUAUAUCAUUGUUCCUGAAGAAGAAUUAAUCCAUCCAAUAAGCCUCGAAGCUCAACAACCGCAACUGAACACUUUCCCAAAAAAUGAUUAUAGCCCAAAAUCCAGCUCCCCUUCCCGUCAGGGAUAACUAAUUUUUAAUGUCAUUUUGUGCAUUUAAUAUUUAAUUAUUUUUUAAAAUGUUAUAUUUUUAAUUGUAGUAGUUAGCAUAAAAUAAUAGAGAGUUCAAUUAUGAUACUUUUAGUGGAUUGACUUCAUGACUAAAUAAUAUUGUAAUUAAUAAAUGAAGAGUUGAAAUUUAAUUACAAAUUAUUUAAACUCCCAAUUAAAUAUGUCUGAUCGUUUCUUUCGCUAGCUCAAUACAACAUAGUAUUACUUGCAAUUAGAACUGAUAUGCCAAAUGAAUGAAAACGAUGAACGAAAAAUAGAUUGCAUGAAUUACUAGCCAUGAUAAAUAUUUUCUUAAAAGGGAACAAGGGAUGACUUGAAAAUUGUUUAAAAUUCUUUAAAUUGUUAUUUAAUUUAUUGUAAGUGAAUAAUGAGUAUAAAGUGAAAUUAAAUUAAUUAAUCGUCGUAAUUUUACCAAACAAAAUGAUUAAAUUUACUUGUAGGUUCUAAUAUGAUAAAGUUGUCAUGAUUUUAAAGAAUUUAGAAUUUGGUUGAGGAAAUAAUUUAAUUGAAUAGAAUAAUAUUUUUAAGAAUAAAAAAUUAGUUAUUGGGUUAAAUAAUUAUAUCAACUUGUUUUAAUUAAAAAUAAAAUUGGAUUGCAUAUAUAAUUGUAUUCAAUAUGUGAAAGGCACAAUAAGCCUAUUUGACUAAGGAGUGAGUUACAUAGUGAGUAUUCCCGAUGUAAAUGUGCGGCCCGCCACAAACAGUACUAAUAGAAUUUUAAGUAUUCUAUUAAAAUAUUAUUAUUUUUUAUUUUCUUUUUUGUUUUAAUAGAACUUUCGUGAUUUUUCUUUAUAUAUAAAGGCCGUUAAGUUAAAAACAAACAAUUUUAAGUGUAAUUAUUUUAUCAAAAUUUAAUGAGAUUUAUUUACUUAAAAUAAAUUCUAUUUUUUUUAUAAAAACUCAUAUAUUUGAUUUUAAUUUUUGUUCACCUAUAAUAAAACCUAUCCAAGGGUUAGUAACCCAUCCUAAUUGCUAAACUCUAUUAUUUGCAAUGCUUAUUUAAGGUGAAUAGCUAGAGCGAUAAAACCAAAUUACAUGUCGUGGUUGAAGAAAGCCAAGUUGUGACUUUCUUUGGCAAAUUCUACUUUUUCACUUUUUUCAACUUUUCCUCUUUUCAUUUUUUCAAAAUCGCUUUUCCUUCUUCAAAUUCUAUUCAUUUAUCAAAAAAAUACCUUAAAAAAACUUAUUAAGUAAAAAAAAAUAGUAAACAUAAAAUAAGACCCGUUUUCCAAUAAAUAGUUGCAAGCAAAUAAGAAACUAAAAUAUGUAAUAAAUAUUUACCUAUCAAACAUCCCUCUUCCCUUUCAAAUUUUCUUUUCCAAUUUUCUUUCAGAAUUCGAAAUUCACAAUUCCCAUGGGGUAAAUUUUCCUUUUGCUAGUCCAUUUCAUUACACUCAAGGGGGAGUCGAAAUUAAAUUAUAAUUUUUAAUAAUUUAUAUUUUUAUAAUUUUUAAAAAAUUAAAUCAAAAUUUUAUUUUUUUAAAAAAUUAAAGUAUAAUUUUACUUUUAUUAAUUUAAAAUUUAAAAAUUUUUAAAAGACUAAAGGAACAAUUUUUCAUUUUAGGUAUAUAUACCCAAAACCUUAAAAACUUCAACACUUGACUGAGCUCCAUUAGCGUGCCAUCCCAUCCCUCUCUUCUACUAAUUGUACAACGAAAUCAACCAAUUUCCAUAACACGCAAAUAUAUUGUUGAAGUGCAAACCUUCUAUAACCCUUGUCAAUGCCCAAUCAUUUACCGCAUUCCGUAAACAAAUUAUAAAGCAGAUCUUAUAAAACAAGAAAACUGACUCAAAAUUUACCAAGACUAAAAAAAAUACAUGGUCACUAAUAUUUAUAUAUUUUAUUAAAAUAGUGUUUAUUAUAUUUUUGAGCCUUUUUUAGUUAUUAAUUUUUUAUUUUUUAAAAUUAUUUUUUUAAUAAAUUUAAUGAAUAAAUUUAAUAUUUCAAUCUCUUUUUUUUCAAAAGGUUUCGAUCCUUUAUAUGUUUGUUUCUACUGAGUUAUUAUUUUAGAUAAUUACAUUUAUUUUUUUUAAAUUAAUAGUUAUUUUUUUAAUUUCACGUAUUAUUUUAUUAUUUUUUACAUGUAAUUAAUUUAUAGGGUUAUUUAAGUAAUAAAUUACAUUACAUUAAAAUUAUUUCACCUAUAAAAUUUCACAUCAUCCCUGUUAACUUUUUUAACGAUACUUUCAUUAAAUCUAUUAGAAAAUAAAGUUAAAAAAAAAAGCAAAUGUUGAUGACAAAAAAAAUCUCAAAAAUACAAUUAGGGUCACUUUAACAAAAUAUACCAAUAUUAGUGCCUAAAUUUGGGAUUAAGCCAAAAAAAAAAAAAACAAGGCACACAUUCAGAAAGUUGGAAACUCAAGAAAUUAAAGGAAAACAAAUCCAAACCGACUCUCGUAAAAGAGAAACAAACUUUGAAUAAUAGAAACUCUCAGACUUGAGAGGUUGCUUUUCAACUCAACUUAAUUCAAAUAUAAAAAGCACUAAUUUUGCCAUUAAUCUUUGUACUAUGUAAGUUAGUUAGUUAUUAUAUUUUUAAAAUUUAAAAUUUUAACGUUAGAAAUAAAUCUGUUAGAUUAUUAUUAGUCUCAUACUCUAUGUAAAUUAUGGAUUUAAUUAUUGUUUUUUAAUUUGAUAUUUUUAGAUAUUUUUUGAAUUUUAAAAUUUAGUAAAAUAAUUUAUAAAUUCAUUAAUUAAAAUAAUAUAAGUUUUUGUGAGUAUUAUGUAAAAAUAUUUAUCGUGUAAGAUUUUGAAAAUAGCAAAAAUUAACAAUUACCAAUUAAGUCAAUACUAAAUUUUUAAAAUUAAUAAGUACAUAAAUUAAAUCCACAACUUACGUAUAGUACAAAGAUUAGUAACAAUCCACAACUUACACUCACAUCCUUCUAUCAACUCACGCACCACUCUCGCCCUCCUCCCUUUCCAAACCAGCUCCUCCCUUGUAUCCACCCCCUUAGAAAUUCCCGUUUUGUUUCUAAAAUUCAUCUUACUGCUACCCACACCAGAACUAAAGUCACCAAACUUCCCGAUAUUAACUCUCAGAUGCAGCCCAUAUUUCAAACAAAGACUCCCCUCUUCCACCAAUGGCAGAGCAUCUUCACAAGAUCUAACAAUAUGAACUAGAGAACCACAAAAAUAACACAAGUCGAUAAGCUUUUUAUAGCAACAAAUUUAAUAAAAAAAUUAACAAUAUUAAUAAUUGAACUUAAAUUUUAAAAUUUAAAAAGUAAAUAGACUAAAUUCUUAAAAAUAAAAGUAUAAAAAUUAAAUUUCGAAUUUGUGAAAUGUACAUAGACCUAAUACAUAUUUUAACCUAACAAAAAUAUAUUUACUAAUUUGGGACACAUUCCACCUCGGCCGUCAAUGUACAUAUCUAUACAACUAUACAUAUUAAGAAGAAGACCCUAAAUCUCUUUACUUUUUAGAUUACAAAAAUAAUUAAAUUUGAUAUUUAAAAUUUGCUCAAAUUUGAUAUUUAGUUUAUAUACUUUAAUUUUGACAUAAUUUAAUGUCUCAACUUUUAUAAUAUUAUUAGCUAGUUUAAAUACUUUAUUCUAAUUAACAUGACAAUGUGAAUUUUUAAGAAUUAUUAGCAUUGUUAAGAUUUUAUUAAAUUAAAGUUUGUUAAAAUGUUUUUUUUAAAUGGUUAUCAUUUUUUUUAAAUAUAUCACAUCAACACAAAAUAAUUCUAAUAAUGUUAACAAAUGAACCUAAAUUUUUAUAUUCAAAAAAUAAAAAUUAAAUUCUUAAAAAUAAAAAUUUAAAUAUUAAAAUUUAAAUAUAUGAAAAAUAUAAAAACUUUCAACAAAUUGUAAAUCCAAUGUGUGGGUGAAAACAAUACUAAAAUAAUACAAAAAUAUGAAUUAAAUAAUAAUACGAAUAAUAUUUUGAAAAUAAAUAAAUGGGCGGCAAAAUUUCCCACCAAAAAUUGUCAGCGAAAAAAAACCGUUGGUUUUUUAACUGUACAAACUACUUUCUUUUUUGUCUUCAAAGUUCAGACAGCCAAUCAGGUCCUUCUACGUCUUUCGCUUGAUUCGUGGGUUAUGGAAAUAAUUUUGGGAAUACAUUUUAUUCUAAAUUUUGUAUAAAUAAAGCUUAGAAAAUGCAAAAUCGGAGAAAAAAAAUUACAGUUUAAAAUGGUUAUUUUUUACCACAAAAAAAGGAAAGGAUUAAAAAAUUUUGAAAAUAAAAAAUAAAAAAAAAUAAAAAAAAAGUCACUCAUUUUCUCUCUAUUGUCUUUCAUUGAUAUCGAUCUCAUCAAUAUUUUCCAGCUAUCAAUUUCGAAGAAGGUUUUAUGGGUACACUUCCGCUUAUUACAUUUAAAAAAAAAAUUGUGAUCUCUUAUUUUUUUUAUUUGAUUUAUAGCUGUUUUUCAAUGAUUCGUUCCUUUAUUUCAUGAAUUAAUUAUAACGUACUUUGCUUUCUUUGUUGAAUUUCUGUAAUACGAAGGGGAGAAGAGCGUUAAAAGCAUGCAAUUGUUCCUUAAUGAUUGAAAAUUUAGAUUUUUUUUUUAUUUUUUAUUUAGGAUUUCAACAGCUUCUUUUAAGUAGUAACUGUGAUGUUAUUGCAUGUUUGGUUUCUGAGAAAGCAAAGGAAAAUGAGAAGGAAAAAAAGAAAAAGAAAAAGAAGGAUAAUCGGAUUUUCAAUUUUUGUGAUAUAAAGGGGAGGAGAGCGUUAAAUCAUGCAAUGUUUCCUUACUGGUUGAAAAUUUAGAUUUACUUUAUUGUAUAUAUUUUGGUGUUCAACUAAUUCUUUAAGUGUUCAACUGUGAUGUUUGGAUCGUAACAGAGAACAAAAAUUAUGUUUAUUGAAUGUUUGACUGCUAAGAAAGCUAAGGAAAAAGAAAGGAAAAGAAAAGAAGGAUAGUCGGAUUUUAAAUUUAUGUAAUACAAAGGGGAGGAGAGCAUUAAAAGCAUGCAAAGCUUCCUUAAUGAUUGAAAAUUUAACUUUAAAUUUAUUUACUUUUUGGUUUUCAUCAGUUCCUUUAAGUGGUGGAAAUCUGAAAUUUUAUUGUGAUGCUUAGAUUAGUAGCGGAGGUUAAAUGUAUGUUUACUGCAUGUUUGAUUGCUGAGAAAGCUAAGGAAAAUGGAAAAAGAAAAAAAAGGAAAAUCGGAUUUAGAACCAUCAAUUCUUUAGCCACGUAAUACAUGAGAUUUCUCUGUCAAAAUCAAUGAAUAUACUAUUUGUUUUGUGGUAUUUUGUCUUUGAGCAAUCGAUAUGGAUCAUUUAGUCUUUAAAUUAACAAGGAAAAAUGGUAUUAUAUGUGGAAGCUUUUCCUUCAAUUCGCUUAUGGGUGCUAUAAAACUGUCGCUACUCAGCUGAGAGUGAAGAAUGUUGUUCAACUCAAGUUAUCAACGGAGAUGGUUCAUUCAAUGAUGAGGGAAUUGAUCGUUUUGUCAAGGAAAUAAAACUUGCUGAAUGUGGGUUGUCAUAUGCUGUGGUUUCCAUCAUGGGACCGCAAAGUAGCGGUAUGCUUCGAUAUCUUCAUGAAAUCCUGCUUUUCAUGCUUAUACUUGCCUUGUUCCUAAGAUGUAUAUUCCUACCCAGCUGCUUCUUUUUUUUUUUUUUUUGUUUACAUUUGGUCUAGUAAUAUUGAAUUCAACAUGUGGGAUACAAGUUAGCAUGAUUAGCUGGAAGUUGGGUCACUUCAAUUUUCGACAUCUCAUGUUGACAUGGCCUUGCUUCUUCAUGUUUUUGUUGGAUUACUUCUGUCAGUGAUAUCAAGGCAUGCCUUGGCCUUGUGUCUUACCGCUAGACUGCAAAAGCAACUUGGAUCAUUUCAGGCGAGGUGAUUUGAUUAGGUGCAUGGCGCUGGUGCGCCUAGGCUUCCUUUUUAUUAAAGCAAUAGACAUAAAAGGCCUGAAGUUCUCUUCAAUUUCUUUGUUCUUUUAACCGUUUUCAUUAGAUGUAUCUUUACCACUAAAGCAACGGAUAGCAUCAGACUUUUCACUUCUUAAUAUUUGAGUAUUUAACUAUAUCAUUCAUAUUGGCCAACAAAAAAAAUGCUCGUUUCGUAGAUAAAAUGAUCACUCUCUAGAGUUUAUUACCAUAAUUAUAUGUCCUAAGCUUAUUAUAUAUACACACAGAUGGACGCACAUAUACACGUUCCGUGCUUUUUUUUGUGCCUCGUACUCGAGGCAAUAAAAGGGUUCUAGUGCCUACCGUGCGCCUUGCACCCUUGACAACAGUGACUUCUAUAAUUAGUUUCAGAUAUCUGUUAUAUCAUUAUUUUUAUUGGUUCAAAUGAUCAGAGAUUUUAUUUAUUUCGUGUUUUAUCAUUCUAUUGUAGUUAUAUAAGUUCUAGUUGUGUCAGAUAACGUUUCACUUAGUUUUCCAUGAUCAUGACAGGUAAAAGCACACUGUUAAACCAUUUGUUUCAUACAAAUUUCAGGGAAAUGGAUGCAUUUAUGGGAAGGUCAGUUACGUUGCUCCAUAAUAACACACUGCUUUUGUUUUAGUUGCCUCAAAAACAACUAAUGGGAUUCUUGUCAGGUCUCAAACCACUAAAGGUAUUUGGAUAGCAAAAUGCGCUGGUCUAGAGCCUUGCACCCUAGUAAUGGAUUUGGAGGGUACCGAUGGAAGAGAACGUGGAGAGGUGCUUUUGUUAAAAUUUCUGCAAUGAUGAUCUACAAUAGGUUAUAUUUAUUCAAUAGCCUUAACUAGGAUAUGAUUAAUAUAUAUUAUAUGUGAAAUUGAUGAAAUCAAACAGGCCAUUAUUAAAGAGUAAAUUUAAUUUACAGUGGGUUUUUAGUUAAAAGAAUCCUCAGUAAUUUUCGAACAGAGUUAUUGCUGCUUUAAUAACAUCAAGGCUAGAGUGACGAAUGAAACUGUACUGAAUAAUAGUUGGAAUCCAGAUAAUAAAAGUUGAAUACGAAGUGUUUUAUCUCUGUGCAUUUUUGUUUCUUGCUCUUUUACAUAUAAAUUUUUUGUAUUAUUCCAGGAUGACACAGCAUUUGAGAAACAAAGUGCGCUUUUUGCACUGGCAGUUUCAGAUAUAGUACUGAUAAACAUGUAAGUUUCGGCACUUACAUGAUGCUUGAUAUAAGUUGCACCUUCAUUGAAGGACUUAUUGCUAUCUGCAGUAUGUACAAGUAAUAUUUUGAGCAACUUUCAUUUAGGUGGUGUCAUGAUAUUGGUCGUGAGCAAGCAGCUAAUAAACCUCUUUUGAAAACUGUAUUCCAGGUAUUCACAAUAUUGUUUCCCUUUCUAAGCAGUGCGCUGAAUUCAUGUGGUUAUGUGAUUUAAUUGGUUGUCCUGGUUGCAGGUCAUGAUGCGAUUGUUUAGUCCCCGCAAAACGACUUUGAUGUUUGUCAUCCGCGAUAAAACUAGGGUGGGUAGAUUUUUUCUUAAUGGAGAGCAUUUUGCGUUUAGAGAGCUAUUAUUAUUCAUCAUUUUCAUUUAACGAUUUCUUAUUUCGAUUGAGUUUAUGGUUACUUAAAGAUUUCUUGCUUACAGACACCACUGGAACAUUUGGAACCUGUUCUGAGAGAAGAUAUCCAGAAGGUAUAAAUAUGCGGAUCCUAUGCCUCCUUGCUUUUCUGAUUAACUUCAGAAUGUUUUCUUUUGACCCGAUUUUCUUGAAAUGCAGAUAUGGGACUCAGUUCCUAAGCCAGAAGCACAAAUGGAAACUUCAUUAAGUGAAUUUUUCAACGUAAGAUAUUGGGUUUGGUUUCUUGCAACAAAAGUGUAUCCCUAUACAUUUUCUAUGAGAUUACUUCUGAUAAUUUAAUGCUAUUGCUGAUAAUACACAGGUUGAGGUUGUUGCGCUUUCUAGUUAUGAAGGAAAGGAAGAGCUGUUUAAGGAGCAGGUAACCUGUUUGUAUUUGGGUCAUCUCAUGCAUUCAGUAUUCAUUGCAUGCUAAAAAAACCAUGUCUGCCUACCAUUUAUAAAUUUGCAUGUAUGUUGGAUGAUGGUCCUGAAACUUUUGACUAAAUGGCAUGCAAAUUGACAGUUUAUCUUCUUAUUUAUUAUCUUACUGAAGGUGGCUAAUUUGAGACAACGAUUCUUCCACUCUAUUGCACCCGGGGGGAUUGCAGGAGAUCGGAGGGGAGCAGUACCGGCUUCAGGGUUCUCUUUUAGUGCACAACAUAUCUGGAAAGUCAUUAAGGAGAAUAAGGACCUUGAUCUUCCAGCCCAUAAGGUGACCUUUAGGACAUAUUUAACUUGAAUGAAAUUUGUAAUUAUUGUUGCCUUUUUUGUUAUCCAUGCUCCAUUUGCUUUAGGUCAUGGUGGCUACGGUACGCUGUGAAGAAAUUGCCAGUGAAAAGUACACUAGUUUUACAUCAAAUGAGGUAUUUGUACAUGUAAGUAAGCAUUUAAUUCAAAAACAUUUGUAUGCUAACCAACCUACUACUUCAUAUAACAGAAUUGGCAUUCGUUGGAAGAAGCUGUAAAAUCUGGUCCAGUUGCUGGCUUUGGGAAGAAGCUAAAUUCAAUUCUCUACACUUCUCUAUCAGAGUAAGACCACUUAAUGAGAUUGAGAUGAUUGUUUCAAUGUUGAAGUUAUAAGUAGGCUACUAUCUAUAUAAGCAUUUGGAUGAGCUGAGCUUAGGCAAAGACCUGUUGGUUAUUGGGUUUUCCAUGGCUUACUACCAUAUCAGUGAUUGAGUUUCUUGUUCUAUUUUGUUCUGAUUUUAGAUAUGAUGCAGAAGCCACAUAUUUUGAUGAAGGUGUGAGAUCUGCAAAGCGAAAGCACCUUGAAGAAAAGCUGCUCCAAGUAAGAGCAUUCUAUAGUAUUCUUGACCAAUUAGUGUCCGUUAUUAAUUUUUCUCAUCUCAUUUGCCUUGUCUUAUGACUUAGCUUGUCCAACCAGCCUACCAAUCCAUGCUAGGACAUUUAAGGAUCGAAACUCUUGAAAAUUUUAAGGAAGCAUUUGAUAAGGCUUUGAAAGGAGAUGAGGGGUUCUCAGUGGCUGCUCGCCAGUGCAUUGAAACUUACAUGGCUUCAUUUGAUGCAGGAUAUGCAGGUAUUGAAAGUUUUUAAGGGAGCAUUUAAUAAAACUGUUCUGUCUUUUAUUAACUAAACUACUGAAUUUAAAUAGAAAAAAAAGACAUAAUCUAAUUGGAAAAAUAAUUCCCUUAUUCUAAUAAAGUACUAAGGAAAAUAAUUUUCUUAUUCUAAUAGAAUAUCUCAAAUGAUUUAUUAUAAGAUUUAUCUACCUAAAUAACUUUAAAAUAUAUGCCCAAAAUAUAGGGGUUUCACAUAUUUCAACACCCUCCCUCAAGGUGGUGCAUAUAUAUAAAUCAUGCCCAACUUGCUUACAAUAAAAUCAAAGCUUGUCUUAGAAAGCCCUUUGAUGAGUAUGUCAGCAAUUUGUUGUUUUGAAUAAAUAAACAACAUGCACACUUGGCCUUCUUCAAUCUUCUCCUUGAUAAAGUGUUUAUCAAUCUCAACAUGUUUAAUUUUGUCAUGCUGGACUGAAUUGUGAGCAAUACUAAUGGCAGCUUUGCUAUCACAGUACUACUUCAUUGAUGAAGUUAUUAGUUUCCUCAGCUCUUCCAUAAUUCUUUUUAACCACAUCAUUUCACAAAUCCCUUGAGCCAUUAAUCUAAACUCAGCCUUUGCACUACUUCUUGCUACAACAUUUUGUUUUUUACUUCGCCAAGUUAUAAGGUUUCCCUAAACAAAUGUACAGUAUCUUGAUGUAGAUUUUCUAUCUGUUAUUGAGCCUGCCCAGUCUGCAUCUAUAUAAGCUUCAAUUCCUUUUUGUUUGGAUUUCUUGAAGAAUAAGCCAUUUCCAAGUGAACUCUUCAAGUAUCUCAGAAUUUGAAACACUACUUCUUCAUGUUCCUCUAUUGGGGAGUGUAUAAAUUGACUCACUAAGCUCACUAUAAAUCUGGCCUUGUAUUUGAUAAGUAAAUUAACUUACCAACUAAUCUUUGGUAUUGCCCUUUAUCAACUAAUCAACCUUUAUUUUUGAAUUUUACAUUUGGAUAAAUUGAUGUGUCAGUUGGGCGACAACCACUCAUCCUAGCCUCUUUUAAAAGAUCAAUCACAUAUUUUUUCUGAGAGACCAUAAGACCCUUCUUUGAUCGAGCAACUUCCAUUCCAAGAAAGUAUUUCAAAGGACCCAAGUCUUUGAUCUCAAACUCCAAUGCUAGAUGCUCCUUGAGACGCCUUAUUUCAUCUGCAUCAUCUCCUGUAAGAAUGAUAUCAUCGACAUAAACUAUAAUAACUGUUAUUCUACCUUUUUGUGAGUGUCGAUAGAACAUUGUGUGAUAAGCUUGCCCUUGUGAGUGAGUAACUUUGUUUUUUAACAACUUAGUGAACCGUCAAACCAAGCUCGAGGAGACUGCUUUAGACCAUACAAAGAUUUCCUGAGCUUACAUACUCGAGUAUAGUUUUAUAGUUUAGAGUUUUACUAGGCAUUCUAUUAAUAAGAUAUGUAACUGUUAACAAGGCUUUGCCCCAAAGAUAAUGUGGUCCCUGACUAGUGAACAUCAAUUCUCUAUUUACUUCCAAAAGAUGUCAAGUUUUUCUUUUUACAACCCCAAUUUGUUGUGGUGUAUUUGUACAAGAGUUUUGGUGGACUAUACCAUGUUUGGUUAAGAAAACACCUAAUUUGUCACUAAAAACUUCCCCACCAUUGUCACUUUUUUAGUACUUUUAUUCUCACACGAAAUUGUGUUUUCACCAUAGCAUAAAAAGGUUGAAACACAUUUUUAACUUCAGACUUAUCUUUUAAUAAAAAACCCAACAAAUGCGAGUAUGAUCAUCAAUAAAUGUGACAAACCAAUGUUUUCCUGAAAAAGUUAAGACUUUCGAAGGUCCCCAAACAUCACUAUGAAUUAACGAAAAAGGCUUGGAAGCUUCAUAUUUUUGAGGUGGGAAGAAUGACCAAUGAUGUUUAACUAAUUCACAAAAUUCACAGUGAUAUGAAGAAGAACUUUUAUUUUUAAAUAGAUCAGGUAACAAAUAUCUUAAAUAGUAAAAAUUAGGAUAUUCAAGCCUAUAAUACCAAAUCAUAACCUUAUCAAAACUAGAAGCAGAAUUUAAGCAUAAAGUAGUUGCUGGUUGACUUAGAUGGUCAUCGUCAAGAAAGUAAAUUCCAUCAGAUUCUUUAGCAUUGCCAAUCAUCCUCCCCGAGACUAUGUCCUGAAAUUUACACAUAGAUAAGUCAAAUAUAACAUGACAAUUUGAGGACUGAGAUAAUUUACUGACCGAUAUGAGAUUACAAGCUAGAUUUGGCACAUGUAAAACAUCAUGAAAACCAAGGAAGGCGAAAUUUUAACAGUGCCUUUCCCGGCUAUUGCCGAGAACGACCAUCUGCUACUUUGAUUUUUUUGUUUUCUGCACAAGGUCUGUAAGUUGAAAAAAAGAAAAUGACUAUUAGUCAUGUGAUUACUAGCUCUAGAAUCAACGAUCCACGUGUUUGUUUUAUAAGGCUUGACAAUGAAAAAAACAAAAAAAAAUCAGUACUUGAUUGGGCAAAGGAGGAAGAAAGAUUAUUGGAUGAGUUAGGAACAGAAGAAUUCAUCCGAAAUUGUGGUGAUUGAAAAAGCUUGUGUAGAUGCUCUAAUUGUUCCUUAGUGAAUGAAGACUUUCUAGAGAACUUUGGCCCUCAUAAUUUUCAUUAGUUGUUUCAACGGUAAAAUUUUCUUCCUCUAUUUGACUGUUGGAUCUCUUAUCUCUAGUGAAGGUUGUUUUAACCAUGAUGCUACUAGAGAUUUAACCUAACCCUGAUACGAGUCAUAACCUAAUUGGGAAAAUAAUUCCCUUAUUCUAAUAAAGUACUAGAAGAUAAAAAAAUAAUUCCAUUAUUCUAAUAAACUACUAAAACAUAAAAUAAAAUAUUUCUAAAAUAUCGCAAAUGAUUUAUUCUAAGAUUUACCUACCUAAAUAAGAUUUAUUUACCUAAAUAACUUUAAAAUAUAGGGGUUUCAAAUAUUUCAACAGGUAUGAUUGAACUUCAUAAUCAUUCUCUGAGUUAUAAACCAAAGUUAUAAAACACAAGUUCAAGAGGUUUGAAAUGGGAAAGAGUUCAUUAAAAAGUUUUGAGUUUUCAGCUUGUAAGUGUUGAAGUUGCUGAGAAGUUGUUUGUUUAGUUGCGACUUGAGAAACAAUUGAAAACUGAAACAAUAAACAAUGGACACAGACAAUUAUUUAUGCAGUUUAGAUUCAAUCCUAAAUCUGCGAGGCCUUAUCCAAAAACUAAAUCACAAUAUUUUUUAUAAUACAAGGGAAGAUUUAAGUCCAACCACUCAUAAAUGUUGCAGCCUCACUCCCAUAUAAUCCACACGUCUAAUGUAAAUAGCAGCCUCAAUAUAUAGAGAUUUCAGUUUGGGUGCAUCCAACUAGUGGAAUCAAAUCAAAUCUCUAGAAUUUUGCCAAUAUCCAUUAUCUUGCAUAUAUAUAUAUAGCCUUUACAUUCAUGACAUUUAAUGUUUUUCUUCUUUUCUUUGACACUUCUCUUCUUUAACAAUAUAUUCGCCUUUGCUUUUGUUUAAGCCAUGACCUCCAUCAUUCCCGGUGUUUCUCCUUGAAAGUUUUAUGAAGGCUUGAUUUAAACGUUUAGUAAGAAGAACUAGCUGCUUCUAUAGGUCCUCAAUGGUAGUUUCUUCACAAGUUGCAACUAGAGAUGUGACAUUCAGAGCAAUGUUUUGCUCUGACUUUACCAUAUCCCUUUUGGAUUCCUCUAAAUUCAUUUCAAAUGUUUGAAGUGACCCAAGCAACUUAUAUGUUUUUAUAGUAUUGAUAUCCUUGGCUUCUUCAGUGAUAGUUACUUUGAUUCAAAUUUUUCUGAGAGGGAUAUUGGCACUUUACGCACCAAUUUCAUUGGAUUAAUCAUCAUCAAAGGUGAAAGCUUGGUUAGAUAUGUCACAUAACUUAACAUAAAAGUCAGAAAGAAUCUCUUCCUCAUACAUUCUUAAGUUUUUGAAUCUAGUUGUUAGCAUUUGGAGCUUUGACUGCUUUACACUAGUGGGUCCUUAAUGUGUGGUUUCAAGAGUUAUCCAAGCUUGACGAGCAGAAACACAAUUGGAGAUACGCUUGAAUUCCUCGGGGUCAACACCAUUGAAGAUUGCAUUUAAAGCCUUUGAGUUAUAACUAGGUGUUUUGUCCUCUUUGUCUAACCAUGUAAUUUCGAGUCUGAGAGUGUGAACACUAUCAACUUCAGUAACUAGAGGUUCCCAACCUGUUAGGAUUGCUCUCCAUGCCUUCUUAUGAAUAGAUUUUAUAAAAACUCGUGUUUCUAGUAGGCAUAAUUCGAGCUAUCAAGCAUAGGUGGCAUGUAGAUCAAGUUUCCUUCCCUAAUUCAGCAACUAACAACAUGAUCCCACCAAAUUCGUCUUAUGUCUAGCUCUAGCACCAAUUGUAAGUGUUGGAGUAGUUGAGAAGUUCCUUGUUUACAUGCGACUUAAGAUAUAACUAAAAACAGAAACAAUGAACAAUGAACACAGGUGAUUGUUUACACAGUUUGGAUCCAACCCCACAUCCGCAGAGCCUGUCUAAAGAGUAAAUCACUAUAAUCUUCAUGGUAUAAGAGAUGAUUUAAGCCUAAUCACACUCACAAAUAUUGCAGUCACUCUCAUUUAAUUACAAUGAAGAAAUUUCCCCAAAAAAAAUUUUCCCAUGAAAGUUUAGAACAAAUUGCUGAAACAGUUUGAUCAAAUUUUACAUUAAAUAAAAGUUUCUCCUAAUGAAUAGAUAAGUGCACACUCAAAUGCACACACUCAAUGUAAGUAGCAACCUUAAUAUAUAGAGAUUUCAGUCUGGGUGUAUCCAGCUAGUAGGCUCAGAUCAAAUCUCUAGAAUUUUGCCAAUAUCCAUUAUCAUUAUGGCUUAGAUAAUAUUUGAGAAAAAUGUAAGGAUUAUCCAUAUCCCUCUCGAUUGCAUAUCUCUUAAUAAAUGGAAAGAUAAUCAUAUCCCAUCUACUAGUUUCCUUGCUGAGAAUUAUCUCCCCUGAUUAGCUGUGUGAUAUCACAAUUUUAGCUGCACAAAAUCACUUAAUUUGCUAUCCAAAAUUACGUUGAAAAUUGUCAAUCAAAUAUAAACAAAUCUAAAAAAAAAUUUAUUUGCAUGAUAAGUUGCAACUAAGUUUGCGACUUGUUACAAAAAUUAGUUGCAUGGUGAGUUGCAACGUAGUUUGUGACUUGUUACGACAAAGCCAUUACUAAAAUUAGUUGCAUGGUGAGUUGCAACUUGUUUGUGACUUGUUGCGACAAAGCGAUUACUAUGAGCUGAAAUUUCAAAUUACUAGUCUUUAUACUGUUUGCAUUUAAUAGAUUUGGUUCUACAUCUGUGAGUCAUUUAGUUUUU